UUAAUCAAGCCUUCUUCUAUACCAAGGCAUCAUCAUUAAUAAUGUAUAUUAAAGUUUCUUUUCAAGAUUUGGGAUUCAAUAUUUUCAUCAUGCUUAUCUUAUCACAAUCACAUAAUCAUAUUCAUGCAAACAUACCAUUAAGCAUAUAGUAGGGUUUACAAUACUACCAAUACAUAUCAUUCACUAUUAAGAGUUUACUUAUGACGCAUGAAAACCAUAACCUACCUCCACCGAAGAGUUGAAUCAAGCAAGAAUUUUCCCAAAGCUUUGUUUCUCCCUUCUCGUUCGAUUCUCUCUCUCUCUCUUGUUCUUUCUAUUUUCUUUAUUCAAACCCUCUUUCUUUUACCCUAAUUAGUAUAUAAUUAAGAAUAAAAGAUGGCAAUAAUACCCCACUAAUUAACUUAGGGUUACCUCUUUUAACCCCUCAAGAAUUUUAGUUAUUAAUAUAACCCCACGAAAUCUACAAUUAAGGAAAGAAUAGUCCAAAAACGUCCCUUAAAACUUCACUAGAAAUCCGACUUUGCCUGGGAUUUGCGCAACUUAUGACGGGCCGUCGUGCCUGAGAUGGUCCAUCCUGCAGGUCGUCGCAAAGUUCAGAGAAUGGAUUUUCACUGAAGUCUCCGUGACGGUCCGUCACGCUUGUGACGGUCCGUCCUGCCAUUCCGUCACUAAGUUCAGAGAGUCGAUUUUCAGUACCCAAUUUCAGAUUUUUUAAGUGUUUUGAAACGAGACCCUGCGACGGUCCGUCGUGCCCAAGACGGAUCGUCGUUUGGUCCAUCGCCUCAGCCUGUUUUUCCAGAAUUGAAGUUUGUUGCUCAAAACGACUAAAUAGGUCGUUACAAUAGAUACCAAUUUACCCAUCGUUCGUCCCCGAACGAUCAAAAGAAGGAAAAGAAGGGCGAAAAGGAGUACCUGAAUCUGUAAACAGAUGUGGGUAUUUUUGUCGCAUAUCCGCCUCCUUCUCCCAAGUGGCUUCUUCAACGGGUCGAUUCUUCCAUUGCACCUUGAUGGAUGCAAUCUUUCUUUACCUCAACUUGCGAACUUCUCUAUCUAAAAUAGCAACAGACUCCUCCUCAUAAGACAAGUUCUCAUCAAGCAAAACUGAAUCCCAACGGAUGAUGUAGUUUCCAUCCCCAUGGUAUCUUUUCAACAUCGACACAUGGAAUACCGGAUGCACUCCGGACAGCCCUGGAGGCAAGGCUAACUCAUAAGCCACCUCUCCUACUCGCUUAUGUACUUCAAAUGGUCCAAUGUACCUUGGACUUAGUUUACCCCUUUUACCAAACCGCAUCACCCCUUUCAUUGGUGAAACUUUCAACAAGACUUGUUCACCCUCCAUGAACUCUAAGUCUCUAACCUUUCGAUCUGCAUAUUCUUUUUGUCUACUUUGCGCCGCUAGAAGCUUUUCUUGAAUAGACUUCACUUUCUCAAUCGAAUCCCUCAAAAGGUCAGUACCCCAAGGCCUAACCUCAAAUGCAUCAAACCAACCAAUGGGAGACCUAGAUCUCCUACCAUACGAUGCUUCAAAUGGAUCCAUAUCAAUGCUUGAGUGAUAGCUAUUAUUGUAUGAAAACUUUGCUAAGGGUAAGAAGCUAUCCCAAUGGCCACCAAACUCUAUCACACAUGCACGAAGCAUAUCUUCCAACACUUGAAUCGUUCUCUCAGACUGACCAUCGGUCUGAGGAUGGAACGCAGUACUAAGGUCCAACCUAGUACCCGAUUCCGCAUGCAAUGUUUUCCAAAACAUAGAAGUAAACUACGUACCUCUAUAUGAUAUGAUGGAUAGUGGAACCCCAUGCAAUCGCACCACUUCCGAGAUGUAAAGUUUGGCUAACUUCUCUGCAUUGUAAGUCACCUUGACCGGAAUGAAGUGAGCAGACUUACUUAACCUAUCAACAAUUACCCAAAUAGAAUCAAACUUUCCCAAUGUCUUGGGAAGACCAACCACAAAGUCCAUUGCAAUUCUUUCCCACUUCCAUUCCGGAAUGGGCAUUCUUUGAAGGGUUCCUCCGGGCCUCUGGUGUUCAUACUUUACUUGUUGACAGUUUGGACAUCUGGCAAUAAAAUCAACAAUAUCACGCUUCAUUCAACUCCACCAAAAGUGUUGCUUUAGGUCACCGUACAUCUUGGUUGCACCCGGAUGUAUCGAAUACUUUGAACUAUGGGCCUCUGUCAGAAUAGUGUUGAUCAAAUCAUCGACGCGGGGUACGCAUACCCUUCCCUUGAUCCUCAAAACACCUUCCUCAUCGAUUUGUGCUUCCUUAGCCUCUCCUCUCAAUACCUUAUCUUGAAUUCUGCGCAGUUUCUUAUCAUCAUACUGUCUUCCCUUAAUCUUGUCAAGAAAGGAAGAUCUUCCCUCCACAGAAGCCAACAAUCCUCCCCUCUCAUUUACUUCUAAUCUCAUCAAGUCAUUAGCUAGAGUUUGAACCUCUCUAGACAAUGGGUGUCUAGAAGCUUGCAAGUGAGCUAGACUUCCCAUGCUUCCCGCCUUUCUACUUAAAGCAUCCGCUACAACAUUCGCCUUCCCCGGAUGAUACAAAAUAGUGAUGUCGUAGUCCUUUAGUAGUUCCAUCCAUCUCCUCUGUCUUAAGUUCAAAUCUUUCUGAGUAAAGACAUACUGAAGGCUACGAUGAUCCGUGUAGACCUCACACUUAACCCCAUAUAAAUAGUGUCUCCAUUGCUUUAAUGCAACCACUACCGCAGCCAAUUCCAAAUCAUGAGUUGGAUAGUUACGUUCAUGAACUUUUAAUUGUCUUGAAGCAUAAGCAAUAACACUCUUCUCUUGCAUUAGUACUGCACCCAACCCAGAAUAGGAUGCAUCACAAUAAACAAUGAAGUUCUUACCCUCUAUUGGCAAGGUAAGGAUAGGUGCGGUAGUCAACAAAGUCUUGAGCUUCUGAAAGCUUUCCUCACAUUCGUCCGACCAUACAAAUGGAACAUUCUGCUUAGUCAUGUUCGUCAAAUGGGAAGCAAUAGAAGAGAAUCCCUUGACAAAUCGGCGGUAGUAGCUAGCUAACCCAACAAAGCUCCUUAUUUCUGACACAUUAGUAGGUCUUACCCAAUUCUUCACUGUCUCAAUCUUAGAAGGAUCCACCAUCACUCCAUCCUUAGAAACCACGUGCCCCAAGAAGGACACUGCAUCUAGCAAAAACUCACACUUAGAGAACUUGGCAUAAAGCUUUUUCUCCCUCAACAUUUCCAAUACCAUUCUCAAAUGCUCUUCAUGUUCCUUCUUGCUCUUUGAGUAUACAAAUAUAUCAUCAAUAAAUACGAUCACGAAGAGGUCCAAAUAUGGCUUAAAAAUCCCGUUCAUCAAGCUCAUGAACGCAGCAGGGGCAUUAGUAUGACCAAAGGACAUCACUACAAAUUCGUAAUGCCCAUACCUCGUUCGAAAAGCAGUCUUUGGCACAUCCGUUGCCCGUAUUUUCAAUUGAUGAUAACCGGAUCUCAAGUCAAUCUUAGAGAAGACACAAGCACCUUGUAACUGAUCGAACAAGUCAUCAAUGCGAGGAAGAGGGUACUUGUUCUUUAUGGUUACCUUAUUGAGUUGUCUGUAGUCUAUGCACAUUCGAAAACUGCCAUCCUUUUUCUUUACAAACAAAACCGGAGCACCCCAAGGAGAUGCACUUGGUCUAAUGAAGCCUUUGUUCAAUAACUCUUGAAGUUGUGCUUUUAAAUCUCUUAACUCCGCGGGAGCCAUUAUAUAAGGGGGUAUAGAAAUGGGGCGAGUACCGGGUUCAAGAUCAAUAUAGAAGUCAAUAUCCCUAUCCGGUGGCAUACCAGGAAGAUCUGCAGGGAACACAUCCAGAAACUCACGAACUACUGAAACCGACUCAAUCGAAGGUACUUGGGUAGUGUCAUCCUUGAGAUGUGCCAAGAAAGCUAAACACCCUUUACUAAUCAUUUUCUUAGAACGAAGAAAGGAGACGAUGCGGACAGGAUUGGAAGUGUAGUCACCCUCCCACACUAACGGGUCUGUCCCAGGCUUGGCUAACGUCACCGUUUUAGCAUUACAAUCCAAGAUUGCAAAUUGCGGAGAAAGCCAAGUCAUACCCAGAAUCACAUCAAAAUCAUCCAUUUCUAAGAUAACCAAAUCUACAUAGGUGUUGCUCCCCACAAAGUUUACCAAACAAGACCUAUACACCUUUUGAACUACCACAGACUCACCCACCGGAGUAGAAACACGAAUAGGCAUAUCAAGUAAUUCACAAUGUAAAUUUAGACCAUUAGCAAAUGAGGAAGAUACAUAAGAAAACGUGGAUGCAGGAUCAAACAAUACAGAAGCUAUCCAAUCACAAACCAGAAGAUUACCUGUGAUGACAGCAUCAGAUGCCUACGUUUCAGACCGCGAAGGGAAAGCGUAACAAUGGGCCUUAUCGUUCGUCUGUCCGUUGUCCCUACCAUGUUGUGAUGUAGUGGCCCCAGUUUGCCCAUUACCUCUGCCGUUUUGGUGACCACCAUUACCUCGACCACCACUUUCUCCAGAAUAACGGCCUCUACCAUGACCACCUCUACCUCUAGCUAUUGGGGGUCUAUAACUUUGUCUGGGACAAUUUUUCCUAAUAUGUCCAAUCUCCCCACAUCCAUAACAUUCUCUGGAGUGAAUCAUAGGCCCCUCGGAGAAGUGUUGACCGGUCUGAGGUGGUCCCCCAACUACAGUCUGUAGUGAAGACUGAAUUGGUCGGACUAAGUAACUUCCCGAACCCUGUCCUCUAGUGUAAGAACCAUUAAACUCACCUCCCUUUCGAAGCCUUUUUGAUGUCGAUGUUGUGGUGAAGUCGUCUGGCUUCACUCCUUCCACUUCUAUUACAAAGUCUACCACUUCUUGGAAGGAUUUUGUCGUUGCCGCUAUCUGUAAGGCCAAAAUCCGCAAUUCUGACCUCAACCCCUUCACAAACCGGCGAAUCCGCUCUUGAGGACUGAAACAGAGUUGAGUGGCAUAUCUGGAUAGUGCACGGAACUUAGCCUCAUAAGCAUUAACCGACAUCCUACCUUGCUCUAGGCUCAGGAACUCAUCCCUUUUCCUAUCCCUCAAAGUUCGGGGGAUAUACUUCUCCAUAAACAAGCUAGAGAACGAGGCCCAAGUCAUAGGUGGUGCCUCUAUUGGUUGACACUCAAUAUGUGACCACCACCACAUUUUGGCGUUCCCUUGAAACUGAUAAGUCACAAACUACACACCAAACCGUUCUACUAUACCCAUCUUGUGUAGUAGCUCGUGACAGUCAACCAGAAAAUCAUAAGCAUCCUCCGAUUCAGCACCCUUGAAGACUGGAGGUUUGAAUUUCAAGAACAUACUGAAAAGUUCAUGCUGAUCACUUGUCAUUAUAGGCCCAGUAGUCAGACGUGGAAACGUGCCUAUUUCCAAUGGAACAUCUAUGCGGGGAGCCAUAGUAGCCGCAUGUUGUACCUCCGGAGCCUGAAGUGCUGGUGUAGAAAACACUGGGGGUGUCUGGCCCUGAUCAGAUAACCCGCUAAGAUAAGCCAGAACCUGAUUGAUCAUCUCUGGGGUAGGUUGGGGUGGCAUUUCCUCAUUUUGCACUUGUUCAUUUUCCCCGUCCUCCCCUUCUCUUAUUACUUCUUCAGUCGGUGGAGGAGUCACUGCUCUAGUAUCAGAUGGGCUAGGUGCUCGUCCUCUUCCCCUAGAGGACGUCCUCCCACGACCUCUACCACGACCCCUUGCCGUUGUUCUUCCUCGAGCCACAGCCCCAGUGGCUGGCUCAGUUGUUUCUUGUCUUGCCGGUGUUGGUGUUGACGUAGUCAUUGCUCUAGUUCUAACCAUCUGCGAAAGAGAGUGAAGAUAGUCAGAUACCAAUUCGUAUCGCCUAGAUACCAAUUGGACUCAAGUAGUAGCACGAAAGAAAGAAUGAAAGAGUGAAAUUUUCCUAAACUCUUAUAGCCUCUCAAGGAAAAGUAAAGGAGUCCCCCUACCGUUCCUUAAGAAUCUACUGGACCUGUUCUUGUGUGAUGAGACCGACGAACCUAAUGCUCUGAUACCAAGUUUGUCACGACCCAAAUCGGAUCGCGACUGGCACCCACACUUACACUCCUAUGUGAGCAAACCAACCAAUCUAAACCUUAACAUUUCAAUGUAAUAACAACAGAAAGUAAUGCGGAAGACUUAAACUCAUAAGUAAAAAUAAAUAAUCAACUUCUAUAACUCAAAAACUUAUCAUUAUCCCCAGAAUCUGGAAGUCAUCAUCACAAGAACAUCUACUUUAAACUACUAAUUCUAAGAGUUUCUAAGAAGCUAAAAAUACAUAAGAAGCUAGUCCAUGCCGGAAGUUCAAGGCAUCAAGACAUGAAGGAGAAGAUCCAGUCCAAGCUAGAAGCGUUAGCUCACCCUGAAGAUCCGGUGUGACGAAGACUGGCUUGAGUUACUGUUGAGUCGAAGAUGACGGCACGUUUGCUGCACUCCACAAAUAACAAGAAGAAAAACAUAAAAGUAGGGGUCAGUACAAAACACGGGUACUGAGUAGAUAUCAUCGGCCAACUCAAAAUAGGGAACAGUAUAUAUCAAUAUUAUCGUAAAUCAACUAUAAAACUCAACAUGUAGCAACAACAAGUAUUAUAAUCAUCAAUAAGUACCAUCAAGUUCAUCCAUGAGGGCUCAAGCCUCAAUGCCAUACUCAUUUGGGAAUUAAGUUUAUUAAGUUGAGUAUAUUAUAAUCUUUCAAGAUUCAUUAUCUUUCCUCUUCUUGUGUCGGUACGUGACACUCCGAUCCCCUACUACUAUGUGUCGGUACGUGACACUCCGAUCCCCUAAUUCUAUGUGUCGGAACGUGACACUCCGAUCCCCUACAUGUGUCAGAAAGUUACACUCCGAUCCCCUACAUGUGUCGGUACGUGACACUCCGAUCCCCUACUACUAUGUGUCGGUACGUGACACUCCGAUCCCCUAAUUCUAUGUGUCGGAACGUGACACUCCGAUCCCCUACAUGUGUCGAAACGUGACACUUCGAUCCCCUACAUGUGUCGGAACGUGACACUCCGAUCCACUAAUACUAUGUGUCGGAACGUGAUAGUCCGAUCCACUAAUACUAUUCUGUAAAUCAUCAAGCCUUCUCUAUUCCAACGCAUCAUCGAUCCCAUUACUUUAAUUCAUCAAGCCUUCUUCUAUACCAAGGCAUCAUCAUUAAUAAUGUAUAUUAAAGUUUCUUUUCAAGAUUUGGGAUUCAAUAUUUUCAUCAUGCUUAUCUUAUCAGAAUCACAUAAUCAUAUUCAUGCAAACAUACCAUUAAGCAUAUAGUAGGGUUUACAAUACUACCAAUACAUAUCAUUCACUAUUAAGAGUUUACUUAUGAAGCAUGAAAACCAUAACCUACCUCCACUGAAGAGUUGAAUCAAGCAAGAAUUUUCCCAAAGCAUUGUUUCUCCCUUCUCGUUCGAUUCUCUCUCUCUCUCAUGUUCUUUCUAUUUUCUUUAUUCAAACCCUCUUUCUUUUACCCUAAUUAGUAUAUAAUUAAGAAUAAAAGAUGGCAAUAAUACCCCACUAAUUAACUUAGGGUUACCUCUUUUAACCCCUCAAGAAUUUUAGUUAUUAAUAUAACCCCACGAAAUCUAUAAUUAAGGAAAGAAUAGUCCAAACACGUCCCUUAAAACUUCACCAGAAAUCCGACUCUGCCUGGGAUUUGCGCAACUUGUGACGGGCCGUCGUGCCUGCGACGGUCCAUCCUGCAGGUCGUCGCAAAGUUCAGAGAAUGGAUUUUCACUGAAGUCUCCGUGACGGUCCGUCACGCCUGUGACGGUCCGUCCUGCCAUUCCGUCACGAAGUUUAGAGAGUCGAUUUUCAGUACAAAUUUCAGAUUUUCUAAGUGUUUUGAAACGAGACCCUGCGACGGUCCGUCGUGCCCAUGACGGAUCGUCGUUUGGUCCAUCGCCUUAGCCUGUUUUUCCAGAAUUGAAGUUUGUUGCUCAAAACGACUAAACAGGUCGUUACAGUUAAGGAACAGAAUCCUCAAAAAAAUUGGGAAGAGUUACGAAAGGUAGAAAUUACCGAGUUUUGGGAUGAAAUCCUAAAGAAAUUUGGAAAGAGAAACAGAAGGGAGAAAGAACAAUGAAAAGCUUAAAAAACAUGAAGAACACAGAAGAACAAAGAGCAGUAAAAAACGUAAAUUGUAAAUUCAAAUCAUAAACUCAAUAAUUAAUAUACGUAGAGAAAAUUUAUACUUAUAAAAUUUUAUUAAUUUAGGUAUAGAGAAUAUGGAUUAUGGGAAAUUGAAAAGAUGGGAAAUAUGGAAAAUUGGGAGAGAAUGGUAGAGAGGUGUCAAAGUCGUAUGAUUUUGAAUGCCUCCUACUUAUUGAAGUUGAAAGCCUUAAAUAGGCCUUAAAAGUGCCGACUCCUAACUUAUUAUGCUACCUAUUUUACAUGUGUGCAUACACUAAUACACAUUUUUAUCUUACACAUUAUUAUUACUUAUUACAAAUAACUUAUGGUAAUUGUACAUGGCUUGAUAGAUGCCACGUAGCUGGAACUAGUAACACGUAGCCUUCACCCAUGUUUAUCUUCUUUUGCUGAAAAUUUGUCUUCAAAAUAUAUACCUUGUUAUUUGGUCCUUUUUUCACUUUGUAGCUUUUGGCUUUAUUCCUGCACGGUAUACCUUUUUGCUUGUUUGUUGACAUAAUAAAUAUUAACAUAUGCUUGGCCCUUUCUUGUCUUUAUUGAAGAUGAUACAUAUCCUCAUUGCUAUUUUCUACUGGUAUGUGAGGAUUCAACGCCUAAUAAUUCCAUUAUCUUUUCAUGAUUGGUAUUUUUGCCAUUAUUUAAUAAGGCUUCUUCCAUCCUUCUAUUAAAUUCUUCUUUUGAAACAUCAUAUUUCCUUCAUGAUGAAAAGCCAAUAACUAAUUUUUCAUCAUGAUCUUUCGAAUUGCAUCAUUUAAUCUUGAUAGUCUUGCUACUUGAUUCUUUCAAUUUCAUGAAUAUCAAAAGGACCAACUAAUAUUAUAAAAUUUUCUUGUUGGAAAUAAAUAACUUAUACUAUUUAAUAUGUUUUGGGAGUUUAGAGAUAUUUUGGCCUGCGUGGAACUUCUCAAACUGCAUUCCAAAUUGUGGUGAUAAUACAUGUUUUAUUGCCUCCGAACUAGCUCCACCAUUUGUAAAACCGCCGAGGGAUCUUUUAAAUAUUUAUCAAAGCAUUUAUGGGUAUUUUUCCAGAGAUAAAUAAAAUUAUAGCAAGCCGCCUUGUAAUGAUACCAAUUAUACAUCUGGGAAUGAUAAGAUGUUGAUAGUGGAAUGGGUUUAUGUAGAUGAUCUACAAACCACUCAAAAGGACUUAAUUUUAUUUUAAUUGUAAAUCUUGAAAAUUCAAUACUAUAUGGAUCAUUCUUGUAAGCUAAUGUAUGCUCAAUCAUGACUGAGUCAGUAUCUUUUAAUAUAGACUAAUAAUACCUUCGUAUUUUUAGUGGAUUCUCAGUUUCAACGUAAUUCUGAUUAGUGUCACACGCCGAGAGCACACCCUAUAAGAUAUGGCUCUCUUAGAGUGCAACGUCGCAUAUUUGACUUCUCGGAGGUAUUGGACACACCCUUUAAAAUCAUUCAUUGCAUACAUGUAUAAAAGUAGUACAAAAUUAAAAAAUUUCACAUAAAUUAUCUGAAAACAUCUUUCAUAUUAAAAUCAUUGGAAAAUACUAAGUCUCAAUAUAUGUUAAUCUUAGACUCAAAAUAAUUGGGACACGACUCAUACAAUACGAAUAUAAAAAUACUUAGUCUAUUGCAAUAUUUUGAAAUAAAAGAAGUCUAAAGAUAGUUAUGUCCUCGAGCCAAGUGAGGACAUACUUCAACUUGCUUGAAAAAAUACUAGUUUCCAAGUUUUGCUUCAAGACGCUUAUCACCUUCCUCCUACACAUUUAGAUAUAAUAAAAUGGAAUUAGUGUAUAUACGUGAACUAAAUAUAGCUUAAUGCAUAAAGCAUGAGAAACAGACAUUUAUAACAAACAUGCUCUUUUUUAUUAAAAAAUCAUAUUAAAAGCAUCAACAUGACAUUUAAGCACCAAACAUCACAUUUAGAACAAAAUACAAGUCGAAGGCAAUUUAUAUCAAUUUAAAUGAACCUUAAAAUGAUCUUACAUUGAACUUCACUGUAACAUUUCAUAAACUAACAUAUUUCAAUAUAGCAUAAAUAACACCCACAAAACACACAAACAUGAGAUCCUCAUAUCAAAGGUGAUUCUAAGACUUUCUGGAGUGCGUUAUGAACCGACCGCCCAUACAAUCCCUUCACACAUACCUAAGAGAUAAUUUAGACUGCCUUAUAAAAGAUCAUUCUCACUUCACAGGAGAGUAUGCAUAUAAUAUUACAUUCCCCUCUCAAAGGUUAUCAAAAGACUUACAUAAGUAAUUCAUGAAGAUAAUUUUCAUACCCUUUCUCCGUGAGUCCAAAAUAAUCCUUAAAAAUACCUAAGUUUAGAUCCUAUCUAUUCUAUGAAUUUACUUUCCUAUCUAAAGGCCUUCUUAUGAAUUCCCAAGAGAAAACAUGAAGUGACCUUUCCUAUGCCCCCUUCAAACCUAAACUAAGCAACCUUUAAACUACUCUAGUUAAGUGAUUAGUCAUUAACAUACUUUUCAACUUAAGUCAUAUCUUUACUAGUUCAUUAAAAUACAUUUAAAACAUGAGGACAUUCAAGUAAUUGUCUUAGAGAAGACCAAGGGACUAACUCAAUAACAUCUUCAAAGCCUAAUCGCGUAAUGUCUAGAUAGAGUCCUAUACCAUUACCUAAACUUCAUAGAAGUUCUACAAUACUAGUAUGCAUUCCAUAUGAUGAGAACAGGAAAUAAUUGAUAUAGACCAUACUAGCUACGCAUGAAAUUCGGAGCCAUGAACCUACUCCGUUAGAGGUUUGUUCUACAGGCUAAUGGUCAAAAUAGGACACGUCCCAUAUAGGUACAUAGUUAAGGAAUAUGAAAGGUUUCCUUGUACUCUAGCCUCAUGCUUAUCUAGAGAUACUUCCCAAACCAUAAUACUCGGUCCUAGAAUUUGUUCUCCUAGAGUAUUUCAAUGAAGGAGUACAUGAAAAGGUUCCACAUCUAGUUCACAGCCUAAUCACAUUACACUUAACCAAGGAGCGUCUACCAAGAAUACCUAGAAUAGAUAAGAGGAUAGCUCAAUAACUUUCCUAAGAAUGAUUUCAUUUCGUUCAAUCUAAUCAAUCCUAAGUCCACUAUUCACAUAAGAAGGAUACCAUUACGACUUUGAACUUGAAGCAUAUCAUAACAUUCAUACUAGGUUUUAGGUUCCACAUAAAGGACUUUCUUUACAAUAUUGAAGGUCACAUGUCAAUCACAUAUAUAAGGCUAAGGAUCAAGAACUCAUAUUCACAUUCUACACGUAUCAAGUAAUGCACACAAGUCUACCAAACAAGACACACACAUACUUCACAUAUAGCAUAUCACUCUAAAGCACAUAGGUAUAAUCAAGAUAAUCUAUAGGUAACCUUAUUCCCUACUAUAAUAUCAUCAAUCGAAUUAUCACAAAUAUCAUAUAAUCUAUCAAGACACAUCAUACUUUACAUCAAGUAUUCCACAUAAUGGCUACACGAUAGUCCAGUAGAGACACACAUUUUCAAUUUGAAGAACUCCUUCUUUGACUCCACAUAAACACAUAAGUCAUCAUGAUAUUAAUAAUAUCCACAUAAUAAUGUAAUGAUAAAUCAAUAAUUUUUGAAGAAAUGCCAACGAGGACACAUCAUUCACAAUUCAUGAAUUAAUGUCGAUAAGUGCACAUUGGUUACAAGCAUAGCACAUAAGAAUCACCACAAUAAGUGGACCAUACCAACAUCAUUAUCAACUAAGACCCAUAAUACACAAUAUAGACAAAGUGAGGUCAACAUACUGUUGAUCCAACCUCACAACUUCAAUUCAUAGUCAAUUCAUCCAACAAAAUAUACCAAGAUCCUUACUAAUGGUCGUGCUCAUCCAUUACACCCAAUAAUAACAAUACAUAAUAAAUAAAGGACAAUAAAACAUGAAUUUAUAAAAUUAAGGCAGCCAACUAAUAAUUCUAGGAUGACUCAUUCCUUAUUCAAUAACCCUAAUCAAACUACAUAAUAAGUCAAUAGCGUUAAGACAUAACCAAUUCACCCACAAAGUAGUCAAAUCUAGGGUUACAUGAAUUUCAUGGGUUCAUAGAGCUUUUAGGUUAAAAUCACCUAAUUCAUAACUAUUCAAUCAAUAUACAAUGAUUCAAAUAAUUUUAUGCAAGAACCCAUGAAAGAUUGCAAAAUAGGACAAGUUCAGCUUUGUAAGACUUUAGAAAUUACUUUGAGGUUUGGCUCUUUGAAGAAAAGAUUUUCAUGUAUUAAGGUUUUACAUUAGUUGAUGCUAGAGAACGAAUUUGAUGAAGAAUAACCAAAUAAAUCUUCAAUCGAAACUCAAUUAUGAGUUUUGGCUCCAACGGAGUUUUAGAGAAUAUUCAUCGAGAAUUUGGAAUUGAUUUAGAAUAAUGAAUUCAUCUUUGUGUUUUAGACUAAUAAACUUAUUAUAUUACCCUAAAUAGACUUAGGAAAGCACACAUUUAUUUAUUUUGACAUGAGGUUAAUUUACCAAUUCACCCCUACACUUAUCAGUUACUAACGAACAAUUGCAGGCCACCAUCGAUGGGGCAUAUAUCCCUUGAUGGGUUAUCCUGUGUAACCGUCAAUGGGAUCAAAGACAUGGCUUUGGGAGCUUGAGAUCUCUAGGCUAUGUAGUGACCCACGCCUCCCAACUACGGGGCGUAGGUUGUACUUAGUAGGUUAGACUGUGUUUGGCAGUUUUGCAUCAAAUGAUAAGUCCUUCAUCAAGGACCCUUGGUUGGUCCUUGGGGAAUUUUUACUAAACAUUUACAACCCGAAUAUAUUUGUAUACAAGUUUAGGACAUCUAACAUCAAUUUCAUCCAAAACAAACAAGUAAUACUUUACGAAACACACUAAUAUACAAAAUUUCAUUUCAAGGCAAACCUUUCGAAUGUCAUAGACGUUCUUGGACGUUUGACCUCCAAACUUCAUGAAACUUUAAACACUGCCUUCUAACCUCAUUAUACACAAUUAAGGACUUCGAAACAUUAAUACAAAAGAGUUAAACUCUUAUAUCUAAGUAAUUUUAGAGGUGUUACAGUUAGUGUACAUGGUUUUAGGAGGUCGGGUACUCCAAAAGCAUUCAUAUUCUUUGUCAAGCGCCAUCAUUGGCAGUACCUAAAAAAGUGUAGUGGGAAAAUCCUUUUUAUCUUACUCAAUAACAUUUUCUUUAUUUUUUGUUGGGGUAGUUGGAACUACCGCCUAUCUGUCUCUUUUUGGUUGUUUGAUUUCAUAACUAUCUUUUGUUUGGACAAAAAUAGUUGUUGAUGAGGGUUGAUUUGAUGAUGAGGAGUUGGGUUUAGGUAGAUUUGAAAAUUCCUCCAGAGCUGAGUAGUGAUUUUCUCAUUAUUUAUCGCCCUCUUUGAAGGGUUAUUUUCAUAUUAUCUUCUGGUUUGAAGGGCUAUAGUUGGAGCCUCGGAGGCCUUCUCCUGGUACUCCUCGUCUAAUUAUUUCCUUUAAAAAUUUAUCUUUUCAAAAAAUCGAGCAGAGAAUUAGUUUCUCCUUUUAUAAAUCCUAUUUCAAAAUCAAAGCUAGAUAAUAAAUCUUGUCAUCUGGAAUUUCUUUUUUUUAGAAAUAGAUUUUUAACAUCUUUUUUCAGAACAUCUUUGGCUGCUUUGCAAUCGACUCUUAAUAAAUGUUAUUUUUUCAAUAAAUCAUCGUGAGAUUUUGUAGUACAUAGUACUAUAGAAAAAAUUUCCUUUUUAAUAGUACUAUAAUUUGUUAAGUAUCAUUCCAAACUCUUGAAUUAAAUCUUACUAAUUUUACAGUGGAUCCUACGGUAAUUUUUUGUUUAAGUAAACCUCCAUACGCUAUAUCUGAGUCAUUUGUUUCUACUAUCAUAAAAGCCUCCAGAUGUGGUAUACAUAUACAUGAGUUUUUGGACAGUUAGUUUUAUUUUUUGGACUACACUUGUGUCAUCUAAUCCCCAUUACUCUGGAUUCUUUUUAAGGCAUUGAUAAAGAGGCUUGCAAACCUGUCUAAUAUUAGGAAUAAAAUCAGCAACAUAAUUGAGACUCCCUGAAAAUCUCCGGAGCUUUGUUUUAUCUGUUAAUUCAAUGCGUCAUCUACGUUGACUAUAUAAAUAUGACUACACUCAUAAAAUAUAUUAUUCGUGAUGUUUUGAAAUUCAGGUGGAACAUUUUUUAGUAUGAAUGGAAUUACAUUCCAUUCGUAUUGUCCAAAAACAACUUUGAAGUUUGUUUUAUAUUUGUCAUUUUUGGCGAUUUAUAUCUGCCGAAAUCUUGAUUUUAUGUCAAACUUACUAUAAACAUUAGCUUUGUAAGUUCUCUUAAGUAGAUCACGUUUGCUAGGUAUGGAUACCUUAUCCAUUUUGAUACCUUAUGAAGGGGCAUAUAAUUGAUAACUAGUCUUGGGGCACUUCUUUCCUUUUUGGCACUAAUAUUUACAUAAAAGGUCGAGCAACUCCAAGGUAAAUUGGAUUGUCUAAUAAUAUAUUUAGCAAACAAAUAAUUAAUUUCUAUUUUACAAUAUUCCACAAAUUCAGCUUCAUUUGAAUGGGUCUUGACUUAGUGGGGAUGAUCUUUUCAUAGAAUCCCUCAAUAUAAGGUAAUUCAACAAAAUGUAUUUUCCUUUCCCAAAAUUGAUUAGGAAAUCAGAACAAAAUUAUCGUUCUAUAUCAUCUUGUAAGCUUUUAAUUUUAAUUUCUACUCUGGAUUUUUUAAAGAGGAUUGAAUUCUCUUCAUCUUGAUAUAUUCUGUUAAAUAAUUAAUUUGUUGUGAGAGUAGAUUUAUUAUAAAUAUAUUUUUAUUUUUAUAUGGUCACUUUCCCAUGUUGAUAUACUAUUUAAAUAUAGGAAAAUAAUCUUUUCUUUCCCAAGAUAGUUGUGUGAAUUCCAUCUAGGAUAGCCUUAUAUGGUUUUACUUGUGUUAUAAAGGGAAUGCCUAAAAUUAUUUCUUCAUUUAUAUUUUUAGUUAUUACAAAAUCAUUUAUGAAACAAAUUCCAUCGUUACAUAUAUGUCUUGUUGAGUUUAUAAUUUAUUUAAGUCUUUCUUCUGAUGCAAAAAAUAAUCGAGUAGUAGUUUUUUCAAGAUACUUAGUAGGGAUAAUUCCUUCAAUGAUGGGACUUUUAUUUGCACUAGUUACUAAUAAAGCAAUUUUUUGGAUAGGUAUUUUUUUUUAUUUAUAGCUAAAGUAAUGAUUAUAUGAUAGUUAUGAGCUUCUACUAAUCCUAUAGUCUUGACUCCUGAUUUUAUCAUUUGAAUAUUUCUAACGGUCUUAACUCUAAAGGUAAACUUUGAUUUUGGGUGGAUGUUUCUCAAGAAGUUUUCACCUUUUAUUUUAUUAUUUUGAUUUCUUUCUUUACAUGUAUUAAUUCUGUUAGAUGAUCUUGAAGCAUUGUUCAGAUUUUGGGUGGAUGUUUGUGUCACAACACAAAAUGAGCCGCGAGCGGCACCCACACUUAUCCUACUAUGUGAGCGAACCAACCAAUCUAAACCCCAACAUUUAAACCAUAAUACACAAAAUAUAAUACGGAAGACUUAAAACUCAUUAAUAUAACCAAUAAAUAACUUCUAAAAUUUAAUAAUUAUUAUUCCCAAAAUCUGGAAGUCAUCACCACAAGAACAUUCUAUCCUCAAAUUACUAAAUGUAAGAGUAUCUAGGAAGCUAAAAUACGUAAACAUAUGGUCCAUGUCCGAACUUCAAGGACAUCAAGAUAUGAAUGAGAGAGAAUCCAGUUUGAGCUAGGAACAAUAGCUCACCCUCAAAUCUGGCCGAUGAAGACUGACUAGAGUUGAGGACGAGUUGAGGACGAUGGCAUGUUUGCUGCACUCCACAAAUAACAAAGAUGAAAAUUACAAGUAGGGGUCAGUACAAGGCACAAGUACUCAGUAGGUAUCAUCGGCCAACUCAAAAUAGAAAGCAAUAUAUAAUAGAUAAUAACAUAAAAUCACCCAUAACACUUAACAGGUGACAAUAACAAGUACCAUAACCAUUGGACACAACACCAAGAACAUCUAUAUGGACUCAAGCCUCCACACCAUACUCAUUUAGGAAUUAGGUUCUUCAAACCUGAGUAUAUUAACAUAGUUCAAGAUUCAUUCUCUUUACUAUCCUGGUGUCGGAACGUGACACUCUGAUUCCCUCAAUAUUCAUUCAUCUUACUAUACUGGUGCCAAACGUGACACUCCGAUCCCUUACUAUCCUUGUGUCGGAACGUGACACUCCGAUCCACUAAUACUAUGUGUCAAUUCAUGACACCCGAUCCCCUAAUUCUACGUGUCGGUUCGGGACACCCGAUCCAUUAACCUCAUUCUUUUCAGUUCAUCAAGCCUUCUUUUAUAUCAAGGAAUCAUCAUUAAUAGCGAUAUUUUUAAGGUUUAAGAUUCAACAGCCUCAUCAUUCUAAUUCAUCACAUUUAUAUAAUCACAUAAUGCAACCACACAAUUAAGCAUAUAGAAGACUUUACAAUACUACCCAAUACAUAUCAAUCACUAUUUAGAGUUUACUAUGAGAUAGCACAAACCAUAACCUACCUCCACCGAAGAUCGUGAUCAAGCAAGCUAUCCCCCAAACCUUUGCUUUCCUCUACGUUCUUCUCUUUCUCUCGCUCGUUUCACCCUUCUUUUCUGUUCUUUCUAUUUUUCCUUAUUCAACCUCUUUUUCAUUUACCCUAAUUAUCAUAUAAUUAAGUAUACAAGAUGGUAAAAGUAACCCACUAUUUAUUUCAAGGUUAUCUCCUUUAAGCCCCAAGUAAUUGAAUUAUUAACAUUAAACCACUAACUUUAUAAUCAUAAGCAAAAAUAUUUCAAAACAUCACUUAAAUACUUUAGCAGAAAUCCGACCCAGUCAGGGUUACGCAACCUGUGACGGUCCGUCAUGCCUACGACGGUCCGUCCUGCAGAGUCGUCACAGAGUUUAGAGAGUCGAAUUCAUUAAAGAGUCUGUGACGGUCCGUCAUGCCUACGACGGUUCGUCCUGCUCUUCCAUCGCGAAGUUCAUAGAGUUGUUCUCAGUACCCAAUUUUCCAGAGUCUAAGUGUUUUGGAAAGAGACCCCCUAGACGGUCCGUCGUGCCCAUGACGGUCCGUCGUGGGAUCCGUCCACCCAGACAGCUAUUACCAGAAAUAAACUCUGCUGCCCAUAACGACUAAAUAGGUCGUUACAAUAGAUACCAAUUUACCCAUCGUUCAUCCUCGAACGAUCACAAGAAGAAAAACAAGGACGAAAAGGAGUACCUGAAUCUGUAAACAGGUGUGGGUAUCUUUCUUGCAUAUCAGCCUCCUUCUCCCAAGUGGACCCUUCCAACGGUCGAUUCUUCCAUUGAACUUUGAUGGAUGCAAUCUCCCUUGAUCUCAACUUGCGGACUUCUCUAUCUAAACUAGCAAUAGGCUCCUCCUCAUAAGACAUAUUCUCAUCAAGAAGAACUGAAUCCCAACGAAUAAUGUAGUUUCCAUCCCCAUGGUAUCUUUUCAGCAUAGACACAUGAAAUACCGGGUGCACUCCUGACAGUACUAGAGGUAAGGCUAAUUCAUAAGCUACCUCCCCCACGCGCUUCAGAAGUUCAAAUUGACAAAUAUACCUCGGACUAAGCUUACCCGCUUACCAAACCGCAUCACCCCUUUCAUGGGUGAAACCUUCAGCAAGACUUGCUCACCCUCCAUAAACUCCAAGUCUCUAACCUUUCGAUCUGCAUAUUCCUUCUGUCUACUUUGAGCCACUAGAAGCUUUUCUUGAAUGAAUUUCACUUUCUCUAAUGAUUCCCUCAGAAUGUCAGUACCCCAUGGUCUUACCUCAAAUGCAUCGAACCAACCAAUGAGAGACCUACAUCUCCUCCCAUACAGUGCCUCAAAUGGGGCAUACAAUACUUGAGUGAUAGCUAUUGUUGUAUGAGAACUGUGCUAAGGGUAAGAAGUUAUCCCAAUGAUCACCAAACUCUAUCACACAUGCACGAAGCGUAUCCUCCAAAACCUUAAUCGUUCACUCAGACGGACCAUCGGUCUAAGGGUGAAAUGCGGUACUAAUAUCCAACCUAGUACCUUAAUCAGCAUACAAUGUUUUCCAAAACUUAGAAGUAAACUGCGUACCUCUAUCUUAUAUGAUGGAAACUGGAACUCCAUGCAACCGAACGACUUCUGAGAUAUAGAGCCUGGCUAACUUCUCUGCAUUGUAAGUCAACUUAAACGGAAUGAAGUGAGCAGACUUAGUUAACCUAUCAACAAUUACCCAAAUGGAGUCAUAUUUACCGAUUGUCUUUGGAAGACCAACCACGAAGUCCAUUUCAUUUCUCUCCCACUUCCAUUCAGGAAUGCGCAUUCUCUAAAGUGUCCCUCCAGGCCUCUGGUGUUAAUACUUUACCUGCUGACAAUUCGGGCAUUGAGCAACAAAAUCAACAAUGUCCCGCUUCAUUCUACUCCACCAAAAAUGUUGCUUUAGGUCACGAUACAUCUUGGUUGCACCGGGAUGUAUAGAAUACCUUGAACUAUGAGCCUCUGUAAGAAUAGUGUGAAUCAAAUCAUCUACGCAGGGUACACAUACCCUUCCCUUAAUUCUCAGAACACCUUCCUCAUCGAUUUUUGCUUCUUUAGCCUCUCCUCGCAAUACCUUAUCUCGAAUCCGGAUCAGUUUCUCAUCAGUAAACUGCUUUCCCUUAAUCUUGUCAAGAAAGGAAGAUUUUGCCUCCACACAGGCCAAAAAUUCUCCCUUCUCAUUUACUUCUACCCUCAUAAAGUCAUUAGCCAGAGUCUGAACCUCUCUAGCCAAUGGGCGUCUAGAAACCUGCAAGUGAGCUAGACUUCCCAUGUUCCCUACUUUUCUACUUAACGCAUCUGCCACAACGUUAGCUUUUCCUGGGUGAUACAAAAUAGUGAUAUCGUAGUCCUUCAGUAGUUCCAUCCAUCUCCUCUGUCUCAAAUUCAAAUCUUUCUAAGUAAAGACAUACUGUAGGCUACGAUGAUCCGUAUAGACUUCACACUUAACCCCAUAUAGAUAAUGUCUCCAUUGCUUUAAUGCAAACACUACGGCGGCCAACUCCAAAUCAUGAGUCGGAUAAUUACAAUCAUGCACCUUUAAUUUCCUCAAAGCAUAAGCAAUUACAUUCUUCUCUUGAAUUAGCACUGCACCCAACCAAGAAUAGGAUGCAUCACAAUAAACAAUGAAAUUCUUACCUUCCACUGGCAGGGUAAGAAUAUGUGCAGUAGUCAACAAAGUCUUGAGCUUCUGAAAGCUUUCUUCUCACUGGUUUGACCAUACAAAUGGAACACUCUGCUUAGUCAAGUUUGUCAAUUGGGAAGCAACAGAAGAAAAUCCCUUGAAAAAUCGACGGUAGUAGCUAGCUAAACCAACAAAGCUCCUUACCUCUAUAACAUUAAAAGGUCUCACCCAAAUCUUCACGGCUUCGAUCUUAGAAGGAUCCACCAUCACUCCAUCCUUAGAAACUACGUGCCCCAAGAAGGACACUUAAUCUAGCCAAAACUCACACUUGGAGAAUUUGGCAUAAAGUUUCUUCUCCCUCAACAUUUCCAAUACAAUUCUCAAGUGCUCCUCAUGUUCUUUCCUGCUCUUUGUGUAUACCAGUAUAUCAUCAAUGAAUACAAUGACAAAGAGAUCUAGAUAUGGCUUAAAAAUCCCGUUCAUCAAUUUCAUGAAAGCACCAGGGGCAUUCGUAAGCCCAAAAGGCAUUACUAAGAACUCAUAAUGUCCAUACCUGGUACGAAAAGCAGUCUUUGGCACAUCCCUUGCCCGUAUUAUCAAUUGAUGAUAACCAAAUCUCAAAUUGAUUUUUGAGAAGGUACAAGCACCUUGUAACUGAUCGAACAAAUCAUCGAUGCGAGGAAGAGGAUACUUGUUCUUAAUCGUUACCUUAUUCAGUUGCCUGUAGUCUAUGCACAUCCGAAAACUUCCAUCCUUCUUCUUCACAAACAAAACAGGAGCACCCCAAGGGGAUGCACUUGGUCUAAUAAAGCCUUUGCUUAACAACUCUUGAAGUUUGGCCUUUAACUCUCUUAACUCAGCGGGAGACAUCCUAUAAGGGGGUAUGGAAAUGGGGCGAGUACCCGGCUCUAGAUCAAUUCAAAAGUCAAUAUCCCUAUCCGGUGGCAUACCAGGAAGGUCUGCAGGAAGCACAUUCAGAAACUCACAGACUAUCGAAACCGACUCAAUUGAAGGUACUUGGGUAGUAUCAUCCCUGAGGUGUUCCAAGAAAUCUAAACACCCUUUACUAACAAUUCUCUUAUAACGAAUAAAGGAGAUGAUACGAACUGGAGUUGAAGUGUAGUCACCCUCCCACACUAACGGAUCUGUCACAGCUUGGCCAACGUUACAGUUUUAGCAUUAAAAUCUAAGAUUGCAAAAUUUGGAGAAAGCCAAGUCAUACCCAGAAUUACAUCAAAAUCAACCAUUUCUAAGAUAACCAGGUCUACAUGAGUAUUGCUCCCCACAAAAGUUACAAGACAAGACCUAUACACCUUUUCAACUAUCACAAACUCACCCACCAGAGUAGAAACACGAAUAGGCAUGUCAAGCAAUUCACAAUGUAAAUUAAGACCAGUAGCAAACGAGGAAGAUACAUAUGAAAAUGUAGAGCCUGGAUCAAAUAAUACAGAAGCCAUGCGAUCACAAACCAAAAAAUUACCUGUGAUAACAGCAUCAGAUGUCUCCGCUUCAGACUUCCCAAGGAAAGCAUAACAAUGGGCCCUAUCACAUGUCUGCCCAUUGCCCCUACAAUGUUGCGCUGCAGUAGUUCCAGUUUGCCCAUCACCCCGGCUGUUUUGGUGACCACCAUUACCUCAGCCACCACGUCCUCCAGAAUGACGGCCUCUUCCAUGACCACCUCUACCUCUGACUAUUAGGGGUCUAUAACUCUGUUUUCGACAAUACCUCCUAAUAUGUCCAUUCUCCCCUCAUCCAUAACACUCUCUGGAUUCAAGUACAGGUCUCUGUGAGAAUGAAGAACUGUGGGGGUAACCUCCAAACUCUGAGAAAUGUUGGUCGGUGUGCAGUGGAACCCCAGCUACAGCCUGCAGUAAAGACUGAAUAGGUCGGGCUGGGUAGCCUCCUGAACCCUUCCCUCUGGAGUAAGAACCAUUAAACUCGCCUCCCUUACGAAACUUCUUAGGUGUUGAUGUCAUGGUGAAGUCGUAUGGCUUCACUCCGUCCACUUCUAUCACAAAAUCUACCACCUCCUGAAAGGAUUUUGCUGCAGUAGCUACCUGUAAGCUGGAAUCUGCAAAUCUGACCUCAAUCCCUUCAUAAAAUGGCGAAUCCGCUCUUGUGGACUGAAGCAAAGUUGGGUGGCAUACCUGGAUAAUGCACGAAACUUAGCCUCAUACGUAGUAACCGACAUCCUGCCUUGCUCUAGGCUCAGGAACUCAUCUCUCCUCCUAUCCCUAAAUGUCCGGGGUAUAUACUUUUCCAUAAAUAAGCUAGAGAAUGAUGCCCAAGUCAUAGGUGGUGCCUGUGCUGGUUGACACUCAACAUACGAUCGCCACCAUAUUUUGGCAUUUCCCUGAAACUGAUAGGUUACAAACUCAACACCGAAUCGUUCCACUAUGCCCAUCUUAUGUAGCAACUCAUGACAAUCAACCAGAAAGUCAUAGGCAUCCUCAGAUUCAGCACCCUUGAAGACUAGAGGUUUCAAUUUCAAGAACUUAUUGAAAAUUUCGUGCUAAUCACUUGUAAUUAUAGGCCGCGUAGUCAAUCGAGGAAACGUGCCUAUUUCCAAUGAGGCAUCCAUGCGGGGAGCCACAACAACUGCAUGUUGUACUCCCGGAACCUGAGGUGCUGGUGCAGAAAACACUGGAGGUGUCUGGCCUUGAUCAGAUAACCCGCUAAGUUAAGCAAGAACCUGAUGAAUAAUCUCUGGGGUAGGUUGGGGUGGUAAUUCCUCAUUCUGCACUUGUUCAUUAUCCCCUUCCUCACCCUCUCUUAAUACUUCCUCAGUCGGUGGAGGAGUCAUCACCCUAGUACUAGAUGGGCCAGGUGCUUGUCCUCUUCCUCUAGAGGAUGUCCUCCCGCGACCUCUACCACGACCUCUUGCCACUGCUCCUCUUCGAGCUACAGCCCUAGUGGCUGGCUCAGACGCAUCUUGUCUUGGCGGUGUUGGUAUUGGCGUGGUUGUUGCUCUAGUUCUAACCAUCUACGAAAUAGAGUGAAGAUGGCCAGAUACCAAUUUGUAUCACCUAGAUACCAAUUGGAUCAAUGUAAUAGCACGAAAGAAAGAAAGAAUGGAAUUUUCCUAAAGUCUUAUAGCCUCUCAAAGAAAAGUAAAGGCGUCCCCCUACCGUUCCUCAAGACUCCACUAGACUCGUUCUUGUGUGAUGAGACUAACGAACCUAAUGCUCUGAUACCAAGUUUGUCACGAUCCAAAACGAGUCGUGAGUGGCACCCACACUUAUCCUACGAUGUGAGUGAACCAACCAAUCUAAACACCAACAUUUUAACCAUAAUACACAGAAUAUAAUGCGGAAGACUUAAAACUCAUUAAUAUAACCAAUAAAUAACUUCUAAAAUUUAAUACUUAUUAUUCCCAAAAUCUGGAAGUCAUCACCACAAGAACAUUCUAUCCUCAAAUUACUAAAUCUAAAAGUAUCUAGGAAGCUAAAAUAAGUAAACAAAUGGUCCAUGUCCGAACUUCAAGGACAUCAAGACAUGAAUGAGAGAGAAUCCAGUCCGAGCUAGGAACAAUAGCUCACCGUGAAAUCUGGCGCGAUGAAGACUGGCUAGAGUUGAGGACGAUGGCACGUUUGUUUCACUCCACAAAUAACAAAGAAGAAAAUUACAAGUAUGGGUCAGUACAAGGCACAAGUAAUGAGUAGAUAUCAUCGGCCAACUCAAAAUAGAAAGCAAUAUAUAACAGAUAAUAACAUAAAAUCAAUCAUAACACUUAACAGGUGACAACAACAAGUACCAUAACCAUUGGCCACAACACGAAGCACAUCUAUGAGGACUCAAGCCUCCAUACCAUACUCAUUUAGGAAUUAGGUUCUUCAAACCUGAGUAUAUUAACAUAAUUCAAGAUUCAUUCUCUUUACUAUCCUGGUGUCAGAAAGUGACACUCCGAUCCCCUCAAUAUUCAUUCACCUUUUUUUCCUGGUGCCGGAACGUGACACUCCGAUCCCUUACUAUGAUGGUAUCGGAACGUGACACUCAGAUCCACUAAUACUACGUGUCGGUUCGUGACACCCGAUCCCCUAAUUCUACGUAUUAGUUCGUGACACCCGAUCCAUUAAUUUCAUUCUUUUUAGUUCAUCAAGCCUUCUUUUAUAUCAAGGCAUCUUCAUUAAUAAAGAGAUUUUUAAGGUUUAAGAUUCAACAGCCUCAUUAUGCUAAUUCAUCACAAUUAUAUAAUCACAUCAUGCAACCACACAAUUAAGCAUAUAGAAGACUUUACAAUACCACCCAAUACAUAUCAAUCGCUAUUUAGAGUUAACUAUGAGAUAGCAUAAACCAUAACCUACCUCCAUCGAAGAUCGUGAUAAAGCAAGCUAUCCCCCAAACUUUGCUUUCCUCUGCGUUCUUCUCUUUCUCUCGCUCGUUUCUCCUUUCUUUUCUGUUCUUUCUAUUUUUCCUUAUUCAACCUCUUUUACUUUUACCCUAAUUAUCAUAUAAUCAAGUAUAAAAGAUGGUAAAAGUAACCCACUAUAUAUUUCAAGGUUAUCUCCUUUAACCCCCAACUAAUUGAAUUAUUAACAUUAAACAACUAACUUUAUAAUCAUAAACAGGAAUAGUCCAAAACACCCCUUAAAAACAUUAGAAGAAAUCCGACCCAGUCAGGUUUACGCAGCCUGUGACGGUCCGUCGUUCCUAGGACGGUCCGUCCUGCAGAGUCGUCACAGAGUUCAGAGAGUCAAAUUCAUUAAAGAUUCUGUGACGGUCCGUCCUGCUCUUCCAUCGCGAAGUUCAGAGAGUUGUUCUCAGUACCCAAUUUUCCAAAAGUCUAAGUGCUUUAGAACAAGACCCCCUCGACGGUCCAUCGUGGGAUCCGUCGACCCAGACAACUAAUACCAGAAAUAAACUCUGCUGCCCAUAACGACUAAACAGGUCGUUACAGUUUGUCAUAUUAAAAGGUUUAACAAUAUGAUUAUUUAUUAGUUGAUCAAGAAUUAUAUCCUUUAAUGCUCUUAAUAAAUAUUUUUUACAUUCAUGAUCAUCGAUAUGAUCAAUCAUAUUAAUGAAAAUUUCAUUAUUACUAAUUCUAAUGAUAUUGAUGGAGAGAUUUUUGUAGGUGAAAAAUGCACUGUUACAUCCCCGUAUAUCGAAUUAUUAUUUUUAAAACUAUCUCUCAUAUUAAGAUGGACAUCUCUACUAGAAUUUCUUUCAAAACUAGUGUGAUUCUCAUAAAUAAUUGAGUAUAAUAUAUUUUUAAUAUUGUCUUCUAGUUCGAACUUACCUAUCUUAUCCUUCCUUUAGUUAGGGGGUUGAUUAUCCUUAGCAUGAUUUACUAGUUUUCCAUAGUUCCAACAUGCAUUAGUAUCGUUAUUAAUUAAUCUAGAUUUUCUCUUGUAAUACUCGGGUUUUUCAUAUUUAUCGUUAUAAUUUUUCUGACGAUGUUUAGACCUCUUUAAUUCAUUGUUAGGUUUUUACUUGUUUCUAAUCUAGUAGUAUUCAUAAAAAUUUUGAUAUCAUUAUAGUUAAAUUGUUUAUAAUGUAUUUUUCCUUAAAACUAAUCAUAUAAUGUGCCUGUAAAUCCAGCUGUAAAUAUAGUAGUUAACUGUUUAUUUGAAAAAUAUUUCAUUUUAUAAGUCAUAAUGGCUAUUCCUUUUUUUUAUGUAUUUUACUAUAAAUUUGAUUUGAAUGAGUUUACCAAUAUUUAAUUUAGCUAAUUCUUUUUUCGAAUGCGAAGUAUUAGAUAAACUCUCAUUUUCCUCAUAUUGUAUAUUUGGAAAAUGUAAUUCUUUUCUGUAGGAUAAUUAUAGCUUAUUUAUCAAUAUCAUUAUCAUUGCUUUUUAAUAAAGGAUUAAUAAUUUUUAAUUUGAAUUUUAGUUUUUUAUUGAUGAGAUUAUUUGUGGUUUCCAACUUUUCUUAAAACAUAGGGAAUUUUAAUUUAGAAAAUUUGCGUAAUUUAAAUAUUGGAUAAGUUUCUAGAUUUUUAGUUUAUCCUUGUAGGAAGGAUUUGUUUUAGCUUGUUUAGUAAGGAUUAUAUUAAUUUGUAAAGGUGAGUUCGUAAUAAUUCUACCAUCUGUGGGUAGACUAAUUUCAUCUACAGGCGGAAUUUUAGAUUCAACUAUCUUAGUACUAGUAGUAUACGAUUAUCAAUAAGUAUUUCUAACGACUCAUUUUGAUCGUUUAAUUUUCUGUGUAUUCAAACCUUUUUAAAAACUCUAUAUUACAUUUUAACCUUUUUUCAUAUUACUAAAUCAUUUAUUUGUGAAUGUUAUUUUUUCUGAUAAAGAAUGUCAUUGUAUAUAUCAUUGCUCUUUAAUAGAAUUUUCUAAACUAGUCCAAGGUUUAUUUAAAUAAUUAAAACCUGCUUCAGAAGGUUCUUACAAAUGAAUCAUACUAGUACAAUUCUUAAAUUUCUUUUUACUUAAGUAGUAUAUUUUAUUAAUUUAUUACCCUUUAUCUUAGUAUAUUUAGUUAUUAAUUUACUACCAUAUAUGGUAGUUAAUUUAAAUAUUCGAAGUCUUUUACACAUGGUAGAGUAGUCAUAAAUAAUUAAGAGUGUAUAUGGUAUGGAUUAUCUAGUGGAGAGAAGAACACCAUGCUUGAUCUUAAAUGUCCACUUUAAAGAUUAUUACGGAAAUAAGAACUUCUUUGUGAAGUAAUUGUUUCCAACUCUACGUCACACAGUCUAAGCGAAUCCAAUGGAAGGAACGAGCGUGCCAACGUCUAAACCGGGAAUUGUCUACUUACCCCAUGGGUGUACUAUUAUGAGGGAUUGAAGGUAAUUCCUAUGUGCAUCUUAUUAUUAUGUUAUGAUGCAAUGUUCUCACAUGAUGUUGGGUUUGUGAUGAAAGGACUUUCUCAUCCUGUAUCCUCUAACCUGACAUAUGAACAUGUUAUAUGAAGGGUUAAACUCCUACGACCUAUGAUAUGUAUUAUUGUUAAGAAAGACCUAAAGAUACAUUAAAAAGGAAAUUUAGGUUAGCAUCGAGUGAACUUGAUAAUGAGAGGUGUUCCUUUACAAAGUAAGGGAGGUUUACGCUAUAUUCUAUCAUGAGGUGGAAACUAGAAUGCUAAUUAGCAUGAAGAGGGUUUCUAGUAACAACCUCCUAUUUCCUUAACUAUGAGACUCCAUAGGAAACUUGGCUAACGGAUCCAGCUAGAUGCUAUUAUGAUGUAUAUGCCCUAGCUUGGUAAGUAGGAUACCCUCCUUUUGGUGUAAGGGCUUGACACCGAAUUUCAUAUUUAGCACACAUUGUGUAAUGUCUGUUAUGGAAAAGUACCUCAAAACUAAAAUUAUUGAAUCGAAGUAAGAAUAUGAAAUAUACCUAGGACUACUUAAGAUGUGUUACUUAGUGUAGGUAAGGGUGUGGGACUUUACCUAUACAUUGCACAUGUGGACCUUGAGUGGAGUUCUAGGGUGGAUUAUUUAUAGAAAAAAUGUUAUGAAUGAAAUGUAUAAUAUUGGCCUGAUAUGAUGUUGGUUUCACUAAAUAUAUAUGAUAUUUUUCUAAAUUGUAAUGUAAGAUGCCGACUAUACUUAUUAUGUGUUAUAUGAGGUAAGGUCAAUGUUUAUGGUCUCUUUGCUAGUUAUAUUGGUUUAUGUGGGGUUAUGGGGGUUCACAUACAAAUUGCACUAAUUGACUUGGAUUGGGGUUAUGAAUAAGGCCUUGUGAUAUAUUGAUGAAAUGGACUCUAAACAAUAAAUGUUAACUAUGCAUUAUUUACGAUGGUACUCUUAAAGAUGAAUAUGAAUAUGCCUUAUUGUUUUUGUGUGAUGAACUUGUAUAUAAAAGCUUUUAAAGUGAACUUUGCAUGUUUAUAUUAAAAUUUCCCUUAGCACAUGUCUUCAAAUGUUUUAAUUGCAUAUAUCAAUACUUAGUACACGUGGUUUCUACUAAGCCACAUCUCUUCUAUUUUCUACAUAACGUGUACGUUCGGGCCAUUCAAGGGUUUAUAGUCCUUCUUUAAGAUCAUGGAUUGCUAUCCCCAAGUUAUUGAGUCAUCAAGUACGAGGAUGCACUUGAUUUAAUCUAGUUUCGAAUGUCUUUGUUCCAAGACUUUAUUGUAAUUCCUAUUAUAUUACUUUUUGUAAUGAUGCAAGGGCUACGCCCCGUUUCUCUUACUCUUAUGUUUAGAUGAUCAUGUGAGAUAAUAAUAGAUUCUAUCUGAUAUUUGAAGUGAAGUUGAACUUCAAAAGAAAAGUUUUAGUUUUUCCGCAUUAUUUUAUCAAUGAUGUGAUGAUGUAUUCUAAGGGCUUGUCUAAGUCCUUUUCGAGAACGAAGACGUCAAUUACGACUAGAGGGUGAUGUUUGGUCAUGAUAAUUCACUUUCGGUGCAUUGAGGUCAAGUACUCUUGAGAGGAGGCUGACAGAAAGAGGGCAACUUUUCUAAACACAUCCCAGGAGGUGGAAGUUUAUUUGAUACCUACAUAGGCGUUUUUUCCUACUCCGUCGUUCGAUCUAUCAGGUACCUCUCUCCCUUUUUCUUUCUCACAGGCCCCAAAACUUUUUACCUCCUCCCAUCCCACCAUGACGACGUGAGGGCUACCUCUCUUGUGAGAUCCAUCCCAUGGAUGAUUGAAAGUGUCAUUGUUGCUUCACUGAUCCCCUCCAAACUUUUAUUGACACUCUCACGAGAGUUGAGUCUUGCGAGAGUAGGUGGUGAGAGACCUCCGAGCUGACGUCUUUAAAAGCUAAAGUUGUAGAUUUAACGAAGGACAUUGACUAUCUAAAUUGUACUAAAUUCACUUUAUUGCUAGAGGUUGCAGAUGAUUUGGACGUUCUUGAGACUUUCAAUAUUCCUCCAGCUGCCACCGAAUAUGUGUAUAGGUAUGAUGUUGAAGUUUAUGAGUUAGAGUAAAUAACGACGAGGAUCUGAUUGAGAUCAUGGAUGUGAGCAUAUAUAUAGACUUGUCGGGCUUACCAAAUUUGUAGGAGAUGAUUGUGCAGUCAAUGAUCCAGACAUAGCUGGUAGAGACAUCAAUGGGUGAGUCCAGUUAAGUGGGCCCUUGUAAGGUAACUAAGGGCACUAAUACCCAAGUUCAGAGUGAUGCACCGGGCAUUGAUUCCUAGAAAAAUGAGGGUUCUGUAGAUAAGAUUCUACUUUACCUCCUUCUUUGUCUUACUUUUUUACUUUUGAUAUUGUUUUAAUUUUUUUUGACCUUUUGUGACUAUGGUUUUAUUUAUAUAUUGGGCUUUGCGUUUUAAUAGGUUUUUUAUUGCAUUGUGUGGAUAAUGAAGCUUGUUUCUCCUUGUUUUUGAAUUAUAAAUUAUUUUUGGAACAUUCCAGAAAAGUUGUACCACCUCUUGUAUGUGUACGAAUGUGAGUGUUCUUUUGAAAAUUUGAGUAUCGGUCUUGAUCAAUACCGAUGACUUUAAUAGUGCUCAUAAUAGAAUGAAAAUGAAUGUGUUGUUACUAUGAUGCUAAAUGAAGUUGCAUAGUCAAUAUCUGAACGUUUUGCAUUUUAUUAUUACUAGUUUAGUACUAAAUUAAGUCUCUUGUGAUGAACAUUGCUCUCCAGCAAAAGUGUGGAGUCUUGUUUUACAUUGGUGUGAAUGCCUUAGUUGAUGAGCUUACCUUGAACCAUGAGUGAUUAAACCUACAAUUUUCCAUGUUUGUCCUAUUAAAUAAGUGAUGGAAUACCUUAAUAUGAUCUUAGGCACCUUUGAAGAGUGUGAAACAAUUUGACAUUAUACCUUGUUAGUGUGUGAACUAUGCUUGAACAUCGUUUUAACAUUAACCUUUUCCAUUAGCCAUAAUCCUCAUGAUUUGUGGUUUGUGUUAAUAGCCAACUUAGGCUAGUGAAAAGAGAAGACAAAUCAAGAAGUGCAAGAAAGUUCCCUUUGGCCCAUGGUCUAAGAAAAAACAAAACUUCUCUCUCUCUCUCUCUCUCUAUAUAUAUAUAUAUAUAUAUAUAUGUAUAUAUGUAUAUAUAUAUAUACAUAUAUACAUAUAUAUAUAUAUAUACAUAUAUACAUACAUAUAUAUAUAUAUAUAUAUAUAUAUAUAUAGAAUGAAAAAGAAAAAAAAAUUUGUGGGAUAAAGUUAUGAAGGUGAAAAGAAAAUGAAGUUUGAAAUAGUCCAUGGAAGAUAAAUAAUGAGGUGACUUGUGAGCACGAAUUAAGAUGAUGUUUAAAAGAAAAGGAAAUGUUGUUCACACCACAUUUCAUGAGGAUUAUAUCCAUAGAGCCUAAAUUGUUAUACCUUUGAAAUAAGACCCAUUACAAACAUUGAAAAGACCUUUUUCAUUUUUAGUGAGCAGAAACAAGGGUCAAUUGAAAAAUACGGACAACCCUACGGGUGAAAUCGUGCAUUAUGUUCAUCUUUGUGACUGUGACCGUUGCAAUUGAUUCUGGAGCUUUAAAUUGUGAAACAUUGUGUGAAUAUGGAAUCAUGCUUUGUGUGAGGGCAUAUGAUUACUUUUGUUGAACUUUAACUUGCAUUUGAAGGAGGUAUUUCAGCUUGCAAUUCUUUAGUAAUGGUGAAUAACAACUUGAAUUAUUGGCUGCACAAUUGAUCCUUGCAUUAGUAAGUUCAGUCUUUUUGUAUGCAUUUAUUUAAAAGUCUUGUGUAGAACUAUUUGAGACAUAUUUUUUAAAUUGUUAACUUGAGUUUUAAUUAAGGACAAGCAAAAUUUUAAGUUAGGGAUGUUGAUCAGUCCAUGAUUUGGACUGUUUAAGGGUUUUAUUUUAAUUAGUGUUCUCAAAUGCAUAUUUUGUGACAAUAAGUGAUAUAAAUCCUUGAUUUUCAGGUAUUUCGAUUGAGGAAAAAUCAUGGAAAGUAAUAAUCUAAAAGGAACAAGGCAUGUGAUAGACCGAAGAAAAGAAGGUUUGAGGAUCACCUAAAGAAUUGAGCGAGUUGCCAAAUGGACAUGGCCUCGCCUAAUCUUCCAAUGUACCAAGAUCUGAGGGAUAAAAUCUAGUCGGCGAUGGAAAGGAUCUAUUGGAACGUCAGCGAUUGAUUCCGCGAUGCAGUGAUAUAUCACCCAAUGUAACAAAACUUGAAUUUUUUGAAGUGCAAAGAAAAAUGGUGAAUGGAACUGACCAAAGGGCGGAUUGUCCAGUGUAUCGGCGAUCCUGACUUAUUGCGUCGAAUGGUCCGUCUCGGUACCGAUAUUGGAAACUCUAAAUACAUUUUUACAUUUAUAGUUUAUUAUUUGUUCCCAAUUAGGAGAAUUCAUUUUUCAGCUAUUGUACCAGUUUGAUGUUUAGAGCUUAUAAAUGAGUUUUUAGAUAAUAUAUCCUUAGCUCUGAAGAUUUCAAUUUUUGAGAAAUAUGAAAUGGGUGUUUAAGGUAUGAAUAUUAUACCUUUGGAAUAUGAAUUUACUCUUAUCCAUUUGAUUGAAACACAAUUUGGUAAUUAUUUCUAUCUUUUUAUUAUGUCUUGCUAAAACCCAAAUUCAUGGGGUGUGACUAAGUUAUUUUUGGUUGAUUUAGUUGUUGUGUGUUAUUAAUUGAUAGAGUAGAUGUUGUUUCAAAGUUAUUUUAUUUACUUAUUGUGGCUAAUCUAAAUGGUUGUAGUUGCAAAUGCAACUUUACCUAAUUUGAUUGUCUAUGGGUAUUCCGUUCUCAUGAUUUCAGCUCGAGGGAGUGAAUCCUAAACCCUUUUGCACAAAUUCAAAUCUAGAGAGUGAAUUUUCUAAAGUGAAGGUUGUUCAUAAUUGAUUCUUAUUGGUGUUUGAGAGAAGCAUAUUUGAUUCGGGGUAAAUUGUUUGAGAGAAAUUUCAACCCCCACCAAAGUUGUAAUACUCCUAUAAUCCAUGAAAUAAGCUACAGAAUCACAUGAUAAACUGAACUUUAAAACACUAUUUCUAAGCCUAAAAUAAUGUUUAUAAACUAUUUAGGAAGUUUUAGAAUCAUAAAAACAAGAAACAUCCAUGAUGUUCGGAAACUAGCUAAAUCGAACUAGUUAACGUCCCUAUAUUUUGGGAAGGUUUGGGAGGGUCAUAUGAAGUCCAAAACAUAUAAAAAGAUUUUAAAUAGGUAUAAUAUAUCACAAAGUGUCCAAACAUUCAAUAAAAUACGAGAGGACCCGUCGAAGAGUUUCUGAGGAGGGCCUAAGCCAAUUGUAGAAUCAUGAAAUUGGACAAUUCAACUUUGAAAACAUUAGAAAACAUUUUGAGAGUUGGGCUCCUUGAUGAAAAAAUUUUCAUUGAUCAAAAUAAAUACCUUUAUGAAGAAAAUUAUUCACUUUGAUGAAGAAUAUCCACUCAAUUCGUCACACCAAGCUCUUCUUUGACUUUGGACUUUGAUGGACUCUCUAGGAAUUUCUAAGGGAUUUUGGGGUUUUGAUUUGGAAGAAUGAAAUCUUCUUAGUGAUAUACACUUAUAUACACAUUUAAAAUACCCAAAAUAAACAUAAAAACCCUCCAAUACUCUUACUUUGAAGUGGGGUGAAAUUACAAGUUCACCCCUCAACUUACAGUGAACCUGCACGCAGGACAGUGCCCAUCGACGGUUGGGCAGGCUACGGACCGUUUGUCCACAAAAGAACUGUCCUAUCCUUCUGUCAUUGAGUUUAGAGACUCAACAUGGGUCAUUUCAAUUCCAUUACAAAAUCUACAUCAACUUCACCCUUCUACGUGGCAUCGAUAUGCCCACGAGCCGUCGAUUGUCUCCGUCGUUUGGGGCAGCCUUGGACACUCGUGCCACAACCUUUAGGGUCCUCCUGACCCUUGGAUGGUCCUUGGGGAUUUUUUCCAGGACAUUUACAACGCAAACAUGAUUUUAUACGAGUAAAGUACCUCUCACAUGACUUUCAGCAUAAACGAACACAUAAAACACGACGAAACAUGCCUAGACACACAAGGUAAUUUCAAGGCAACACUUUCCAACGUCAUGGAUGUUCUUGGACGUUUGACCUCCAAACUCCACGAAACUCAACACACUGCCUACAUAUGAUGUAAUAACUCAUUUAAAGACCUUUUAACCCCAUGAAUCAUACAUAAACACAUAGAACCAUAUAAGAGGCACAUAGGUGACUUAGUCGUCAAACAUGUAGUCAUUCCUUGACGUUUGACUUCCAAUGCACCUAAACUCUUAGACACUUCCUCAAUACCAUAUAAUGCACCUAUUUAUGACCUUAUAGAAUCAGCAUUAACAUGUUAGGCUCUAGUUCACCUAAUUCAUUUUCGGGGUCUUACAAUCUCCCACAUAUGGACGACAUUCGUCCUCGAAUGACACUUGUCACUCUAUGAAUACUUCCAAAAAUAGAGAUUCAACUAGAAUCUCAUGACCAUACUGCAUAACACAUAAUCAAGAAGAAAGAAUCAAUUUCACAUAGUCAAGCGAUUCAAAUACAACAAGAAACUAGAAAACAUUCUAUAACUCAUCAUGCUACAAAACUCACAUACUUCAUUCCAAAUAACAAAAACUAAUUUUAUAUUCAAUAUUAUGCUUAUAUACAUCACUUAUAACAACAUUACAACAAUUUUAUUCAUUGAAUUUGUGCAACUUUUAAAAAAUGCAGCUUUUAGGCAAUUGAUGUUAGAAACAAGAUAAUAUGCAAGGUAACAUUAUAUAAACACUCUUAGAACAUAACCAUGGCUUCAUGAAACAAACUUGCAAGAAGUUAAUGUAAUUCAAUUUCAACAAAACUCCUAAAGACCCUUCACAUGCAACAUACAUCUAUUACUUUUUAUCCUAUCUACUAACCAUACUCCCCCAAUUAGAAGGAACACAUAUCACUAUAAGAAAAAUGCAAGGACUUACCCUCAUCAUCAUCAUUAUCAUGUGGCUUUGAUCCUCUUGUACGGAGUGCAUAGAAACUCCUCUUUGUUGAAGCAUCAUCCUUUGGAACACUAGAAGCAACUUGCAUACUCUCUCUUCCUCUAGAUGCAAUGGUAGGACAAUCUCUCACCUUAUGUCCUUCGUUACCACAACCAUAGCAACUUCCGGUACCCACUAGACACUCACCAUAGUGUUUGUAGCCACAACUGACACAUGUAGGUUUUGCAUUUUCAGAACCACCUCUUUUCUCCAAAUUCACCUUAACACUUUUAGGUUUUGACCUUAGGCCCUCUUCUUAAACCUAGGUUGUCCUUGAUCACUAGAACAACUCCUUUUCAAGUUUAUAGACAUCCUGUUAAGGGUAGACUCUUAUAUUGAUUGUUCAUAAACCAUGAGUCUAUAUAGGGUCACAUCAUCUUGUAGCAUCGUCGUACGAUAUUCCUCCCUCACUAUAUCAGCCACACCCGUCAUAAAAUGACUCAUUUAAUCCUUGGAUUAGAUAAAAGGUAAGGGACAUAUCUAUAUAACAUAGAGAACUUUAAAGAGUAUUCCUCAACACUCAAAUUUCCUUGUUUUGAUAUUGACAAACUCCUCCACCUUAACUUCUCUCCUCUUACGGGGAAAGUACUCACAAAGGAAAGCAUCCUUAAAUUUUUCCCACUCAAUAGGACCCUAUUACUAUGGCCUAUUAUCAUUCCAUUGAGUGUACAAUAUUUUUGAAACAUCCCUUAAUUGGUACGAAGCCAACUCCACUUUCUCCCUAGAUUGAACUCCCAUAGUGCUCAACCCCUUCUACACUCCAUCUAGGAACUCUUAGGGAUCCUCUCCCUACUUAGAGCCAAUGAAUAUAGGAGGAUUCAUCCUCCUAAAAUAUCUUAACCUAGACAUCAUAGCGGCACAACAUUCACCCUAGUCACCAUACUCAAAUUUUACUUACGUAGUCAUGGCUCGAGCUAAGACAAGAAAUGCCUCUCUAAUAUCCUUAUUACUCAACUCCGGGACAUCAUCACCUCUAGCAACAAUAGGGACUUUAUCACCUUGAGGAACUUUCUCAACUUCCUCAACUUGAGGAGGAAUCUCCUAUUGCACCACAUUUUUCUUAACUCUCCUAGCUGGUGUCCUCUUAUUUAUCUUCCUAUAAACACAAGAAAAACCAUAAGAACAGAGUACACAUAACUUUUACUCUACGACACUACAUAGGAGUAGAAAAGAAGGGAAACUCUAUUGCCAAUUUCCUCUUUCCCAUAGAUGUGUCGCGACUCACACCGAUGGUCAAGUCUCUACUAGACUUGACUUGAUGAGACUUUUUUGAUUUAUAAUACUACAUUCAUAACCUAUGCUCUGAUACCAAGCUUGUGACGUCCCGAAACCACACCCUAGAAAUUAGGGGCAACCUAAGAUUGCAACUGGCAUACUUGACCUCUUGGAGGUCUUUUACAAACCCUUACAUAUGAUUCAUCGCAUAAACAUAAUGAAAAGUAGUGUGGAAUGUAAAACUUUUCACAAAACAUAUCAUACUAUUGAAAACCUGUUUCAUAUAAAGUCAUAGGAAAUUCUAAGUCUUAAUCUCAUCAAACUUAAGACACAAAAAUACUUGGGACACAGACAUACUCAAAAAUAUAGAAAUACUUAGUCUAUUACAAUAUUUCAAAUUGAAACAUAAAGGACAUCUAGGACCUCAAAUCAAAUGAGGACAUACUCGACUUCUCAUUAACGAUGCUACGGUCCAUAUAUUCCUUCAAAAUUCUCCUCACCUACCAACUACUAUAGAGAUAGAUGAAAGCUUGGAUUAGUGCAACCACAUGUACUAAGUAUUGCAUAAUGCAUGAAAAUGGACAUUUAUUGGAAAUAUGCAUCUUUUAUUUUAAAAAUCAUAUUAUAAUCAUAAGAAAAACUAUUAUCAACUUAGAAACACAUAAGAUAACAUGUAGCAAAUUAUUCACAUUUUUGAGCUCAGUUUACAUUAAACUACUUUCACUGUAUGUGAAUUGCUUCACUAUAAUAGUGACAUACUUUCUCUACCUUUUAAAACCUUUAUUGUUUGUAGUCUUCUCACUAAAAUCUAUCCUAACACACACUUAAGCAACACAAAAAGAGACCACCUAUACAACCUCUCUAAGAAUACCUAAAUGACUGUGAAGAACACUUAUAAUAAGGCACAUGCACACUUACAAGACAUCAAACCUCAACACAUAGAUAAUAUGACAUUCUCCUUCAAAGGGCUAUCAAAAUACAAACUUAAGUAAAUCAAGAAGAUAACUUCCAUUCUUGACCUCUUCAAGAUUCCCUAAGUAAUCCAUAAGACUACCUAAGGCUUAGAUCAUGUCCACAAAAUCAACCAUUUCCCUAACUAGAGUCAUUCUCAAGACUUCCAAAUAUAAGAUAGGAAGAGAUCAUCUCUUAUGACCUCUUCAUACAUUAGCUAAGGAAUCUUAAGUCAUUUUAUAUUAGGUACUCAUUCAUUUACAUACUUCAUAACGUAAGUCAUUAGUUCAUUAGUUCAAUAAGAGACUCAUACAUCACAUAUAGGACAUUCAAGUAAUGGUCUUAUACAAGACCUAGGGACUCCAACUAACACCUUCAAAGCCUAUUGUGCAAUGUCUAGAUAGAAUCCCAUACCACCACCUAAACUUCAUAGAACUUCUCUAAUACUAGUGAGUAUCCCACAUGAGUAGAAUAGGCAAUAACCGAAAUAUACCAUGAUAGAAAGGCAUGGAAUCCGGAGUUCUAUCCUACUCUGAUGAGGUUGUUCUACUUGCUAAUGGUAGAUCUUAGACAUAUCCGAUGUAGGCACAUGGUUAACGCAUAUGAAGGGCAUGCAUUGUAUUCUAGUCUCAUUCUAUGACUAAAACUACUUCCCUUACCAAAGUCAUUCGGUGCUAGCGUUCGUUCUCAUAUCGUAAUUCACAUUAAGGUUCAUAUAUAGGGGUUCCAUAACAAGUUCAUAACACAAUCACAUUUACAACACCGAAGAGGUCCUCUUAAGUCUACCUUCCCAUGGCGACAAGAAGCUCAUGAUGACUUUCCUAAGGAUUAAUAUGAUUCCAUUCUAUCCAAUUAACCUUAAGUCUAUCAUUUCUUUACUUGGAAGGAUACCAUUACCGCUUAUGACUUUAACAUUCUUAACUUUACCACUAAGUCAUGUUUUUCACAUAAAAUACACUCUUAACAUCAUUUAAGGUCUCAUGUAAUUCAUGCAUGAAAAAACUAAGAUUUUAACAUCCUAAAUCAAGAUAUCACAUAUUCAAAUUCAUAUAUACAUAAGGUAAGGGACAUAAGUCAACCAACACAAGACACCACAUACUUCACGUUAGCACACAUUACAUGUCAUUCUAGAAGCACAUAGAAGCAACUAUUAUCAUCUUUAAGAAAUCUAAUAUACUAUUAUAUCAACAUCAUUAUGACCAAUAUAGACUGAUAUAGUCAAGUAGGAAUAAAUGCAUCAAUCCUAAGACUAUACACCCAAAGCCACAUUCAUACUCUAACAUGAUCACCUACAUAACAUUAAUAGAACACAUAUACUUUUACAUUACUUAACAUGUAGAUAGAUAUCAUCAUACUUUAUUCAAUCAACUACACAAAUAAUCACAUUAGUUCAUGUAGUGCUGACCUGGCCAUGAUAUUCAUAAUACAUAUAGUAACAUCGACAAAGCCACAUCAACGACAAAGAAAACACAUAAGACCACCAUCAUAAUUGUACCAUACCAAGCAAAACAUAAAUUAAGUAUAAAUAAUAUCAAAAUAAAUUAAAUAGGGAAGAGUACCACCACUCCAUCCUCAACAUCUCUUUUCGAUGCUAAAUCAUCCAAUUCAAUAACAUAAGACCCUUACCAAUGGUCAUGAACAUCAAUUCAACCUAAAAACUAUAAUAAUAAAUGAACUAGGUCAAUUCAAAGUAAAUUCAUCAAUAAAAUACAACCUAGAUAUCAAUUGAACACAAUUAUUACAUCAUUAGAUAGCCCAUAGAAAUCAAUAGCAUAAUUCACCAACAUUAAGUCAAUAUCAAGUAACCCAUAACUUAGUCAAAAACUAGGUUCAUCCAAUUCACGGGUUCAUAGGUAAUUUAGGUUAAAAUCAUCAAUACAAUAACAAUUUAAUCAAUAAUAAACGUUUAAUUAAUUGAUGCAAGACCGAAUGUAUAAUCAUGAAAUCGGACAAUUCAACUUUCAAAACAUUAGAAAACAUCUUGAGAGUUGGGAUCCUUGAUGAAGAGAGAUUCAAGUAUAAAAAAUUCAUACCUUGAUGAAUCUAAUUGUUCACUUUUAUGAAGAAUCUUACUCAAUUUGUCACAAAAAGCUCUUCUUUGACUUUGGAAUUCAAUGGAGUCUUAGGGAAUUUCUAAGGGAUUUUAGGGUUUUAAUUUUUAAGAAUGAAAUCUUCUAAGUGUUAAAUAAUUACAUACACAUUUAAAAUACCCAAAAGACCCCUAAUGAACCUCCAAUACUCUUUUUUGAAGUGGGAUGCAAUUACAAGUUCACCCCUCAACAUACUAUAAAUGUGCACGCAUGACAGUACCCAUCGAUGGUGGGCAAUUGGAUGACUUUUUCUCCACAAACAGACCGUCAUGUCCUUCUGCCAUUAAGUUCAGAGACUCAACAUAGGUCUCUUACCUCCCAAUACCAAGUUUUCUCUAACCGCACCCAUCGACGGGGCGUUAAUUAGCCCACGAGCCAUUGAUUGCUGAUGUACCGUGGAUUCACGGUACUUUCAAUGUUUUUUCCUUAAGAUUAGUGUGUACGUAAGGCCUCUUUGAAGUAGUUUUAAUGUAUUUUUUUGUGUUUGCAGAGAAACUUACCAGAAUGAAAUGCUAAAGAUGUGAUGAGAAUUGCAGAAAAGAUAUCCUACGGAGCCAUCGAAGGUCCAUCUACCCAUUGACGAUCGUGGUGGAAACCAUCGCCACGAAGAUGUUAUGCAACCAAGGAAAGAUCGGGAAAUUCUGACUAAGUGUGAUACUACAGAAGGGAUCACGGUUCGUUGUGGUGAUCUGUUGGUGUUAACAUAAUGUAACCUCAGUACCUAAAAAUAUUCUAAGUAUGGAGCAACGAAGGCCAUCCACGGAGCAUCGUCCGAUCAAUGGACCAUCGUCUUGGUCCAUCGAUUGUAACAAAGAGUUUGAGAAGAAAGCAAUUGAAAAUAGAGUUGAAGUAUGGACGGACAGAGGUGUCGAAGAUCCGUCGUUACGUCGACAGUCCGUUGGUCAGGUCGUCAACAUGAGACACAUUGUUGGACUGAUUUUAAUUAUUAAGUAUCUAUUUAUGUGUAGGAUUCUUUUGUUAUAAAUAGAACCAAAAACCUUGUUUUUGGGGUUAGACUCUUUGUUUUUUUAGGAUUUGUUAUAUUUGUUGUGGAAUAUUGGGUUAUGGAAACCACUUCAUUUUUCUAGAAUCAUUUAUUAUAUUAUCUUCUUGAAUUCAAGUGAUUUUCUUGAUUUUCUUCAAUCUCACAAAUAUAUGUACAUAAAUUUUUUUCUAAUUAAUAUGAAUCGGUUAAUUAUGAACAAGGGUAACUAAAUCUAUAACUAGGAUUGUGGAAACCGUGGGUAAUUAAAAAAGUAAAACUAACUAAAAUAAUAAUUCUCGAAGAGUUUCUUGCAUGUAUUUAUAAUUCUUUUGUUUAGAAGUCUUUUUAACGAGUGCACACAUUAGAAGUCACCUCAUGGCUACUUUCUGGACAAAGGAGGUACAUAAUAAGAAAAGAAUUAUCAACGUUGAUUUAGUAUAUACUGUUUAAUAGGCUAGUGUUGAUUGGUCCGAAGUAAUAUCUAAGCCAUACAUCGAUUAUGAUGCUUAAUAUGAGGUAAAAGGUAAAGUUUAGUAAAGUACACAUAUAUAGCCAGACCAAGGUGCGGAGUGAAAUCCACUAGUUGUCGGACAAAGGAAUUAGGGAUACAUAACUUACCACUUUGCAUGCAAGAUACUAGGAUAGAGUUUUUAUAGCUAGGGUUACUGCAUUACGAACUUAUAGGUAAAUCUUACACCCUGGUUUCUCUCAUCAUUUGAUAAACAUCAAAUAUUUGAACUAGCUAGUUGUUUGCUAAGACUUAAUUAAUUACUUUUGUUACACAAAAUCCCCCUUUUAAUUAUUUUUUUUCUGGAAAGGACUUGACUAAAUAGAAGUAAUCAUAGAUUUAAGUUAAGUCUAAAUCAUUUUCCUCGUGGAAUCGACCCCAACCUAACAUUUGGGUUCUUUACUUGAUACGAUCGCUUAUACUUAUUUAGGGAAGUAUAGUUUUAGCGUAUCAAAUUUUUGUGCCACUGCCGAGGAAAAUUGUUUUUAUAUUAACUUUAAGCACAAUACCGAAAUUUAGUCAACAAUUUUCUAAUUUUUCUUUUUCUUGUCACUUGCAUGUCUAGCUUUAGUGUAUGUCAAGUACACAGAGUAAAGGAGAACCAAUACUUCCAGUUGAUACAGAACUUAACUGAAUAUUUCACAGAAUGAACAUUCAAUAAAAUCUUUCAUAUAUCGAACAUGAGAUCAGCCCGCAAUUUCCCUCGCCAGUUGAUGCUCAUAAUUGAGUGGUUUUUGAUAACCCUGUUGACGGUAAUCCGAGGAGGCAAUGUCACGCCCCACGCCUUCAAGAGUAAUAUAGGGGAAAUGGUAACAUCACUGACUCUGAUGGACCACUUGUCCUACCUCCUCUAACACAUAGUCAUACUUUUGAGGUAACUAGUAGUUUGAUGCAGACGCUCAAUGCUAGAAGUUUGUUUUUGGGGAUACCAUAUGAGGAUCCACAUGCUCACAUCACCAAAAUAUGUUUGGUGUGUAAUAGUUGUGUAGGGAGGCAAGAGAUAGACAUGUAUUUAAUUGGAUUAAGGGUGUUCCAUCUCUCUCUGACGGGGGAGGCGACAAUUUGGUUUACUAGAGUUUCCCUACAAUUCAAUCUAUACUUGGGAGAAAUUAAGGGAUGCGUUCCUAGCAAGGUUUUACCCGGUUUCUAAAAAUUUAAACCACAAAGAUAUGGUUAAAAACAUUGUGGCAUAACCAGGGAAGUCAGUAAGCAUUCCUUGGGAAAGGUUCACCUCAUUCUUAAUAAGUGUCCCAAACCACCUCAUUGAUGAUGAGUCACUGAAAGAGUACUUCUAUUAGCGGAAAGAUGAUAAUAAUAAAUAAGUGCUUGAUAUGAUUGUGGGUGGUUCUUAUGGGGAGUGUACUCAUUCAGACAUAUCUGAAAAGUUAAAGAAAAUCACCCGAAAUAAUAAAAGUUGGAGCACUAGGAAGUCGGAUACUGGGAGAAACACUAUUGCAGUGCGAGCUUGACAUAAUCUAGCGGCAAAUGAGAUUCAUGAAGUGAUGGAUGAAAUGAUAACUGAGCUUAGGUUAGUGUUAAAAUAUGUCACGGGGGGUGCAGAAAAGGUAAAUGCGGUGAACUAUUUGGCUAAACCACCACCACCGGUUGAUGAGUACGACUAUGAAGAAGAUUCUUAUGCACUUAAUGAGAAGACUGGGGGUUUUCGGCUGAACGCCCAAGUCUCAAUCCAGGAAAACUGGCACCAAGGUCAAGGAAAUCAAGGUAGGAACUAUGGGAAUUACAACCGAGAGGGUCACUAUGAUCGAGAUGGAAACUAAAACCGCAAUAACAACUUCAACCGGGGUAACUGUGGUAACAAAAAUGAUAACAGUGGGCCCUAUGGUGGUGGUAGUAUGGCGCGAGUUGAGGAUAUGUUGCAUAAUAUGAGGAGGAGGUUUGAUGAUAGUGAUGAGCACGCCAAGGAUUUAAGAGGUGAUUUAGCAAAUAUUGGGCAAAAGGUUGAUGCACAUGCGAUCGCAAUCAAGCAUCUUGAGUUGCAAAUGAACCAUUUGUCUUUUACUUUGAAUCAACGCCAAUCACGUACUCUUCCUAGCAAUACUUUCUAGAAUCUAAAAAAUGAUUGACUUUAUAUGAUUGUCACUACUUGAGGGGCUAAGCGGACCAUGGAUCCACCUAUGCCAUAUGGCGUCAAAGAUGAUAAGAGUGGAGAUGAUGAGUUAGAGGAAGUUAUUGGUGAGUUGGUGGAUAGAUCGGGGCAAGAAGCUGAGACACCCCAAAACGUGACCCCCAUUCCUCGACCACCACACCCGUUUUUGCAAAGAUAGGUGAAAAAGACAAAAGAUGGUAAAUACCGGUAUUUUAUUACUAUGUUGAAACAAAUUUCCAUCAAUGUCUCUUUGAUAAAAGCUCUUGAAUAAAUGCCCGGUUACGCCAAGUUAGUUAAAGAUAUGGUCACUAUGAAGAGAUCAGUUAGUUUUGAGGAUGAUGAUCGGAUGAAACACUGCAGUGCUAUUGCUACAAGGUCUCAUGGGCAAAAGAAAGCAGGUUUGGGGAAAGCAUAAAACAACUUUCCAUCAAUGUACAAUCGAAUUGUUACACUUUGCUAAAGCAUUGUGUGAACUUGGGGAAAGCAUAAAAUUCACGCCUCUCUCUACUUACAAGAAGUUGGAUUUGGGUGACCCAAUUGCGGUGCGACUAUUGAUGGAGGAGCGAUCGGUGAAGGGGCCUAUUGGGAUACUCCAUGAUGUGCUAGUAAAAGUGGAGACAUUUAUUUUUUUGGACGAUUUUGUGAUUCUUGAUUGUGAGGUGACUUUGAGGUUCCUAUUAUUCUUCAGAGACUUUUUUUUGCUACCAGUAGUGCCUUAGUUGAUAUGGACAAAGUUUACUUGAAGUUUCUCUUGAACAAUGAUGAUGAGAAUUUUAACAUUUGUAGGUCCAUGAGGCAGAAUAGUGAGCUCAAAUCGGUAUCUGUGAUAUCCUACAAAAUUGAGAGUUUGUCCGAGGUACAAAUAGAAGAGCGUGUUGGUGUUGAGUCACUAGUGGAAGUGAACAUUAAUUUUGAGAUUUAUUAUAUUGAAGAGUAUGGGUCAUUCGUUGCGGCACUUGAUGAAGGUAAUGUUCGGUUCAAACAAAAGAAAUUCCAUUUAGAUAUGAAGGAUCGCGAGUCUCCACCUGCAAAACCAUCUAUUGAGGAGGCUCCAAAAUUGAAGCUUAAUUCUCUAGUGCCUCAUCUGAGGUAUGUUUUCUUGGGGAAAGGUAACACUUUGCUGAUAAUUAUUGCAUCAAAUUUGAAUAAGCAACAAGUAGAAUAUUUUUUUGAAGUGUUGAAGAGGUUCAAGAGAGUUAUUGGGUUGACUAUUGUGGAUAUUAUUGGGAUCCCUCCCGGUAUUUGAUCACAUAAAAUCCAACUCAUGCCUCAUCAUAAGCCAAGUAAUGAGAACCAGAGAUAUUUAAAUCCACCUAUGCAAGAGGUAGUGAAGAAAGAGAUUAUGAAGUGGUUGGAUGCCGGAGUCAUAUAUCCGAUCACUGAUAGUAGUUGGGUAUGCCCUAUUUAGUGUGUUCCCAAGAAAGGGGGAAUGACUGUGGUGCCUAAUGAGAAAUAUAAGCUUGUUCCAAUGCAGCCGGUGACCGGAUGGAGAGUGUGUAUACAUUACCGAUAAUUGAAUGCAUGGACUGAGAAGGACCAUUUUCCUAUGACCUUCAUUGAUUAGAUGUUAGAUAGGCUUGUAGGAAAUGGAUGGUAUUGUUUUCUUAAUGGUUAUUCGGGUUACAACAAAAUCUUUAUUGCGCCAAAACAUGAAUUCUUGUCUAAUAAUAUGAAUUGUGUAAUUAUUAACGCGGGUAACUAAAUCCAUAACAAGGGUUGUGGGAACCAUGAGUAAUUAACAAAAUAAAACUAGAUGAAAUAAUAAUUCUCGAAUAGUUUCUUGCAUAGAUUGAUAAUUCUUUCGUUUAGAAGCCUUUUUAACGAGUGGACAUGUUAUAACUCGCCUUGUUGCUACUUGCUGGACAAUGUUUGUAGAUAAUAAGAAAAGAAUUAUCAACGUAGAUUUAGUAUAUACUAUCUAAAAAGCUAGUGUCGAUUGGUGCGAAGUAAUAACUAAUCAUACAUAUAUUAUGAUUCUUAAUAUGCGGUAAAAGGUAAGGGUUAGGAAAGUACAAAGAUGUAGCUGGACCAAGGUGCGGAUGAAAUUCAGUAGUUGUCGGACCAAAGAAUUAGGAAUACAUAACUUACAACUUUGCAUGAAAGAGACUAUAAAAGUCUGGUUAUAGCUAGGGUUACUACGUUACGAACCAAUGGGGAAUACUUACAUCCUAGUUUCUCUCAUCAUUUGAUAAACAUCAAAUAUUUGAACUAGCUACUUGUUUACCUAGACUUAAUUAAUUACUUUUGUUACACAAAAUCCCCCCUUUAAUUGUUUGUUUCUGGAAAGGACUUGACUAAAUAGAACGAAUCGUAGAUUAAAGUUAUGUGUACACCAUUUUCCUCGUGGGAUCGACCCCAAAAUAAUAUUUGGGUUUUUUUUACUCGAUACGACCGCUUAUACUUCUUUAGGGAAGAAUAUUUUUAGCGUAUCAAUUGCCUCUGUCGUUUGAGGAUGCCUUCGACAGUCUUGGCAACACUUUUUGGGUCUUUCCUAAAGGACCCUUGGAUGGUCCUUUGGGAUGUUUUCCCGGACGUUUCCAAAUAUGAUCGUAUAUGUGUUUAGAACCCCUGACACUUAUUUCAUCCAAAACAAACAUAAAAAACUCGAAGAAACAUACUUAGACACACAAGGACAUUUCAAGGCAACACUUUUGAACGUCAUGAAAGUUCUUGGACGUUUGACGUCCAAACUCCAUUAAACUCGAACACUGACUAUAUAUUCUAUAAUAAAUCAUUUAAAGACCUUAAAACAUCAUGAAUCAAAUAUAAAAACAUAGAACCACAAAUGAGACAUAUAGGUAACUUAAUCAUCACUUAAAGUUUGACUUCCAAUGCACCUAACCUCUUAGUCACUUCCUCUAUAACAUAUAAUAGAUCUAUUUAGGACCUUAUACUAUCAAUACAAACAUGUUAAGCUAUACUUCACCUAAGUCAUUUUUGGAGUCUUACUGUCUUUAAGGGCGAUGAAACAGGUUACUUCUAGGGGUUGCUCCCCGGAUAUGAAAAAUUUGGUAUCAAAGAUUAGGUUGAAUAUCUUUAGGAUUGAUGUCUCAUUAAACCACAUCUAUGUAAGUUCUUAUUAAAAAUAGUAAAGCGCACCACAAUUUUGAAUGAGAAGUUAUAUGAUGCUUAGGAAAUUCUCUUCGUCUUGAAAAUCCAAUGUCGUUCCUCUAGUCUAUUUUAUGUGUUCUUUAACCUAAACCUUGUAUUUGGAUGUAGGUAUCAAUACGCGAAGGUUAGCCACAUGAAGACUUGAUGAAGAGAUUGCUAAUGCAGCCUUGUCAGAUGGGGACAUAAGGGAAGCCUUUUUCCAAAUGGCCCAAGUCAUUAUUGCUCAUGCACAAGCUAUCAGUACUCAAGCUAAAUUCAUGACAUCCCAAGAUAAGUAGGAAGUGGUACCCUAAGGAAACUAACAUGUUAGAACCAUGGACUCCCGUUUGAAGGAUUCCACAAGAAUGAAUACCUCUACUUUCUAUGUGUCCAAAGUGGAGGAAGACCACAAACAGUUCAUUGAUAAAGUCUACAAAAUCCACUAUGCUAUGAGGUUGACUACUAGUGAAAAGGCCGAGUAAGCAAACUACAAACUCAAGUAUGGACGAGACCUGGUACAUCUAAUGGAGCGAUAAUAGGCCUUUGAGGGGUGGUCCGGUGACAUGGAAGAUUUUCAAGAAAGCUUUUCUUGAUAGGUUCUUUCCAAGAAAAAAAAUGGAAGCUCGGGGGGGAUAAUUCAUCAACCUUCGUCAAUGAGGUAAGAGUGUGCUUUAAUACUCUUUGAAAUUUUCUAAGUUUGUCAAAAUGUGCUCCUUCUUUGGAUUUUGACCCGAUGGAUGAGAUGAGCCACUUUGUGACGAGAGUGUCCGUUGACUUGAAAAAAGAAUGUCGUUCUGAUAUGCUACAUGAUAAUAUGAAUAUUUCUCGUCUCAUGGUUCAUGCUCAACAUGUGGAGGAGGCAAGGGUUAAUGAAGAGUAGAGAUGUCAAUAGGGCAAAGACAUUUGAUAGUGGUUCUUCUAAGGGUAGGCUUGAUAUCCAAGACAAACCUAGGUUCAAAAAGCGAUAUUCUAAUAAAGUUCCUUCCAUGUUCCCAAAAGCUAGUGAUGAUAGGGUUCCUAAGACUAAGACCCAAAAGGGAAAGAGUGGAAACUCACUUAGUGAAAAACCUACUUGUCCCAAGUGUGGUAAGGUUCAUGUAGGCUAAUUCUUAGUUGCAAUUGGUAAUUUCUUUAGUUAUGGAAAUAAUGUGGGUGUAUUCAUAGUUGGAAUGGGUAAUUUCAUUGGUUAUGGAAAUAAUGGUAAAAAAUUUAGGGAUUGCCCUAGUUUUAAGGGGCUAGACAAAGGAAGUGGGAAAGAUCAAUCAAGUUGCUCGAAUAUGGAUGGUCCAAAGAAGAAUCACUUUUAUGUUGUCCGUUCAAGGGGUGAACAAAAGAGUUCUCCCAAUGUGGUGACCGGUAUCUUACAAAUCUUCUCCAUUGAUGUUUAUGAUUUACUUGACCCGGGUGAUAUAUUAUCUUUUGUUACUCCCAUAAUAGAUUGUAAGUUUUAUAUUUUUCCCGAUGUCCUGAAUCAACCAUUUCUUGUAAUUACCCCUAUAGGUUAUUCGGUGAUUGCUAAGAUUUUCCUAUAAUGUUGUCCAAUAGAGUCACUUAUGUUGAACUAGUAGAACUAGAUAUGGUUGAUUUUGAUGUAAUUUUGGGAAUCAAUUUUUUUGCAUGAUUUCUUUGCUUCCAUUGAUAUUAGAAAAAGAAUUGUCAAGUAAAAUUUUCCAAAUCAAACCGUUUUAGAUUAGAAGGGGGGAAUACUAUUCCUAGAGGUCAUAUCAUUUCUUGUCAUAAACCUUGUAAAAUGAUCUCUAAAGGGUGUUUAUACCAUAUUGUGAGAGUCAAAUAUUUAGACUAGGAAGAUCCUCUCAUUGAGUCGGUCCCGAUAGUGAAAGAAUUUUCGGUGGUCUUCCCUAAUUAUCUUCCCGGAAUUCCUCCCUAACGAGAAAUUGAUGUUUGUGUUAACUUGCAACCCUAUACCAACCUCAUUUCAGUUCCUCCUUAUCAGAUGGCUCUAUCCGAAUUGAAAGAGUUGAUACUCAACUCAAAGACAUACUAGAUAAAGGCUUUAUUAUACCUAGUAUUUCUCCAUAGGGUUCUUCGGUAUUGUUUCUGAAGAAGAAGGAUGGGUCCCUUAGAAUGUGCAUUGAUUAUUUCCAAGGGGAAAGCUACUUUUCUAUGAUGAAGUUAUCGUAUUAUUUACUAUUGAAUGAUGCUACUAUACCUAUUAUUGGUUGAAAUUAGUUGGUUGAUGGUAAGACCAUGAUUAUGGCUUUUGAAGGAUAUUGGGUAAGUCUUUAUAAUCCUAACCUUUACUUCAUUUAUGAUGACUUGUGAGUGAUGAUGUAGUUCAACUGAAGCAUGUCUUGUGAUUAACCUAAGUAGGCAUUGGUAUGAUGUUGAAUUUAAAUAUCUUGAUUAUGUGAUUGUGAGAUUAUGCUUAAGAUAUAAUGAUAUAAGGUUUUUAUGAAGUAUAUGUGUGCUUUACUUUGAUGCAAUUAGAUUUAUUGUGUAAUCUCACAUGUUAGGGUUGUAUUGAAAGUAUGUUCUAAUGAAAUUCCUAUUGAGCUAAUGACUAUGAGUAUAAAAAGAUCUAUUCUCCAAUGACCUAAAAUAAUCUAUGAUUGUUGAAGAAAGACAAUUCAAAAUGGGACUUAGAUUAGCAGAAAGCGAACUUGACAAUGAGAGGUGUUGGCUUCCCGUGGAAGAAGAUUCACCCUAUAGUAUCAGUUGAGGUGUUGAUUCCCCUAUGAGGGUGUCACAUACGGGUUUGCCCUCUAGACGUAACCGGCGUCGUCAUCCUUCUGAACGUCUAAGACUAGCUUCUUAGUUUUAUGUUAUUACAUUCAUAGGUUUAAAAAUGAGGAAAAAUUUAAAACAUUUAUUUUCUCUACUUGGAGGUUUACGUAGACCUUUACAUACACAUAAUAUAUAUUCAUAUCGAGUAUACAUAAACCCAUCAUAUUAGGAAGUCCGGAGACGUCGGCGGGAGCCUCGGGAAGAGUUAUCUUUUCUGUUUAACAGCCUGCCCACCCUGGAAUCGGCUCAACCGGAGGUAGGGUCCAGCGGCUGGAAGAGAACCGCACGUCGCGUGGUGUCCGGUGCGCUCCCGGCUGCCCUUGAAAAUCCGGAGGACCGAAUGCCGUCCCAAAUAUGCGCGGUCUAAGGUACAAACACACAUCAGCCUUCAUAAUUAACUUUAAUAUGUAUAAAAAAAUAUUUUUCAACAAUUUUUUUAAUUUUUAUUUUUUUCAAAAAUUCUGAAAAAUUAGUAAUAAAUUAAUAAAAAAUAGGGAAAAUAUCGAAAAAAUAUGAAAUCAACUCCGAAAAUUCACAAAUAAAUAUGGUAACCUUAAUAUAUAAAAUUUAAUAAAUUUUAAUUUUUAAAAAGAGACGUAAAAAUCAAAAAAGCGUAAAAAUAAAUUAUAAAAUAAUGAUUAAAAGUUGGAAAAAUAUGGAAAUGCUCGAAAACACUUCUCAACAUGUCAAAUUAAUGAUAAGAUGCAUAUUUGCACAAACAAAAGAUGUUUCAAUAUCAUACGAACCGUAAAAGUAACGAAAAUGAUGCGAAAGAGCCACGUUAGGCGGAAACGUUGUUGAUCGAUUAAGACAGCAGGACGGUGGUCAUGGAAGUUGAAAUCCGCUAAGGAGUGUGUAACAACUCACCUGCCGAAUCAACUAGCCCCGAAAAUGGAUGGCGCUUAAGCGCGCGACCUACACCCGGCCGUCGGGGCAAGUGCCAGGCCCCGAUGAGUAGAACGAAAGUUGGGGGCUCGAAGACGAUCAGACACCGUCCUAGUCUCAACCAUAAACGAUGCCGACCAGGGAUCGGCGGAUGUUGCUUUUAGUACUCCGCCGGCACCUUAUGAGAAAUCAAAGUUUUUGGGUUCCGGGGGGAGUAUGGUCGCAAGGCUGAAACUUAAAGGAAUUGACGGAAGGGCACCACCAGGAGUGGAGCCUGCGGCUUAAUUUGACUCAACACGGGGAAACUUACCAGGUCCAGACAAUAGUAAGGUUACAUAGCCUUCUACUUUUAUUAUACAUACAUAUGUAAGAAUAUGGAAUAAAGUCUCGAUGACUCUCUCAUCUCAUACCAUCUAUACGAAUAUAACAAUGUGGGCAUAGCCCUUACAUCAAUUCAACAAGACUAUAUAUAGGUCUUACAAAAGUAAAAUAUUCAAAUAACAUUGAAAGGGAUGAUAGAGUCAAUAAACUCAUAAUAAUAAUUCAAAGUUAGAGGAUGGCAUUGCGCUCGAGUGUUGAGGACCUACCCUACUUGGAUGAAAGGAAGAAUCCAAGCCUUCAACAAUGACGCCUCAAUAACUUCUUCAACGACCAGAACCUAAAAUAUUUGGGGAAAAAAGGAAGAAAAUGAGGUUAGUACUCCACAUGUACUAAGUAUGAGACCAUAUGCACAUGUAACACCAAAACAUGUAAAAAAAAGGAACAUGUAGUUAAAUCAUGGCAUUUUACCCAUUUAAAAACUUUUGCACAACGAAUAGUUAAGGAAGUCAAAUGUAUAUCAUCAUGCUUGAAUUCAUAAUAUCAUAAACUUUAUCACCAAGUAACAUCAUCCAAAGCAUGAAUAAGAGUUAUCACAUAAAUAUAAAAUUACGGAAACAAAUCAUAAAUUUUGAUAGAGUCACCUUGAACUAUAAUUAGUAUCAUACUUCACACAAUAUAACCUCAUUUAUUCAUAAAUUCAUAUAUUUAGUAAUUAAGAGAAUUUGCAUGUUCAUAACCUUUAUAAUCAUCAUAUAAAAACAUUUUCAUUUAGCACCAUCCAUAUAUAAAACAUUAACUUCCCAAAUCUCUCAUCGAGGCAAACUAGUGCAAGGAAUAGGUAGAGUCCCAUACCCCUACCUAAGCUAAGUAAAUCCCCUCAAGUCACUUUAGUUAGUCUUUACUUCAUUAUUUUAUUUUGGUUUAGGUUACACUCACUUUAACCGACAUAGACCACAUGAGCUAAAUGUUGAAUCCGGUAUCAUAAGACCUUACACCAAUGGAAAGUGGUCUACCGGCCAAGGUGAAGCCUAAUAUAAACAUAGCUUUCUCGGGGGAUCCACUAGCUAGUAUACUAUGGUGGCAACAUAGUUUAAGGAACUAAGAGAUAGAUAUUCCCUCUACAUACAAUUUUGUUAUUGUGUCCUCACAUCAUAGGAAUCAUUGUAUACGUAUCCAUCAAAUGGGAGUCAAUAUCACUUAAAGACCUAUAGGGUAACACUUCCUCUAUCGAAAGCCAUCACCUCCCAUUGUCAAGUUCAGUCGCUGCUAAGCUAUAUCCGUCUAUUGAAAUGUCUUGAAAGCUUUAAUUGUCAAUCAUAACUUAAUUUAAUCCAUAGGGUCUACCCCUUGUAUAAUUAUCAUCAUCAAUAGCUCAAUAAGAAUUGUAUGAGUAUAAGUCCUUUCAUCACAAUUCAUAUAAGUGAGGUUAUCACUUUAGCAUUUUAUAACAUAUUAACGCACAUUGAUAGUUUUGACUAUCCAACAUACACCAUAAACAAACUAACUAUAUAUCCAAGACAUUUCAAUUAAACGUCAUACCAGCCUAUAGUCCUAGUACAAGGCAUACUCCAAAUGUAAUAUCAUGACUUAACAAGAAUUAAUCACAAUUGGAAGUAAAGAUAGAUAUUAUAUGACUUACCAAACCUUCCUCAUAGUCUAUCAUCAAGGUCUUACCAUCAACACCUAACUCAACCCAAUUUGGGGAGUAACAUUUUUCUAUAAUGAUAACCAAUAAAAUAAUAAGGUCAAUUCCAUCUCUAUAACACAACUCAUCUUUAGAUCACAACUUGAGACAAGGUACAUACACUAAUUUCACAUUAUAAUUCAUAACCUAAAUCACAUCUCAUGAACUUGAAUAAUAGGCCUAUAAUUCAUCUAACAUUUAUCAUAAUAGCACCAUAAGAAAGCAAUCUAAUCAACAACCAACUCAAUUGAAUGAUCACCAUACAAUAUAGGUCAAGAUCACUACCUAUGAUUAGGGAUAGAGGAUCAUAAUCUUUAAUUUAGACAAAAUCAUCAAUAAUUACUUUAACAAGUUGGAUUACAUGUUAAUAUACUAAAUAUAACCCUAUUAGUUCAUUAACAACUCAAUCCAUCACAUCAAUUUUGUAAUUCAAUGAAAUCCAUAAGAAAACUCAUCUUUUAUAAAUAUAAUUUGAAUGAUCCCUUUGAGGAAAGAAUCUUACCGUUUAAUAUAACCCAUACCUUAAUGUUUCUCAACAAUUUGAUGAAUAAUCCACCCUUUUUUACAGCCUCAAAACCCUAGUUCUUUCUAGCCUUCAUUGGUGAGUUCAUGUAGAGAGAGAAAUAAAAAAGAAGGAACAUAGUUUAUUUUGAGAGUUGUCUUUAGGUUAAUGAGUGUUAAGGGUAUUUAUAGUGGGGCUUAAUUAACUUAAUUAGUCUCCCUUUAAUCCCUAACUAGCUUUUAAACCACUUAAUUAAUUUAAUGAAAUCAUUUAAAAUUUAGCUGUGAAACUCGACCCUCACCGACGAAACCCCGAUCUACGGUCCAUUGGUGAGUCGACGGACAAACCCCCUUCAUCGUGCACUCUAUCAUCUAUGUCAGAGACUUUGAAAGCGAGGGAUUCCGCCAAGCUUCUCUAAAUGCGGGAUGACGGUAGCUUUGAUGCCCCGUCGAGCCACUGACACCUUGUCAACCCUCUUCCGUCGCGUGUAACAGUAGCUAGGUAAGCAAGAGCCUUCACGAAUCUUUCUAAGUGUGGGAUGACGGUGACCUUGACGCACCAUCAAGCCACACAGACCAUUGUUUAUCCCGUUAAUGCACACUGUCAGGUAGUGCUGCAUCAAACUGCAGGGGUCCUCUUCAAGGGCCCUUUGUUGGUCCCUGGGGAGGCGUACCCAAACGUUUCAAUCAUGAAACAAUUGAAAAACCCAUUAGCUACUUUUCAACCAAUUUCUUCCAUUUCCUUCUCCUAAAAUAGUUAGUCAAAAGGCUAAGCCACUCUACAUCCCUUUGAUCCAACUUCCCAGAUGUUUUGGACUUUUUGGUUUUUAAACCUGUGUUUAGACUUUAUGACCCCUAGGUUGGGCUCUACAUUGAGUUUUUAUUUUCAAGGUGUUAUAGAGAAAUACACUCUAUGGAUUCUCAUAAGAUAAGGGCUCCAAUAUCCAAUAGGCAUGUAUAGGUUUCAAUACAUAUCUCCUAGUUCUUGAACUAUUUUUCCACCAUAGGAAUACUAUCUAGUGGAUCCACCUUAGAUGCUAGGUAUAUAUUUGGUUCUACUUUGACUGGUAGACCACCUUCUUUCGGUGUAAGGUUUUGUAACAACGAAUUCAACACUUUGCUUUUAUGGUCUGUGUCGGUUAAGGCAAGGUUUACCGAAAGUAAAAUUAAUUAAUGAUGUGAAAACUUACAUGGAUAACUUAAGGGUUUUGCUUAGUUUAGGUAGGGGUAUGGAAAUCUACCUAGGCAAUGCAUUAGUUGGCUUUGAGGGAAGUCCUAGAAGGUUGUUAUUAUGUUCUUAUGAUCUUAUAAAGUGAAUUGUAUGUGUAUGCUUACUUUGCAUGUUGAUGAUCCUAAAUAAUUUUUGUUUAAAUUAUGAAUAUGUAUUUUGUCUAUAUUGCUAAAUAUGAUGAUGAUUACUAUUGAUUCUAUGUUAUGUAGAGUUAGACCUUACUUGUGAUCCUUUGUUUGGUUUAGUUGAUUAAUUAAGGUUAUGGGCUUUGCUUGGUCAUUUAACUUGUAAGAUAAAGGGUGGGUUAUGAGUUUGGGUCCUUCUUAUGUGAUAAGGUCAUAGAAUUUAUACUUGUUGACUUGACUAUUACUUAUUGAGGUUUGUCUUGUGUUGUACAUGGGUUGGAUUUAAUAAUUAUCAAAUUGUUUUUCUACAUGGGUUCAUGAUUGUGAAUAAGGAUUUUCAAAGUACCUUAGCAUGGUUUUGAACAAAUAUUCCUUUUAGCAUGAUUUCAAUUGUGUUAUAUUCAUAUACUCUUACUUAGUGCAAGUGUGUACUAACCCAUCUUUUGUGUUUACUACAUAUGUAGGAUCAGUCUAUUUAGCUUAUAGAAGGGCUUUAAAGACUACUUGGAUAAUUCCCAAGUGUUCGAUAGGUCUUCAAUUUCCUAGGACAACUCCAGUAUCUUUGUAGUCGAUAUUGUGUAGUCUUAAAGACAAUUUAGUUCAUUCUCUUUUUUUAUUCACUUUUUAUCUGCCUAUAUCAGGCCUUUAUUAUAAUGAAGUAUGGGCUGAACCCAAUAUGUUGUAUUUGAUAUGGAUGGUUUAAUAUGAGAUGUAUUGUAUAAUUCUUAUGAAUCUAUAUUCCUAUACUGUGUAUGUGAAAUAAAAGUAGAAAACUAUGUAAUCUUCUUAUAUGAGGAGUUUAUGUAUACUCGCUAAAUAUAUUAUGUGUAAGCGAGAGGUCUAAGUAAACCUCAAUGUAGAAGUAGUUAAAAAGUUUUAAAUUUUCCACUAAUUUUACCAAUGAAAUGUAAUAACGAAUGUUACGAGGUUAGUCUUAUUCCUCUUCGAAAACGACGACACUAGUUACUUCUUAGGGGUGCUCCCUUGAUGUGACAAACAUGGUAUCACAACAUGAAUUUUCUUAGAAAUCCAAUGUCAUGACUCUAGAGUCUACUUUAUAACUGCUUUCACCUAAAUCUUGUAUUGUGUUUAUGGGUACGAAUACUCAAAAUAUAACUGCCCAAAGACUUGAUGAAGAGAUUACUAAUGCGGGAGUUCCUCCCCAUGGUAAUCAAGAUCCUCCUCUUGAAGAAGUUGGUAAUACGGAUCAAGCCAUGACAAUUCCUCAGGCCUUGUCAGAUGGGGACAUAAUGGAAGACUUUCUAUAAAUGGCCCAAUCCAUUACAACUCAAGCACAAGCCAUCACUAGUCAAGGUCAAACCAUGACGUCCACUAUUAACCGUGAGGUGGUACCCUAAGAAAACAAACAUGUUAGCACCAUGGCCAAGGAUGAAUCCCCCCACUUUAUAUUGGUCAAAAGAAGAGGAAGACCCCCAAAAGUUCAUUUAUUAAGUCUAAAAAAUCCUCUAUGCUAUGGGGUUGAAUAAUAGUGCAGAGGUCGAGUUAGCCACCUAUCAACUCAAGGAUGUGGCCCAAACUUGGUACAUCCAAUGGGGAUAUAAUAGGCCUUUGAGGGGUGUUCGGUAACAUGGGAGAUUUCAAGAAGGCUUUUCUAUAUAGGUACUUUUCAAUAGAAAAUAUGGAAGCGAAGGUGGAAGAAUACAUCAACCUUCGUCAAUAACGUAUGAGUGUGUUUGACUACUCUUCAAAAUUUACUAAGUUGUUAAAAUAUGCUCCUUCUUUGGUUUUCGACCAGAGGGAUAAGAUGAUUCGCUUUUUGACGAGAGUCUUCGAUUACUUGAAAGAAGAAUAUCAUUCGGCUAUGGUACCUGAUAAUAUGAAUAUUUUUUGUCUCGUGGUUCAUUCUCAACAAGUCGAGGAGGCAAGAAUUAAAAGGAAGAGUAGAGAUGACAAUAGGGAAAAGUAAUUUGAUAGUGGUUCUUCAAAAGGGUAGGCUUUAUAUCCAAGACAAACCUAUGUCCAAAAAGAUAUUUUCUAAUCAAGUUCCUUCAAAGUUCCGAAAAACUAGUUAUGAUAGGGUCAUGUGGGCGAAUUCUUAGUGUGAACAGGUAAUUUCUUUGGUUGUUGAAAGAAUGGUCAGAAGAUUAGGGAUUUCCCUAAUUUUAAAGGGAAAGACUAAGGAAGUGGGAAAGCUCUAGUAAGUAGUUCGAAUGUUGAUGGUCCAAAGAAGAAUUACUUUUAUGCUCUCCAAUCAAGGGUUGAAUAAGAGAGUUCUCCCGAUGUGGUAACCGGUAUUUUACUAGGGUUCUCUAUUGAUGUUUAUUCUUUACUUGAUAUGGGUGCUACAUUAUCUUUUGUUACUCCCUUUAUAGAUAGUAUGUUUGACAUUUUGCCCGAUGUCCUAAAUAAACCAUUUAUGGUAACUAUCCCGGAAGGUGAUUCGGUUGUGGGUAAGAGGGUAUAUAGAAAUUUUCCUAUAAUGCUAUCAAAUUGAGUUACUUAUGUUGAACAAGUAGAACUAUAUAUGGUUUAUUUUGAUGUCAUUUUUGGAAUGGAUUGUUUGUGUGAUUACAUUGAUUCCAUUAAUUAUCUCUAAAGGGUUUGAAUAUCAUAUUGUGAGAGUCAAAGAUUUAGACUCCGAAGUUCCUCCAGUUGAGUCGGUCCUCGUAGUGAGGGAAUUUUCGGAGGUCUUCCCUAAUGAUCUUACCGGAAUUCCUUCUUAAGGGGAAAUUGAUUUUAGUAUUGACUUGCUACCGGAUACCAACCCCAUUUCUAUUCAUCCUUAUUAGAUGGCUCCAGCUGAAUAGAAAGAGUUGAAGGCUCAACUCAAAGACUUACUAGAUAAAUACUUAAUUAGACCUAGUAUUUGUGCAUAGGGUGUUCCGGUAUUGUUUGUUAAAAGAAGGAUGGGUCACUUAGAAUGUGCAUUUAUUAUCGCCAACUCAAUAAACUCACUAUCAAGAACAAGUAUCCUCUCCCUCAGAUUGAUGAAUUGUUUGAUCAACUCCAAGGGGAAAGCUACUUUUCUAAGAUUUACUUGAGGUCGGGAUAUCACCAACUUAGGGUGAGAGGUGAAGACAUACCAAAAAUGUUAUUUUGAACUAUAUAUGGCCACUUUGAGUUUCUAGUGAUAUAUACUCGCUAAAUAUAUUAUGUGUAAGAGAGAGGUCUAAUUAAACCUCAAUGUAGAAGUAGAUAAAAAGUUUUAAAUUUUCCCCUAAUUCGACCUAUUAAAUGUAGUGAACAUUUCUAAGAGGUUAGUCUUAGUUCUCUUCAAGGACGACGACACCUGUUACUUCUAGGGGGUGCACCCCGGAUGUGAGAAAAAUUUAGCAUAUUCAUUGAUAUAAAACUAUUCCCAAUUGAUUGCAACCACCGAUUUCUCUACCUUAGCCCAUAAUCAAAUACAUCCCAGGAACUAUCUCUAUACUUGUUACUUUCGUGUUAUUUGUUGUUGUAGUUGACAAUUACAAUUACCCCCCUCCCCAGGCUAUUUGACAUUUGUGUCACCCUAAUCUUUAAUAAUGCGUUUAUGCGAAUAUGUUUUUUACCUAUAAUUGACUUGAGAAUAUUCUCACGAGGCUAUUUAUUCUCAAAUAUGUACAACAUUCUAUGAGAAUGAUCCCAACUCACUUAGCUAGGUUACAUUACUAACUAACGAUAGUUUACUCUUAGUAUCUGAUGAAGUAUCUAUAAAACAUUGUUAAUCACUAUGUCCAUGAAGCCGUUCGAGACCCAGAUAGGUUAGAUUUCGUCUCAUUUAAACUCAAAACAAUAAGGAGGUUUCCUAGUGAAACUAUGUCAGCCCCAAGAAUGAAGUUUGAGUGAGGACUUGCGUCGUGCCACAACUUUAACUAAGGCGCUUCUUGGGAGGCAACACAAUUUUUUAUUUGCUUUUUUUAUUAAAUUAAUUGUGUGUUGAUCUUUUCAGGUUGAAGUGUAAAAUAUGUUUGAAAAGUGCAUGUAGCCAAGAAAAAGGCUGCGACUAACUAAAAUUAUCAGCGAGCCUGAUAUGACAGCAAACUACAUAUUUUUUUUUAUCAUUAAUUACUGUCAUGACCCAAACAGGGUUGCGACUGGCACCCACACUUACCCUCCUAUGUGAGCGAACCAACCAAUCUUAACAUUUCAAUAUAAUAUCAACAGAAAGUAAUGCGAAAGACUUAAACUCAUUAAAUAAAGACCAAUUCAUUAACUUCUAAAAUUCGACAUCUAUUAUUCCCCAAGAUCUGGAAGUCAUCAUCACAAGAACAUCUACGAUCAAAUGACUAAACUAAGAGUAUUCUAAAAGCUAAAAAUAUAUAAGAAGCUAGUCCAUGCCGGAAGUUCAAGGCAUCAAGACUUGAAGAAGAAGAUCCAGUCCAAGCUAGAAGCAUUAGCUCACCCUGAAUUUCCGAUGUAGUAAGACUGGCUUGAAUUACUGUUGAGUUGAAGACGAUGGCACGUUUGCUGCACUCCACAAAUAAACAAGAAGAGAACAUAAAAGUAGGGGCCAGUACAAAACACGGGUACUGAGUAGAUAUCAUCGGCCAAGUCAAAAUAGAAAUCAAUAUAUACCGGGUAAUAUCAUAAAAUUAACUACAAUACUCAACACGUAGCAACAACAAAUAUUAUAUCAUUAACAAUUACCGUCAAGUUCACACAUGAGGACUCAAGCCUCGAUACCAUACUCAUUUGGGAAUCAUGUUCAUUAGAUUGAGUAUAUUAACAUCUUUCAAGAUUCAUUAUCUUUAUUUCUCUUGUGUCGGUACGUGACACUCCGCUCCCUCAAUAUUCAUUAAUCCUCUUGUGUCGGUACGUGACACUCCGAUCCCCUAAAUCUAUGUGUCGGUUCGUGAUACCCGAUCCCCUAAAUCUACGUGUCGGUUCGUGACACCCGAUCCCCUAAUACUACGUGUCGGUUCGUGACACCCAAUCCCCUAAUACUACGUGUCGGUUCGUGACACCCGAUCCCCUAAUACUACGUGUCGGUUCGUGACACCCGAUUCCCUUAUUCUACGUGUCGGUUCGUGACACCCGAUCCCCUAAUACUACGUGUCGGUUCGUGACACCCUAUCCCCUAAUUCUACGUGUCGGUUCGUGACACCCGAUCCACUAAUUCUACGUGUCGGUUCGUGACACCCGAUCCCCUAAUCUCCUUCCAUCAAUUCAUCAAGCCUUCUUUCUUACCAAGGCAUAAUCAAUCCCAUUAUUUUAGUUCAUCACGCCUUCUUUUAUACCAAGUCCUCAUUAUUAACAAAGAGAUUAAGAUUUUGCAAGAUUUGGGAUUCAAUAACUUCAUCAUGCUUAAUAUAAUCACAAUUAUAUAAUCACGUUCAUGUAUGCAUACAAUUAAGCACAUAGCAGGGUUUACAAUACUACCAAUACAUAUCAUUCUCUAUUAAGACUUUACUAUGAAAGCAUGAAAACCAUAACCUACCUCCACCGAAGAAUUGCGAUCAACAAGUUAUCUUCUCAAAAUCCAUGUUAUCCUCUUCUUUUCUCUUUCUUUUUAUGUUUUCUCUUUGUUCUUUCUAUUUUUCUUAUUCAAACCCUCUUUCUUUUACCCUAAUUAACAUAUAAUCAAGAAUAAAAGAUGGCAAUAAUGCCUCACUAAUUAACGUAAGGUUACCUCUUUUAACCCCCAAGUAAUUAGACUUAUUAACAUUAACCCACUAACUUAAUAAUUAAGGCAAGAAUAGUCAAAAACGUCCCUUAAAACGUAUCAAGAAAUCCGACCCAGACUGGGAUUUCGCAGUCUGUGACGGCCCAUCGCACCUGCGACGGUCCGUCCUGCUGCCUGUCACAUAGUUCAGAGACUCAAUUUCUCUAAAGAAUCUGUGACGGUCCGUCACACCUGUGACGGUCCGUCCUGCCAUUCCGUUACGAAGUUCAGAGAGUCGAUUUCAGUACCCAAUUUUUAGUUUUUCUAAGUGUUUUGAAACGAGACCCUGCGACGGUCCGUCGUGCCCAUGACGGUCUGUCGUGGGGUCCGUCGCCUCAGCCUGUUUUUGCAGAAAUAAAAUCUGCUGCUCAAAACGACUAAACAGGUCUUUACAAUAGAUACCAAUUUACCCAUCUUUCAUCCCCGAACGAUCACAAGAAGGAAAACAAGGGCGAAAAGGAGUACCUGAAUCUGUAAACAGAUAUGGGUAUUUUUCUCGCAUAUCCACCUCCUUCUCCCAUGUGGCUUCUUCAACGGGUCGAUUUUUCCAUUGAACUUUGACGGAUGCAUUCUCCCUUGAUCUCAACAUGCGAAUUUCUCUAUCUAGAAUGGCAACAGGUUCCUCCUCAUAAGACAAAUUCUCAUCAAGCAAAACUGAAUCCCAACGGAUAAUGUAAUUUAAAUCCCCAUGGUAUCUUUUCAACAUCGACACAUGGAAUACCGGAUGCACUCCGGACAUCCCUGGAGGCAAGGCUAACUCAUAAGCCACCUCCCCUACUCGCUUAAGUACUUCAAAGGGACCAAUGUAUCUUGGACAUAGCUUACCCCUUUUACCAAACCGCAUCACCCGUUUCAUGGGCGAAACCUUCAGCAAGACUUGUUCACCCUCCCUAAACUCCAAGUCUCUAAUCUUCCGAUCUGCAUACUCCUUCUGUCUACUUUGAGCCACUAGAAGCUUUUCUUGAAUAGAUUUCACCUUCUCCAUUGAAUCUCUCAGAAGAUCAGUACCCCAAGGUCUAACCUCGAACGCAUCAAACCAACGAAUGGGGGACCUACAUCUCCUACCAUACAAUGCUUCAAAUGGAGCCAUAUCAAUGCUCGAGUGAUAUCUAUUAUUGUAUGAAAAUUCCGCUAAGGGUAAGAAGCUAUCCCACUGACCACCAAAUUCUAUCACACAUGCACGAAGCAUAUCCUCCAACACUUGAAUCGUUCGCUCAGACUGACCAUCGGUAUGAGGAUGGAACGCAGUACUAAGGUCCAACCUAGUACCCAAUUCCGCAUGUAAUGUUUUCCAAAACAUAGAAGUAAAUUGUGUACCUCUAUCUGAUAUGAUGGAUAGUGGAACCCCAUGCAAUCGAACGAUUUCUGAGAUAUAGAUCUUGGCUAACUUCUCGGCAUUGUAAGUCACCUUAACCGGAAUAAAAUGAGCUGACUUAGUUAACCUAACAACAAUCACCCAAAUAGAGUCAUACUUACCCAUUGUCCUUGGAAGACCAACCACAAAGUCCAUUACAAUUCUUUCCCACUUCCAUUCCGGAAUGGGCAUUCUCUGAAGUGUUCCUUCGGGCCUUUGGUGUUCGUACUUUACUUGUUGACAGUUUGGACACUUGGCAAUAAAGUCAACAAUAUCACGCUUCAUUCUACUCCACCAAAAGUGUUGCGUUAGGUCACGAUACAUCUUUGUUGCACCCGGAUGUAUAGAAUACCUUGAACUUUGAGCCUCUAUCAGCAUAGUGUUGAUCAAAUCAUCGACGCGGGGUACACAUACCCUUCCCUUGAUCCUCAGAACACCUUCCUCAUCGAUUUGUGCUUCCUUAGCCUCUCCUCGCAAUACCUUAUCUUGAAUUCUGGCGCAGUUUCUCAUCAUCAGACUGUCUUCCCUUAAUCUUGUCAAGAAAGGAAGAUCUUGCCUCCACAGAAGCCAACAAUCCUCCCUUCUCAUUUACUUCUAAUCUCAUAAGGUCGUUAGCCAGAAUCUGAACUUCUCUAGCCAAUGGACGUCUAGAAACUUGAAAGUGAGCUAGACUUCCCAUGCUUCCCGCUUUUCUACUUAAAGCAUCUGCCACAACAUUCGCUUUUCCCGGAUGAUACAAGAUAGUGAUAUCGUAGUCCUUUAGUAACUCCAUCCAUCUCCUCUGUCUUAAGUUCAAAUCUUUCUGAGUAAAGACAUACUGAAGGCUACGAUAAUCCGUGUAGACCUCACACUUAACCCCAUAUAAAUAGUGUCUCCAUUGCUUUAAUGCAAACACUACCGCGGCCAAUUCCAAAUCAUGAGUUAGAUAGUUACGUUCAUGCGCUUUUAAUUGUUUUGAAGCAUAAGCAAUCACAUUCUUCUCUUGCAUUAGCACUGCACCCAAACCCGAAUAGGAUGCAUCACAAUAGACAAUGAAAUUCUUACCUUCCACUGGCAAGGUAAGAAUGGGUGCGGUAGUCAACAAAGUCUUGAGCUUCUGAAAGCUUUCUUCACACUCAUCCGACCAUACAAAUGGAACAUUUUGCUUAGUCAAGUUCGUCAGUUGGGAAGCAAUAGCAGAGAAUCCCUUGACAAAUCGGCGGUAGUAGCUAGCUAACCUAACAAAGCUCCAUAUUUCUGACACAUUAGUAGGUCUUACCAAAUUCUUUACUGUCUCAAUCUUAGAUGGAUCCACCAUCACUCCCUCCUUAGAGACCACGUGUCCCAAGAAGGACACUGAAUCUAGCCAAAACUCACACUUGGAGAAUUUGGCAUAAAGUUUCUUCUUCCUCAGCAACUCUAACACCAUUCUCAAAUGCUCCUCAUGUUCCUUCUUGCUCUUUGAGUAUAUCAGUAUAUCAUCAAUAAAUACGAUCACGAAGAGGUCCAAAUAUGGCUUAAAAAUCCCGUUCAUCAAGCUCAUGCACGCAGCAGGGGCAUUCGUAAGACCAAAAGACAUCACUACAAAUUCGUAAUGCCCAUACCUCGUUCGAAAGGCAGUCUUUGGCACAUCCGUUGCCCGUAUUUUCAAUUGAUGAUAACCGGAUCUCAAGUCAAUCUUAGAGAAGACACAAGCACCUUGUAACUGAUCGAACAAGUCAUCAAUGCGGGGAAGAGGGUACUUGUUCUUUAUGGUUACCUUGUUCAACUGCCGGUAGUCUAUGCACAUCCGAAAACUCCCAUCCUUCUUUUUCACAAACAAAAACGGAGCACCCCAAGGGGAUGCACUUGGUCUAAUAAAGCCUUUGUUUAACAACUCUUGAAGUUGGGCUUUUAACUCUCUUAACUCCGCGGGAGCCAUUCUAUAAGGGGGUAUCGAAAUGGGGCGAGUACCCGGUUCAAGGUCAAUACAGAAAUCAAUAUCCCUAUCUGGUGGCAUACCAGAAAGAUCUGCAGGGAACACAUCCAGAAACUCACGGACCACCGAAACCGACUUAAUCGAAGGUACUUGGGUAGUUUCAUCCUUGAGAUGUGCCAAGAAAGCUAAACACCCUUUACUAACUAUUUUCUUAGCACGAAGAAAGGAGAUGAUACGCACCGGAUUGGAAGUGUAGUCACCCUCCCACACUAACGGAUCUGUCCCAGGCUUGGCUAACGUCACCGUUUUAGCAUUACAACACAAGAUCACAAAUUGCGGAGAAAGCCAAGUCAUACCCAGAAUUACAUCAAAAUCAGCCAUUUCUUAGAUAACCAAAUCUACAUAAGUGUUGCUCCCCUCAAAGUUCACCAAACAAGACCUAUAUACCUUUUCAACUACCACAGACUCACCCACCGGAGUAGAAACACGAAUAGACAUAUCAAGUAAUUCACAAUGUAAGUUUAGACCAUUAGCAAAUGAGGAACAUACAUAAGAAAAUGUGGAUCCAGGAUCAAACAAUACAGAAGCCAUGCAAUCACAAACCAGAAGAUUACCUGUGAUGACAGCAUCAGAUGCCUCCGCUUCAGUCCGCCCAGGGAAAGCGUAACAAUGGGCCCUAUCGUUUGUCUGUCCAUUGCCCCUAACAUGUUGUGAUGUAGUGGCUCUAGUUUGCCCAUCACCUCGACCAUUUUGGUGACCACCAUUACCUCGACCACCACGUCCUCCAGAAUAACGGCCUCUACCAUGACCACCUCUACCUCUAGCCAUUGGGGGUCUAUAACUCUGUUUGGGACAAUUCCUCCUAAUAUGUCAAGUCUCCCCACAUCCAUAACACUCUCUAGAGUCAAGCAUAGGCCUCUCAGAGAAGUGUUGACCGGUAUGAGGUGGACCCCCAACUACAGUCUGUAGCGAAGACUGAAUUGGUCGAACUGAGUAACCUCCGGAACCCUGUCCUCUAGAGUAAGAACCAUUAAACUCACCUCCCUUUCAAAAUCUCUUUGAUGUCGAUGCCAUGGUGAAUUCAUCUGGCUUCACUCCUUCCACCUCUACCACAAAAUCUAACACUUCUUGGAAGGAUUUUACCGUAGCCGCUACCUGUUAGGCUGAAAUCCGCAACUCUGACCUCAACCCCUUCACAAAACGACGAAUCCGCUCUUGUGGACUGAAACAAAGUUGGGUGGCAUAUCUGGAUAGUGCACGAAACUUAGCCUCAUAUGCAUUGACCGACAUCCUACCUUGCUCUAGGCUCAAGAACUCAUCCCUUUUCCUAUCUCUCAAUGUCCGAGGGAUAUACUUCUCCAUAAACAAGCUAGAGAAUGACGCCCAAGUCAUAGGUGGUGCUUCUGUUGGUUGACACUCAACAUGUGACCGCCACCACAUUUUGGCGUUCCCUUAAAACUGAUAACUCACGAACUCAAUACCAAACCGUUCUACAAUACCCAUCUUGUGUAGUAGCUCAUGAUAGUCAACCAGAAAAUCGUAAGCAUCCUCAGAUUCAAUACCCUUGAAGACUGGAGGUUUCAAUUUCAAGAACUUACUGAAAAGUUCAUGCUGAUCAUUUGUCAUUAUAGGCCCAGUAGUCAGACAUGGAAACGUGCCUAUAUCUAAUGAGGCAUCCAUACGAGGAGCCAUAGUGGCUGCAUGUUGUACCUCUGAAACCGGAGGUGUUGGUGCAGAAAACACUGGAGGUGCCUGACCUUGAUCAGACAACCCACUGAGAUAGGCGAGAACCUGAUUGAUCAUCUCUGGGGUAGGUUGGGGUGGCAAUCCCUCAUUCUGCACUUGUUCAUUUUCCCCAUCCUCCCCUUCUCUUAUUACUUCCUCAGUCGGUGGAGGAGUCACUGCCGUAGUAUCAGAUGGGCUAGGUGCUCGUCCUCUUCCCCUAGAGGACGUCCUCCCACGACCUCUACCACGGCCUCUUGCCGCUGCUCUUCCUCGAGCUACAGCCCCACUGGCUGGCUCAGACGCACCCUGUCCCGCUGAUGCUGGUGUUGGUGUUGGCGUAGUCGUUGCUCUAGUUCUAACCAUCUGCGAAAUAGAGUGAAGAUGAUCAGAUACCAAUUUGUAUCACCUAGAUACCAAUUGGACUCAAGUAAUAGCACGAAAUAAGAUAGAAAGAAUGGAAUUUUCCUAAAGUCUUAUAGCCUCUCAAGGAAAAGUAAAGGCGUCCCCCUACCGUUCCUUAAGAUUCUACUAGACUCGUUCUUGUGUGACGAGAUCAACGAACCUAAUGCUCUGAUACCAAGUUUGUCAUGACCCAAACCGGGUUGCGACUGGCACCCACACUUACCCUCCUAUGUGAGCGAACCAACCAAUCUAACCUUAACAUUUCAAUAUAAUAUCAACAGAAAGUAAUGCGGAAGACUUAAACUCAUUAAAUAAAGACCAAUUCAUUAACUUCUAAAAUUCGACAUCUAUUAUUCCCCAAGAUCUGGAAGUCAUCAUCACAAGAACAUCUACGAUCAAAUGACUAAUCUAAGAGUAUUCUAAAAGCUAAAAAUACAUAAGAAGCUAGUCCCUGCCGGAAGUUCAAGGCAUCAAGACUUGAAGAAGAAGAUCCAGUCCAAGCUAGAAGCAUUAGCUCACCCUGAAUUUCCCAUGUAGUAAGACAGGCUUGAAUUACUGUUAAGUUGAAGACGAUGGCACGUUUGCUGCACUCCACAAAUAAACAAGAAGAGAACAUUAAAGUAGGGGUCAGUACAAAACACGGGUACUGAGUAGAUAUCAUCGGCCAACUCAAAAUAGAAAUCAAUAUAUACCGGGUAAUAUCAUAAAAUUAACUAUGAUACUCAACACGUAGCAACAACAAAUACUAUAUCAUUAACAAUUACCGUCAAGUUCACACAUGAGGACUCAAGCCUCGAUACCAUACACAUUUGGGAAUCAUGUUCAUUAGAUUGAAUAUAUUAACAUCUUUCAAGAUUCAUUAUCUUUAUUUCUCUUGUGUCGGUACGUGACACUCCGCUCCCUCAAUAUUCAUUAAUCCUCUUGUGUCGGUACGUGACACUCCGAUCCCCUAAAUCUAUGUGUCAGUUCGUGACACCCGAUCCCCUAAAUCUACGUGUCGGUUCGUGACACCCGAUCCCCUAAUACUACGUGUCGGUUCGUGACACUCGAUCCCCUAAUACUAUGUGUCGGUUCGUGACACCCGAUCCCCUAAUACUAUGUGUCGGUUCGUGACACCCGAUCCCCUAAUUCUACGUGUCGGUUUGUGACACCUGAUCCCCUAAUACUACGUGUCGGUUCGUGACACCCGAUCCCCUAAUUCUACGUGUCGGUUUGUGACACCCGAUCCCCUAAUUCUAUGUGUUGGUUCGUGACACCCGAUCCCCUAAUCUCCUUCCAUCAAUUCAUCAAGCCUUCUUUCUUACCAAGGCAUCAUCAAUCCCAUUAUUUUAGUUCAUCACGCCUUCUUUUAUACCAAGGCCUCAUUUUUAACAAAGAGAUUAAGAUUUUGCAAGAUUUGGGAUUCAAUAACUUCAUCAUGGUUAAUAUAAUCACAAUUAUAUAAUCACGUUCAUGCAUGCAUACAAUUAAGCACAUAACAGGGUUUACAAUACUACCAAUACAUAUCAUUCUCUAUUAAGAGUUAACUAUGAAAGCAUGAAAACCAUAACCUACCUCCACCGAAGAAUUGCGAUCAACAAGUUAUCUUCUCAAAAUCCUUGCUAUCCUCUUCGUUUCUCUUUCUUUUUCUGUUUUCUCUUUGUUCUUUCUAUUUUUCUUAUUCAAACCCUCUUUCUUUUACCAUAAUUAACAUAUAAUCAAGAAUAAAAGAUGGCAAUAAUGCCCCACUAAUUAACUUAAGGUUACCUCUUUUAACCCCCAAGUAAUUAGACUUAUUAACAUUAACCCACUAACUUUAUAAUUAAGGCAAGAAUAGUCAAAAACGUCCCUUAAAACGUAUCAAGAAAUCCGACCCAGACUGGGAUUUCGCAGUCUGUGACGGCCCGUCGCGCCUGCGACGGUCGGUCCUGCUGCCCGUCAAAGAGUUCAGAGACUCAAUUUCUCUGAAGAAUCUGUGACGGUCCGUCACACCUGUGACGGUCCGUCCUGCCAUUCCGUUACGAAGUUCAGAGAGUCGAUUUCAGUACCCAAUUUUCAGUUUUUCUAAGUGUUUUGAAACGACACACUGCGACGGUCCGUCGUGCCCAUGACGGUCCGUCGUGGGGUCCGUCGCCUCACCCUGUUUUUCCAGAAAUAAAAUCUGCUGCUCAAAAUGACUAAAUAGGUCGUUACAAUUACCUCAUAAUUAUUAUUUAUAUUUGUCCAUUUUAAGCAUAAAAUUUAAUAUAAUUGUGCUACAUUGUGUAUUUUAUUAGUAGGAUUAAAUUGGUGAGGGAAUGAAGAAGUUUGUAACUAAAAUGAAUUAAAGAUGGAUGGUUGAAGAAGAAAAUCAAGCGGACAACUUAAUGGGUGAAAUUUUAUAUAAAAAUGCAUAAACAUAAAGUGCACAUUUCAAAUUUUCAACUUUCAAUUGGGAAACUUUCUGCCACGUGACAGCAAGCGAAGACAAGAGAAUUUUUUAGCCGCACGGAAAGCUCAAGCAGACAAAAUAAAGAAUUCAAUUUCUUUUAGUUUUGGAUUCCUAAUUUAAAGUGGACUUAAUUAUUGUUAGGAUUUUAUUUAUUUAUAAAUAGUCCAUAAAAUUAUUAUUUUUUGGAGGAGGGUAAGAACCAAGAAACAAGACAUAAAUAAAUUCUCUUCUAACUUUGGAGCUUUUUAAGAGCCACCGUGGAGGCCAGAGAAUUGUACUUUAUUCUUUCUUCUCCUUUAUUAUUUAGUUGUAUUCUAGAUUAUAAAAAAAUGUUUCGAUAUUGUUUUUAACCUUUCAUGAUUAACACAAACAUAUUUAUUUUAAUAAAAUUUAAUUGUGUUUUUGAGAUAAUAAGUACCUAAAUUCCACAACUAUGUCUGUGGGAACCAUGAGCGAUUAACAAAGUAUGAAUUUGAAAUAAUAAAUUCUCAAAUACGUUAUUGUAUGUAUUGAUAAUUCUUUUGCUUAGAAGUCUUUUCAACGAGUGCAUGCGUUAAAACUCGCCCUUUUGCUACUAGCCGGACCAAGGAUGUAGUUACUAAGAAAAUAUUUAUCAACAUAGAUUUAGUGGGAUACAAUCUAAUAGGCUAGUGUAAAUUCAUGCGAAGUAAUAACUAAGUCAUACAUCGAUUAUGAUGCUUAAUAUGAAGUAAAGGUAAUGCUUGGUAAAUUAUACACAGGUAGCUAGACCAAGGUACAAGGUGAAAUUCUCUAGAUGUCGAACCAAAAAUUUAGAGAUACAUAACUUAUCACUUUGCAUGCAUAAUAUUAGGGAAGAAUUACUAUUUCUAGGAUUGUCGCGUCAUGAGCUUAUGAGGAACACAUUCCUAGUUAUUUUUAUUAACUUUGAUACAAAUAAAUAAUUAGUUCAAAGCUAUUUUUCUAUUGUUUUUAUUUUUAUUUUAAUUCAAAACCCCCCAUUUCUAUAUAAUGACUAUCAAGUUAAAUAUUUGCUAUUAAUAAUAUUCUCCCAUAUGCUCUGUGGGAUCGACUCAGACUCAUAGUUGGGUAAAUAUAUUGCAUACGAUCAUUUAUAUUUCUUUCGAGAAGUAUAUUUGAACGUUAUCAAGAAUGGCACCGCUAACGGGGAAUAUGGCUUCGAAAUUUUCUGUACUAUAUAUUUUAACUUGUAUUUUUUUUGGCUUUUUGUUUCUUAGGAUUAGUUUUUAAUUUUUUUUUAUUAUUAUUAUCGAGUCAUCUAAGCUUAUAGGAGGGUGUAUGGAGAAGGAAAAUUGUAUCUAUAUUCUUGAAUUUAUUGUUCCAACAUUGAUUCCUCACUUAGGAUCCAAGAAGUCUAUAAUGUAUAUUUGUUGUUUGAGACCUUUCUUUUUGUACCACCACACCUGAGCAUAAUAGAAAAAUUGAUUAAAAAUUGGGGGUGCAAUUCAUAUCUUCAAUGUGAAAGGAAAAAUAGUAAAAUUAAUAGUGUCGCGUUGCACCGCUAAAUUAAGCACUUAUUGAGAGGCAACCCAAUUAGUAGUAUAACUUAUUGCUUUUAUUUUAUUAUUAUAUUAUUUUAUUUUAUCAGUAUCACUUUUUUAUCUUGUUUUUGCAGAUUAUGGGAAGUUUGAGUACCCAACCCAAAAAAAAGGAAAGUCGAAUGUUUGAGUUUAAGUGUGGGGUGACGACCCUUGAUAUAAAUUUAGAGAAAGUGCUACUAACUACGCUAAAGGCCUCAGGGAGCUUUCCUAACCUUUGUUUUAUAUUUUAUUUAACGCUUUCGGGAAAUAGCAUCUUUUUAAGUGUGGGGUGGAGGAAUGAAUUCCUAGUUUUUAAUGUUUUAUCGAUUUUUUUAUGGAUGGGUUCCUUGGAUUUUGUUUUUGAUUAUUUUCCUAAAGAUAGUCUCUUUAUCCCGAGUGUAUUUUAUUUAUUUAUUUUAGAAAUAAUUUUUUUUAAUUGUUAUUUUUCGAGAGAAAAGAAAUGAAUCUUUUGAGGUAUGUGAUACUUACUAUUUGGUCCUAAUUUUAAGUAGUACUUUCUUGUGAAUGCUUGAUUACUAGUGAAAUUGCAAACCUUUUGACAUCUAGGUUCAGGGUUGUGACGUUGUAUAUAGCUUAUUUUAUUUUAUAGUUUAUUGGAAUUUUGUCUCUCUUAGAAGUAGAAUUGAUCAAUCUUGAUUUAUACUUGUGCUGUGUGUGGUUAGAUUUUUUGUUUAUUCCUUGUUUUGCAUCUUAGUCUAGAACUUUCCCUACAUGUUAUUGGAGCAAAACAAAAAUGUGUUGCCUUUUUUUACGAGAUUUUAAUAGGAUUUCUUUGAUUUGUCUUAUAAAUUUUAGCCUUUUCAAAUAUUUAUCAUUAGUUAGCCCUUUUGACCUUGUGGCGUUUUGUAGGUAGGCAUAUUUGUUCCUUAACGAUUUUGUUGAAUCCCUAAUUUUUGCAUCUUGCUUCCUUGAAAAUAAUAGCACAUACUUAUUUUAGUUAUCAAUUUUGAGAAAAAAGGAUAAAUGAGUGAAAAGGUAUUUGAGGAUAGCUACAAAGUGCUUAAAAGCCCUCUUUGAAAGAAUGUGAAAAUAAAUAAAUAAUUGGAAUGUGAAAUAAAAAAAAAGAAAAAAGAAGUUAUUGUGAUGAUGGCCCUGGUCCUUCCAAGGAUAUCAUGCACCUUAACUCAUGUAAAAUACCCAAGUUGAAGGUUUCUUAUGAAGGAAAAUAUAAUUUUUUUUAAAAAAAAUGAGUAAUGACUGAAACAUUCUUGUGGUGAUGAGAAUUACUUGCGAAAUUAUUGUUGAAGAGAGGGCUGAAAAUACAAAGAAGAAAAUAUGGGUGAUCAAGUCUAAUAAUUGCAAAGUGCUUAAGGAAGUGGAAAUCGCUAUUAUAUUAUUUUUCUAUCCAUUCCCUAGCUUACGUACAACCAAUUAAAGUCCUAUUUGACUCUAUUCAAGCAUGCUUAAUUAGUGGAGAUGUAAAUAACGGGCAAGCAUAUGGUUCGUUGCACAUAUAUGUGAAUUUUAUUUGUCAGUGUGAGAGUUGUUCUUGAUAUGAAGUCCUUAAUUUAUAUUCAAUGUUUUGAACUGAGUUUGUCGACAAUUUUUUUAGGGCACUUGUUUCAUGAUAGAUAUGUGAUGUUAUUAACUUUCUUUUAUGAGAGUAGAUGAGAAAGAAUAAAUUUUAUGAGUUCAAAGUCCUUCCUUGAAGUUAGGAGGUUAGAGGUUUGUUGUUUACUUGGAUGUAUUAUAUUAUGAUUGAGAAGUCUAAUUGAUAUUUUAAAAUUGGUAUAUGACCCAAUUGUUUGUAUUAAUCAAAUUGAUGAUAUUGAUAGUAUAAGUUUUUUUAUAGAUAAGCUCUAAUGCUUGCUCGAUGACGAACAAAAGUUUAAGUGUAGGGUGUUAAUGUGAGGCUAAACUACACAUUUUUUAUCAUUAUUUACCUCACAUUUAUUAAUUAUAUUUUUCCAUUUUGAGCAUAAUUUUUAUGAAUUGUGCUACAUUGUGUAUUUUAUUUGUAGGAUUAAAUUGGUGAGGGGAAUGAAGAAGUUUGGAACUAAAAUGAAUUAAAGAUGGAAGGUUGAAGAAGAAAAUGAAGCAGACAUCUUAAUGGAUUAAAUUUUAUAUAAUAAUGUAUAAACAUAAAGUGUACAUUACAAAAUUUUCACCUUUCAAUUCGGAAACUUGGUACCACGUGGAAGCAAGUGAGGACGAGAAUCUUUGAGGCGCAUGGACAGCGAACGUAGCGGGAAAAAAAAGGGAAUUCAAUUCCAUUUGGUUUUAGAUUCUUAAUUUAAAGUGGACUCAAAUAUUUUAUUUAGGAUUUUGUUUAUAUAAAAAUAGUCCAUAAAAUUAUUAUUUUUGGGAGGAGGCCAUGAACCAAGAUACAAGACAUAAUAUAUAUUUUCUUCUAGCUUUGGAGUUUUGUAAGAGCCGCCGUGGAGGCCGGAGAAUUGUGUUUUAUUCUUUCUUCUCCUUUACUAUUUAGUUGUAUUCUUGAUUUAUAAAAAAUAGUUUAGCUAUUGUUCUUAACUUUUUAUGAUAAACACAAAUAUAUUUAUUUUAAUAAUUUUGAUUGUAUUAUUGAGAUUAUGAGUAGCUAAGCUCCACAACUAGGUUUGUGAGAAUCAUGAGAGAUUAAAAAAUUAUGAAUAGUAGAUAAGCAAUUCCCAAAAAGGUUAUGGUAUGUAUUGAUAAUGAUUUCUCUUAGAAGUCUUUCUUACGAGUGCACGCGUUAAAACUCGCCUUGAUACUAUUUAUCUAAUCAAGGAGGUAAUUAACAAGACAAGAAUUACCAACACGGAUUUUGUGGGAUACUAUCGAAUAGGCUAGUGUCAAUUUGGGCGAAGUAAUAACUAAGCCAUACAUCGAUUAUGAUGCUUAAUAUGAUGUAAAGGUAAGGGUUAGUAAAUUAUACACACCUUGCCGGACCAAGGUACGAAGUUAAAUUCUCUAGAUGCUAGACAAAGAAUUUAGAGAUACAUAACUUAUCACUUUGUACGCAUAACACUAGAAAAUAAUUGCUAUUAAUAGGAUUACCGCGUUAUGAGCUUAUGAGAAAUAUAUUCCUAGAUAUUUUUAAUAAUUUGGAUAUAAAUAAAUCGUUAGCUUAAAAUUAUUUUUCAUACUUUUAAUUUUAUUUCAAUUUAAAAUCUCUCAUUUAAAUGUAACGACUAUCAAGUUAAAUAUUUGCUAUUGAUAAUAUUUUCUCAUAUUCUCUGUAGGAUCGACCCCGACACAUAAUUGGGUAAUAUAGUUCAUGCGAUCAUUUAUAUUUUUUCCAAGAAGUAUGCAGUUGGACUCAAGAAACUCUAAGGUUGCAAUAUGUAAAACUCGGUGGGCCCAUGGGUAAGUCGGCGAAUCGCAGCACAGUUUGGCGACCCCGAUUUUGACUGUUGUUUGGACCCCCACAUUAACGAGAAGGUCCUUUAAAACUCGGUGAGGUACUGACCACUCAGCGUGUCGUCCAGUGGUUCGGCAAGCAUAAUUAAUAUGGUCGAAAGGGCAAGAAAUUGAUUGUUUUUCAUGGCCAAAGUUUUAAAUUUUCAAACUCUUUCACAUUCCUUCACUUUUUAACUUCCCAAGAUGACACGCGCAUUAUAUUUUUCUAUAUUUUCAUGUUUUCUCAUCUUUCUAGUCGUCAAUAUUUUGCUUGGAGUUCGAAAUCAUUGCCGCAUAGCAUUUCAAAUUAUGCAUUUGGUAUUGAAGGUUGGUUUUCUAAACCACAAACUUGCACUAAGCGCUUUAACUCAAUAGCAGUUGAUUGUUGUUAAUGAUGUGUGUUGGGCCUUUUGAAUUUGUUUAAGUGUGCUUGUUUGCUUGUUUUAAAUUAAAAAUAUUUCCUAAAUUGCCUAUAAUGUUGAUUUCUCGAAUUUCUUACUUUAAAUUGAUAUAAUUUUUUGGCUUGUGCUAAAUUGAGUUAGGUCAAGUAAGGUAAAGUUUUAGUAAGCAAAAAUUGUGCUAAAUAACGCACUCUAUUCGAUGAUGGAGCAUUUGAGGUAAUUCUUAAAGGCAUAAGUCAUCAAAUAGCCACUUUUGGCCAAAUCGGGAGAAGUUUGAGUACACUCGAGCUUAGGUAUUAUGGGUAUGAGUAUAAAUAUGUUGGAGUAUGUUUUGUUAUCGUUUUUGAGAGUGUCGGGGUUUAUUUUGGAAGUUAGGGUACAAAAUAGGUAUGUUGGGCCGUUGGAUGAGCUGGUCGAGCUCGUCGAACAACUUGGCAGUUCGUCUACCACAUCGCGAGAGCACACCCUAGAAGAUAUGGCACUCUGGGAGUGCGACACGAUGUAAUUGACCUCUUGGAGGUCUUGCACAAUCCUUUUGACACCAUUUAUAUCAUACAUGUAUCAAAACUAGUGCGAAAUUAAAACUUUUCACACGAAAUAUCUUGAAACAUCUAUUAUAUUAAAAUCAUACGAAAAUACUAAGUCCUAACAUAUACCAAUCUUAGACUCAAGAAUACUUGGGACACGGACCAUACAUUAUGAAUAGUGAAAUACUUAGUCUAUUACAAUAAUUUGAAUAAAAAAAGUCUAAAGAUAGUUAUGGCCUCGAGUCAAGUGAGGACAUACUUCAACUUGCUUAAAAGAAUCCUAGUUUCAAAGUUUUGCUUCAUGACACUUUUUACUGUCCACCUACACCUUUAGAUUUAACAAAAUUUAUGGAAUUAGUACAAUAGAUGUACUAAGUAUGGCAUAAUGCAUAAAAUUAUGAGAAACAGACAUUUAUGAGGAACAUGAUCUUUUUCAUUGAAACAUCAUAUUAAAAGUAUAAGAACCAUAAUUAAGUACCAAAAAUUACAAAUAGAAUACAUUACAAAAUUAUAUUCAAUUUAUAAUAAAAUUAUAGUACACCUACAACAAGCUUACAAUAUCACAUAACUACAUCAUACAAAACAUAUAAUCAUGAGACCCUCUUUAAGAUAAGAUCAUCUCACUUCCCCUCAUAGUUUACAUAUAAUAUGACAUUCUCCUCACAAAAGUUAUUAAAAGACUUAUUAAGUAAAUCAAGAAGAUAACCGACGUACCCUCUAUACAACAUCACCUAAAUAAUCCUUAAGACAACCUAAGAGAAGAUCAUGUCUAUUUUAUCAAUUUACUUUCCCUAUCUACAUUUAUUCUUAAGACUUCCCUAGGUAAGACAUGAAGUUACAAUUCCUGUGCUCCCUUCAUACCAUAACUAAACAACUCAUAAACUACUCUAGGUAUGUACUUAGUCAUUAACAUACAUUCAAACUAUAUUUAUUAUGUUUAUAAGUUCAUGAAGAGAAGUUCAAUACAUAAGGACAUUCAAGUAAUGGUCUUGGAGAAGACUUAGGGUCUCACUCACUAACAUCUUCAAAUCCUAAUCCUGCAAUGCCUAGAGAGAGUCCCAUACCACCACCUAAACUUCAUAAAACUUCUCCAACACUAGUAGGCAUCCCAUAUGAUGAGAAUAGACAAUAAUUGACAUAGACCAUACUAGAUAUGCAUGGAAUCCAGAGUCAUGAACCUACUCCGAUGGAGGGUUGUUCUACUAGUCAAUGGAAGAAGUAGCACACAUCCCAUGUUCGCACAUGGUUAAUGAAUAUCACUACUAGAAAUUUGAUCUACUUUCACAGUUCAAUUACUGGUGCAAUAGACAUUACUACCGUAGCCAUAGGUCUAAGGCUACGAUUACGUUAACCACUACAAGAGAUCGCGUAGCAAUAGCUCUGUUGCUACGAUUUGGUGCGACGGGUCAUAUAACCAUAGCCAUACAUUGACCUGUUGCCACGGUUCUCACUUGAAUUAAUUGCCAACGGUUAUGGUCGUAUUGGUAUGGUUUUGAACCGUUGUAAUAGAGGUUUAUGAAUCAGUUCUAUAGAGGCUAUGGCUAGAGUUUUUCUUUUGAUUCAACACAUCGUUUCAUUCUAUUGCGACGGUUGUUAUAGGUUAAUGCAACACUUUUAAGCAACUAUAGAAAUGUAGCUUAAUGGCUAUCACAACGGUUAUUACAUGGUAUUGCAACAAUUCUAAUGCAACAGUAAUUUUAUAACAUAAAAAUACACGUAAAUCGUUCACGAGAAUAAAUGUUCAUUACAAAAAUUAGAAUUCAAGAUCCGUAAUUCUAAUAUCAAUAAAAUCAAAAUAUACAAAUCAUUUUAUAGCAUUUAAAAAAGGUGAAACACAUGCACCACACAAUUUUCAAUCUUCAAAAAUAUAUUAUUUCUAGAACAUCAAUACUUUAGCUCCUAUGUCAAGUCUUCGCUACUGCUUUCAUCCCCUUCUUUGAUUUCAUCACCUACAUAAAAUUAGAAAAAAUAUAAAUAAUUUCGCAGAUUUUUUGCCAAAAUCUUAAUAGAUCCACAAUAGUGAUAUACUACAAGUUAUUACUCUAUAUAUAAUACAUACAUAUAUAAACUCAAUAAACUGAAAUUAUAUACUAUAUAAAAUAUGGAAUAAUCUAAUUAUGAGUAUUUAUUGUUUUACUGUGAUGAGUGUGAGAUGGGAGGCUUUGAAAAUUAAGUACAAUAACAACCAUUAGCUUUUAAAAUUGUUAAAUUAAAUUGUCUGCCAUUGAUUUAUCUUUACUCUAACAAACGAGUUGGCAAACUUCUCACGUUCCUCAACAUGUCUCAUAUCACAAACCAUCAAAAACCUCAAUUCUCUUUACAAAUCUUGAUUCAACAAUUCUUUGUCUCUCUACAUACAAAUCUCAAUUUUGAUAUUUUCAUUAUGCCAAGUUGUUGGAAGCAAUGUCUGAUUUUUAUUCUUUUUUUAGCAUUGUUAUUUCAGAAGGAUCAAGAUUGAAAAAGUCUUCUAUUACUACCCUUCUUUAACACCAUCUAAAGUUACAAACUCUGUCACUACUUCAUCUACAACGACGAAAAUAAAUCAAAAAUUCUCUUCUGAUGAUGGGAGAUUAGUGAAAAAAUUGGAGUAAAAUUAGAUCAAUUUGAAUGUGCACAUAUAUGAAAAGUUGAUUCAGAAUUUCCUGUCUACUAUAUUGGAUCGGCUACACAUACUCGUCAAGCUGGGAUUCAACACUAUCAUGCAAGAUAUAGAGGUUCUUAUAUCUAUGCAGCUGUCUUAUAACUUCUGUCGUAGAUUAGGACGAUAAGCCAGAACCAAAACAAAAGGGAGCAACAUUUAGAUAAGAAGGAAAAAUAUAAAAAGGAAGAAAAAGGGACAUGUUUAAUUAGUAGAAACAAGAAACCAGACUACAAACAUAAAGUACCAGAAAACUCAUGAAUCUACGACUGGUCUUCCACCAGACUACAAGCAGCAAGUACUUGAAAACUCAUGAACCAGACUACAAGAAGUAACUCAGACAUUAAACUUUCAGAGGACAAGCGUGCAUUAAUUGAACAAGCAUGCAUGCUAGAACAAAUAUCGAAGCAAUAUGAAUAGAUUUCUCACCUUAGAUAUUCCAGAUGCAGAAAGUGUACAAAACAUAAGUAGUCACACCACAGUGCAACAAACUGCAUCAAGAAAAUCAAAUAACUAUCAGUAUAUUUAUUUGGAUUCUAGCAAACAAUUUCAUGUAUUCUAAAAUAGUAAUAGAUUUUAAUGUUCACAUGGACAACAUGAUUAGAACAAACAGUAACAACUGCUAUCUCAUAAUACAAAAACACACAAGGGUGUUGUCUUAUCAGUUUAACAAUUACUGUACAUAUAAAAACAUUUAGUGUAGUACUGAUCCUAGAGCUAGUGAAAAUAGUAGAAUAAAGCUAGUGACAUCUAUUGAGUUGUUUUUUACAAUUAGAGCACAAACCAAACUACUGGAAGAUCAAACCAAAUAAUUUCCGGUAUGUCAAUGAAAGCAUGCACACAAGCUGAACUAUAGGAACAAUAAAAAAAUUAAACGAGAAACCAUGCUAACCAAAUUUAAAGAACAUCGAUUGAUAACUCCUUAAACAUAAUUAACUAAAUAACUCAUAAACUACUCUAGGUAAGUACUUAGUCAUUAACAUACAUUCAAACUUUAUUUAUUAUCUUUAUAUGUUCAUGAAGAGAAGUUCAACACAUAAGGACAUUCAAGUAAUGGUCUUGCAGAAGACCUAGGGUCUCAGUCACUAACAUCUUUAAAGCCUAAUCGUGCAAUGCCUAGAUAGAGUCCCAUACCAUAACCUAAACUUCAUAGAACUUCUCCAACACUAGUAGGCAUCCCAUAUGAUGAGAAUAGUUAAUAAUUGACAUAGACCAUACUAGAUAUCCAUGGAAUCAAGAGUCAUGAAACUACUCCAAUGGAGGGUUGUUCUACUAGCCAAUGGUAGAAGUAGGACACAUCCCAUAUUCGCACAUGGUUAAGUAAUAUCACUACUAGAAAUUUGAUCUACCGUCACUGUUCAUUUACCGUUGCAAUAGAAAUUACUACCGUAGCCAUAGGUCUAAGGCUACGAUUACUUCAACCGCUACAAUAGAUCGCGUAGCAAUAGCUCUAUUGCUACGAUUUGGUGCGACGGGUCAUAUAACCAUAGCCAUACAUGGACCUGUUGCCACGGUUCUCACUUGAAUUAAUUGCCAAUGGUUAUGGUCGUAUUGGUAUAGUUUCAAACCGUUGUAAUAGAUGUUUAUGCAUCAGUUCUAGAGAGGCUAUAGCUACAGUUUUUCUUUCGAUUCAACACAUCGUUUCAUUCUAUUGCGACGGUUAUUAUAGGGUAAUGCAACACUUUUAAACAACUAUAGAACUGUUGCUUAAUGGCUAUCACAAUGGUUAUUACAUGGUAUUGCAACAAUUCUAAUGCAACAGUAAUUUUAUAACAUAAAAAUACACAUAAAUCGUUCAUGAGAAUAAAUGUUCAUUACCAAAAUAAGAAUUCAAUAUCUGUAAUUCUAAUAUCAAUAAAAGCAAAAUAUACAAAUCAUUUUAUAGCAUUCAAAAAAGGUGAAACACAUGCACCACACAAUUUCAAUCUUCAAAAAUAUAUGAUUUCUAGAACAUCAAUACUUCAGCUCCUAUGUCAAGUCUUCUCUACUGCUUUCAUCGCCUUUUUCGAUUUCAUCGCCUACACACAAAUAGAAAAAAUAUAAUUAAUUUCGCAAAAUUUUCGCAAAAUCUUAAUAGAUCCACAAAAGUGAUAUAGUACAAGCUAUUAAUCUAUAUAUAAUACAUACAUUUAUAAACUCAAUAAACUCAAAUAAUAUACUAUGAGCCUGUUUGGCUCAGCUUAAAAGUUGGUCAAACUAACUUAAAAGCUAGCUUUUGACUUAAUUAACUGUUUUGUAAUACUCAAAAUAACUUAUUUUAAGUUAAAAAAACUUAUUUUAAGCCAAAAGUUAAAAACUGGGGUAGGGGUGCUUUUUUUUAGCUCAUAAGCUGUUUUAAGUUGACCACAUUUGUAUCUUUUUGCCCUUAGUAUUUUUAUACAAUCUCCAAAUUAGAUAUAUAACCCUAACAUCUCUUUCUUCCAUUUUUCCCUUUUCACGUUUGGCAUAUCAACUUCAGCACAUUUAUCCAAACGCAUAACUGCUUAUUUUAAAAAUAAGUUUCAGCACUUUCAAAAGUACUUUUUUAAAGCUGCUUUUAUUAAGCCCAUCCAAACGGGCUCUAUAUAGAAUAUGGAAUAAUCUAAUUAUGAGUAUUUCAUGUUUUACUGUGAUGAGUGUAAGAUGGGAGGCUUUGGAAAUUAAGUACAGUAACAACCAUUAGCUUUUAAAAUUGUUAAAUUAAAUGUUGUCUGCCAUUUAUUUAACUUUAGUUUAACAAACAAGUUGGACAACUUCUCACAUUCCUCGACAUGUCUCAUAUCAAAAACCAUCAAAAACCUCAGUUCUCUUUACAAAUCUUGAUUCAACAAUUCUUUGUCUCUCUACAUACAAAUCUCAAAUUUUGAUAUUUUCAUUAUGUUAUGUUGUUGCAAGCAAUGUCUGAUUUUUAUUCUGUUUUUAGCAUUGUUAUUUCAGAAGGAUCAAGAUUGACAAAGUCUUCUAUUUUUUAGGAACAAGUGUUGCCUAAGAAAUUGCCUUUCCCUUCUUCAACACCAUCUAAAGGCACAAACUCAGUCACUACUGCAUCUACAACAACGAAAAUAAUUAAAAAAUUCUCUUCUGAUGAUGCGAGAUGAGUGUAACAAUUGUAGUAACAUUAUAUCAAUUUGAAUGUGCACAAAUAUGAAAAGUUGAUUAAGAAUUUCACGUCUACUAUGUAGGCUUGGCUACACAUACUCAUCAAGUUGGGAUUCAACACUAUCAUGCUAGAUAUACAGGUUCUUAUAUCUAUGCAGUUGUCUUAUUACAUCUGUCGCAUAUUAGGCCGAUAAGCAAGAACCCCAACAAAAGGGAGCAACAUAUAGAUAAGAAGGGAAAAUGUAAAAAGGAAGAAAACGAGACAUGUUUAAUCAGAAGAAACAAUAAACCAGACUACAAACAGAAAGUACCAGAAAACUCAUGAAUCUACGACUGGUCUUCCAUCAGACUACAAGCAGAAAGUACAAGAAAACUCAUGAACCUGACUACACGCAGCAACUCAGACAUUAAACUAUCAGAGAACAAGCAUGCAUUAAUUGAACAAGCAUGCAUGCUAGAAAAAAUAUCGAAGCAAUAUGAAUAGAUUUCUCACCUUAGAUAUUCCAUAGGCAGAAAGUGUACAAAACAUAAGUAGUCACACCACAUUGCAAUAGACUGCAUCAAGAAAAACAGAUAACUAUCAGUACAUUUAUUUGAUUCUAGCAAACAAUUUCAUGUAUUCUAAAAUAGUAACAGAGUUGAUUGUUCACGUGGACAACAUGAUUAGAACAUAAAGUAACAACUGCUAUCUCAUUAUAACAAAACACACAAGGGUGUUGGCUUAUCAGUUUAACAAUAACUGUACAUAUAAAAGCAUUCAGUGUAGUACUUAUCCUAGAGCUAGAGAAAAUAGUAGAAUAAAUCUAGUGACAUCUAUUGAGUGGUUUUUUACAAUUAGAGCACAAACCAAACUAUUGUAAGAUCAAACCAAGUAAUUUCCGGUAUGUAAAAGAAAGCAUGCACACAAGCUGAACUAUAGGAACAAUAAAAAAACUAAACGAGAAACCAUGCUAACCAAAUUUAAAGAAAAUCGAUUGAUAACUCCUAAAACAUAAUUAACUAAACAAUUCCACGGACAAGAUUAAAGCCAUAUCACUCACAACAAAACAACAACAAACACAAGAGCAUAGCUUAGACCUCCAACAACUCAGACACACACAAUUUACAAGGGAAUCUGCUGCAAAAACUGGUACAAAUUGAUUAUCAGAUUAUUAAUAUAUGGAUCUUCUAUGUCGGCAUGUUCCUCCCUCGACAUUGCCUCUCAAAUCAUACAAAAUCUUUUAGAAAUAAUUGUAUUAUACAAAAUAUUUAUUUCACAUAAGAGCAUCACACUUCAUAGACGUCCCGUACAGAAAAACAUAACUCCAAAUUGAAGUUGUUUGAAAGGAUCCCAACUCCAAAUCAUUCUUCUAAAGAUUGAUGUUUUCUUACUUUUUUGGGUGGAGGGGACUACAUUAAUCAUUCUUCUAAAGCUUGAUGUCUUUUUAAUAGUACACCUAACUUUGUCUAGAAAAAGGUCUAACCAGGAUACACCAAUCAGAAAGUAUUAAUUUUUCGUAGAUUCUAAGCUAACAAAAUUUUCUCAACAUUUAAGAUGCGGCAAUAAGGAGAAUGGGACAUAUUGUACAAAAACUAAUGCAACACACAACACACAUUAAUCCCAUCGAAUUAAGACCUAGUUUAUCUAACGAUCAGUUUCCAAGGAACUAACCACAAAUCAAACUAUGGGAAGAUCAAUCCAAAUAAUUUUCAAUAAUGAAGAAAGGACAAAAUAUUUAUGGGGAAGCCAAAGUAAUAUCUUAACAUCAAAAUAAGUCCCAUCCAAAAUGGAAACAAUACUUCCUAGACCACAUAAACUUCUAAUCCAAACACAUUUAAAUCAGUCAUAUAGAAUGAGAAAAUAGGUCAAAGAUUAAUGAGAUGAGCAAGGAAAUUACAAGAACUAGAUGGAUAGUCGCAGCCUCCCUGUUCAAUGCUCUUUAAACUCAUCAAAAAUUCAAACAAACAUGAGAAAUAUAAAUACUCAAAUUAAUUCGAUAAGUAAAAGGAAGCAAGGACACAAGCUGAAAUUGAGGAACAUUAAAGAAACCAGACAACUAGAAACCAUGCUAACUAAACUAAAAUAAAGUCGAUAGCUAACUCCUAAAACAUACUUGAUAAAAAUCAUUCAAAGGAAAAAACCAAUGAUUGAAGCCAUAUCACUAGCUGACAAAACAACAAUAAACACAAGAGCACUGAUUUUACCUCAAACAACUAAGACACACUCAAUUUGAAGCCAAGAUGUCCAUCACUAGGCACCAACAAUAUAUGAAAGAAGAAAAAAAGCAUACGAACAAAGGAGAACAAGUUGAGGUCUUAAGGAUUAUCUUUUCGAAGCAGCGACAUUGAAAUGAGGACAGAAAGAGUUUUCUAACGAUUCUUCUACAGUUCUACUUCACCAAGGGAUGACUUAACCCUACAUCAUCAUCAAGAUUAACCUGAAAUCCUCUGCAACUUAAAUUUAGAAGUGAUUUCUUUUCUUGUUUCAGUAUAUAUCAGAAAUUCAAACAAAGAAAGUUUAUACACUACAUAGAUUAAAUUAAAAAAAAACAUAGAUUUAAGACUAACCCAUUGUUUACUCUUUAAGAUUUUUAUACAAAUAAUCCAACGGAGACUUAGAAAUCAUGAACUAACAGAGAAAACAUACACAUCAUUCACCUUUAUAUGGAAGAAUUAUAGUUGACCCUAGCUAUCCAAUAGAACCAACGAGCUUCACCAAAAGCUUCGUUGUCCAAGAGCCUGUUAUCAAGAGAUUAGAAAUCGGUCCCUCUUGUUUUCAUCAACAAAAGCUCGCUAAAACUUCUGAAUAACUGCUUCAAUCGUUUCGUGUUGCUUCGUCGUUCCUCGCCAUUUCAUUGAGAGAGGAAAUAGGUUUUUUUUUCUUUUAUAUUUUUUAUGUGAAACAAUAUUGUUUAGGAGGGAAAUAUUUUUCUAGUGAUAAAAAUCAGAACCAAAAUAAUUUUUCUUAAAUAACUGUUGCCAUAGAUUUCGCUAACCCUUGUCAUAGAGUUAGAUAUUGCAACAAUUCUCAAUUUGUAGACAUAUAAUCUCAAUAGGACGAUUAUAAGGAUGAUGCCACAAUUUAUUUAAAGAAUUGUUCUAUUAGAUUCAAGGAUAUUUGGCCACGGUUAUAACUGUUGUAAUAGGUGAGCUAUUGCUACGAUUAAAUAACUGUGGCUACAUAUGCGUUGCUGUAAGUCAAAUUUCUAGUAGUGUAUGAUGGGUUUCCUCGUACUCUAGCCUCAUCCAUAACUAGAGAUACUUCCCAAACCAUACUAACUCGGUGCUAUCCUUUCUUCUCAUAUAUUAAUUCAAUAAAGAAGUAUAUUAAGAGGUUCCAUAUCUCGUUCACAACUCAAUCACAUUACACCUUACCAAAGUGGGAACACUAUGCCUACCUACAAUGAUCAAGAGGAUAGCUCAAUGACUUUCCUAAGGAUGAUUUCAUGUCAUUCCAUCCAGUCAAUCCUAAGUCCACCAUUCAUGCAAGAAGGAAAAUUAUGACUUUCAACUUCAAAUCAUUACAUUCCAACUGGGUUGAAGGUUCCACAUAAAAGAUCUUCUUAACAUGUUUAAGGUCACAUGUCAAUCAUAUAUACAAGACAAAGAAGCUUUAGUGUAGUAUGUCAAUAACUCAUAUUCACAUUGUUCAUGUAUUAAGUAAGGGACACAUGUCAACCAAAACAAGAUACACACAUACUUCACCAUAUCACAUAUAACAUAUCAUUCAAGAAGCACAUAGGCAUACCAACGUCAUCUAUAGGUUACACCAUUCUCUACUAAAAUAUCAAAAACUUAACUAUCACAUGUAUCAUAUAUUCUAUCAAUAAACAUCAUACUUCAAUACCAAGAAACACACAUAAUGAAUACUCUAUUGUCAACUAGAGACACGUACCAUCAACUAGAAGAACUCAAGUUUUUACUUCACUUAAACACAUAAAUCAUAAAUACAUUCAUACUAUCCACAUAAUCAAGUUAUAACAUGAUGAAUACAUAAUGAAUAAAGUAAUAUCGAUGAGGCAACAAUGUUUCACAAUUCAUAAAGUAAUACCGACAAGGCCACAUUAGUCACGAGUAUAGCACGUAAGCAUCACAACCAUAAGUGGACCAUACCAAACAUCAUCGUCAUAUAAGAACUAGACUACACAUCAUAGAGGGUGUUAGGUCAACAUACCAUUGAUCCAACCUCACAAUUUCAAUCCAUAGCCGAUUCAACCAAGACAAUACAAAAAGGUCAUUACCAAUGUCCACGAUCACCAAUUAAAUCCAAUAAUAUACAAUAAAUAAUGAAUCAAGGAUAAUACAAUAUGAAUUUAGGAAAUUAGGGGAUCCAACUAAGAAUUCUAGCAUGAUUCACUCAUUAUUAAAUAUCCCCAAUCAAACUACACAAUAAUUCAAUUGCAUUAAGACAUAAUCAAUUCACACACAAAGUAGUCAAAUUUAGGGUUGCAUGAAUUUCAUGGGUUCAUAGAGAUUUUUAGGUUAAAAUAAUCUAAUUAACAUAAAUUCAAUCAAUAUACAAUAGUUCAAAUUUUUUUAUGCAAGACCUCAUGGAUAGAUUGAAAAAUUGGACAAUUCAUCUUUCGAAGACUUUAGAAAUCACUUUGAAGAUUGGCCCUUUGAAGAAAAGAGACUCAAUGAUGAAGAACAUACCUUAAUUUAAGCUAGACCAUGGAUUCGAUUAUGAAUUGACGCAGAAUCACAAAAGAAAUCUUCAAUCGAAGCUCUAUCUUGAGUUUUAGCUCCAAUGAAGUUCUAGAGAGUUCUUUAGGGAAUUUGGGUUUAAAUUUUUAAAAGUGAAUUCAUCUAAGUGUUUUAGACUAACUUUUUAUAAUAUCAAAAAUAACCUUAGGAAAAUAAACUUUGAAUUAUUUGUACGUGGGUUGAAUUUACCAAUUCACCCGUACACUUCAUAGUAAGGCUGCGUGAAACACAGACCCAAUCAACUAUGGCCCAUCAACGAGGCGUCGACCAGAUGAUUGGCUGUUCUGGCAACUGUAGUCUUGGUCAGAGACUCACAAAAGAAGGCUUAAUACCCCACAACAAAGUUCCAACCUAUACCCCUCAUAGUUGGGGCGUCGACCAGCCUACUAGUCAUCGAUUGCCUUCAUUAUUUGGGGCUGGUUUUGGCAGCUUUUCUAAUAUGAUGGGUCCUUCCUCAAGGACCCUAGGUUUGUCCUUGGGGAGUUUAGCCUAGACUUUUCCAACUUGAAUAUAAUUGUAUACGUGUUUAGGAACUCUCACAUAAAUUUCGUCAAAAAAAAACACGUAAAACUCAACGGAACAAACUAAGACACACAAGGACGUUAGAAGGCAAACCUUUCGAACAUCAUGUACGUUCUUGGACGUUUUACCUCCAAACAUCAUGAAACUUUAACUACUACUUACUAACCUCAUUAUAACACAUUUUAGGAAAUCAAAAUAUCACCUUUACUAUCAUGCAAAUAUUAAGUUUUGUCUAUGUAACUUUCGGCAAGAAGCCAUAAGUCACUAAGUAAACUCGAUGACUUACUUAAAGUUUCUUUUAUCAUCAAUUAUGCGCCCCUGACCCUUAUAAUACAUUGUAUAUUUCGAUGGGCUUGGUUGUGGUCUCUGAAUUUUGUCGAUGAUUCCUGAAAGGCCUCUCCCAUUGCCGACGUGACAAUUUUUUGGGAAAUUUUAUCUAAUACUUUUGGAAAGAACGAUCUGGCUAGCCCAAGUGAUUCGGCGACUCACCCAUCGGUUCGGCGAGUCUGUUUGCACUAUGAUUUCUGUUAUUUAUCUUGACAUGUUUCUAACUUUCUAUGAUUUUUUUCUAGAUAUGUCUAGAACCAACUUGUACAAUCGCCUCAUAAAAGUUUACGGGGCUUAAGGAUUAUGAAAGGGCAUUAAAUACCCCUAAAAAGGGAAAGAUGACACCUCCCAAAGGAGACAAGGGAAAGGUCAAGAGGCUCGUAUAUGAGGUUCUAGAUCACAACUUUGGCAGUAAAGGAAAGUCCUUUGACUCAGAAAUUGCAUUCUUCGAGCGUGAUGAUGACUAGUCGCUACAGUCUAUGUGAGCAAAAAUCAAUGCUAGGUCUCGCCCAGACUUGUAAAGAGCUCUAGUGUCUACCCCUCCUUCAGUAAAUAUAAUGCCAUUUCUGGAACUGACUGUAGUCUCAGUGCCACCAUUAUAUCCCUAGCAACUCAACAGAUUAAAAUCCAUUGGGUUGCGGACAAAUCUCAAAGAGAAUUUGUUAUACAUAAAGUGCUUAGUGGGUAGAUAUUCCACAAUGAGAAACACGCUCACGUAUCAUCGAUUUGAAUAGUUCAUCUUCCCCAAAGACCCCUAUAUUCAUACAUGGAUCAUGGGGUUCUACACAACAUAUGUGGAGUUGGUACCCAUUAGGAAGAAGAAAACCAAUACUUUUAGGUUGGUAGAGCUUGUUUUGAUGCAGGGAAUAUAUUGAGAUGCAACUGCGUUCAUAUCACUGUUUGAUUGGAGAGGGUCAAGCUCUAACUACCCAAAAAUUUAGCUACACUAUGAAUCCCUCAGAUGAUCUAAAGGGUUUGAUUUCCGUCAUCAUCUCUGACACCACCCCAAGGUGAAUUGAGGCGGGAGCUCCAGUUGAGAAGAAUGAGUUAAAUAUAGCUGUGAGAUAUUGAUUCAAUUUCAUUAGCAGUUGUAUUAUGUCGUAUUAAAAGAUUCCAUCCCAGGGUUUCGUGCCUUGAGUUGAACAUAUCCAGGAGAAGCAUUGACAUGGACUCAUCAUAGAUCACUAGAUGGCCAUGAGGGCCAAGAAGAGCCAAACUUCUCUUGCAUUCUCCAUAUUAAUUAAAAAGUUUUGUCGGUGUACUAGAGUUCCUCGUGAUAAGGUGAAAGAUACUAAUGUAACUCCCACAACCUCCAGUAACAUCUGAUGUAUAGAGGUCGAGUACAAACGGGAAAAGGCAGAUAGGAGGAGAGCAUCUACAGUGGACACAUCCCCGGAGAUUGAUGUUGAGAUGAAUCAUGUAGGGGAACAUGUGCCUACUCCGUCCUUCAAAUACACCUACUUCCACUUCUUCCUCCAAAGAUCUUGAUGGUUCUUGAACUACCCAUCCACCGAGGAUUACGCAGGCCAUGAUCUUGAAGAUGGGCACUUAGCCCAUUCUGCGGAUGUGAGGGCUACUCAAUUAUACACUGUGGUGCUGUGGAUGAUUGAGAGUGAAAUACUCGAUACAUUGACACCACCUACGAGCAUCUAUUGACAUUGUCACAGCGAGAGUUGAGAUGUGUGAAAGUAACAAAGUACUACUUCACUUGUGUCGUCUUUAAAGUUGAGGUUGUUGAUUUGAGAAAGAAUGUGGACUACUUAAAGUAAACAUAUUUUACUUCACUUCUGGAGGAAGCUGAUGAUGUGGAUGCCUCGACUACUUCUCAAUUUCCUGUCUCUACCACCGGAGAUGUACAUAUGGAUUACAUAGGAGUUGAUGAGUCAAAGGUAGAGAACAACGAGGAGCUGAUAGAGUUGCCGGAGGAGACCAUCUAUGGAGACUUUCCUGACCUUGAAGAGAUAUUUGUACAGUCAGUGAUUCAAACAUCGUUGAUCGAAACUUCCAUGGUAGGCUCUAGUGGAUCAAGUGUUGCAAAUGUGACACCGAGCAAUAAUUCCCAAAUAGAUGGAGCGAUAGUGUAUACAAGACCCUUCUUUACCUUCCACUAUGUCUUUUUUAGUGAUCUUUAGUGUUUUUAUUGCAUUUUUGGACAAAUUUCUUUUUGUUUGUUGUGAAGUGAGGUAUUUUCAUACCUACCGUUCCAAAAAAGUUUUCCAACUCUCGAUUGUGUUUGAAUGUGGUUGUUCUUAUGCAAAUUAGAGUAUCACUCAUGAUCAAUAGUGAGGACUUGAAUAGUGAUCUUAAUCGAACAAAAAUGAAUGGGCUACGAUGAGGCCAAAUGAACUUGCAUAUGCAAUGUGUUAACUUUUUCAUCUUGUUGUGACUAGUUGUCAUCAAAUUUAGUCUCUUAUGAUGAACAUUACACACUAGAAAAAGUGUGGAGUCUUGUUUGAUAUUGAUGCCUUGUUUGAUGAUGUUAUUGUGAACCAUGUGUGAUGACACUUUGAAUUUUCCCGGUUGGUUCGGUUGAAUAUGUGAUGAAACCUUUUGAAAUGAUCUUAGGAUACAAUUUUAAAGGGUGAAAUAAUUUGACAUUAUGCCUUAGUUGUGGCCAACAUUGUGAGUUUGUGUACAACAUUCUAUAAAAUGUACUUGUCUAUUGAAGAGUUUAUUAGGUUUUAAGAAUGCGCAUUGGGUACAUAGGCAUCCUAAUGCCUAAUAUUGAGUAAUGUUGUGCACGUUUGAGAAUAUUGGCUUAUGGGUGUUAGCCAAUUUCUAUGUAUUAACAAGUAACUUGAAAUACACUUUCGUUCAAAUGCCCCAAUCCAAGCAUGUUUAGGAAUUGUACCUACAAUGAAGACUCUAAGAUAAAAAUUUUGUUUUCAUAGCUUACACAUAUUAGGUACAAGGCAUCAAAGUUUCAAGCCUAGGUACCAUGGCACAUAAUCAUUUAAAAUGAUAAUGUAGGUUAAGUAGUGCCCAAGGACAUAGUGAAGAUCCUUGGUCAAGAAGUGGGAACCAACACAUGUGCAAGCACAUGUGCUACCGGCCAAGGGACCAAGCUCCAAGCCCAACCGAAUUCAAUUAGGCGGUUAGGGAAGGCACGUGUAUAUGUCAAUCCACGUAGGGCCUAGCUUCCUAAAAAUACUAGGCUGUAAGAAACAUAGCUAACUAUAUAACUAAUCUAGGAAUAACUAAAAUAAACUAACAAGUGUACCCGAAAUCCUAAGACCUAACCGGGUGACACUAGCCGAGUAACUAACUAAACAAACAUCCUAGUACGUAACCUAGGAUGGUCCAAAGGGGUUUGUUAUGGUCCUAGUGACUUAGGGAUAAUUUAGUAAAUAGCAAGGUCACUUAAUUGAUUAAAUUAGCAACAUAAUUAUUUAAUUAAAAAUCAUUGUUAAACCCGAACACUUUGAAAAUUUUCAAAUUUGGCUAACUCAAAUGCUCUCCUAAUUUAAGUCAAUUUAGGAUGGGCAUUUUAGUAAUUAGCUAAGUGAUUAUUUAAUUAAGUUAAUUAGCUAAAUUGAAUUAGUCAAUAAUCAGUUCUUAAGACUUAGAAUCACGUUAUCCAUAGAAACCCUCGACUGACAGAGAAAAUAGUGAAUAAACUUAGAAAAAUAGAUUGGUUCUCCUUACGAGAUCUCAAGGCAAUUUCUUCAAGAUUUUUGUGCAAAUUACAGGGAGAUCUUCAUAGAUUCAAUUAUAAAAUAAUGUAUGAGUUUUUAUCUCUUGGAUUCCGUUCCCCAAGAGGCUUUUCAAACUCUUUGAAUUCAAGAAAAUCAAAACUAGGGUUGUUCCCAAUGAAAUUGUAUAAUGUUCAUCUCCCUAGUUCUCCCUAUUUACGAUUCUAGUAGUAUGUAUAAUAUAAAUCUCGAGAAUGUUGUGGUAUGUGGUGUUAACUGAUCAUUAUGUGUAAAUGUUUAUGAUUUGAUAAUGUCAAAUGAUACCUAUAGGUUAGAUCCGUAUGAUUAAUGGCUAAUUUUGUUCGAGAAGAUGAAAUUGUUAUUAGUCGCUUAUGAAAUUUAGUUUACUUUUGAAAAGAGUGAAGGUUUUGACUAUUGUAUGUUUUUUCAGUAGAUAUGUUUGUAAGUGUUUGGAAUUAAAUGUUUCAAAGAAGAAAAAGACUGAGAAUAAAAACUAAUUAAUGAAUCAUCAAUGCCAAAUCAUCUUUAUGGCUUGACCAAACUAAGCAUCGAAUUGUUCCUAUAGUAUAUAUAUGAAGUUAAUUGACUUAGCUAGUGAUAAAAUCAUGACAAGUUGUUAGUGAAAGUUUGGUUUAUGCAAAUAAAUUGGCCACCAAUAUUAAUUCAAAAAUAUGUAAUAGAAUUUGGCAGUGGUUAUGUUAUUUCAAUCUUCUAUGGCCAAUGGAAAUUAUCAUGCUCUUCUAAUGUCAAAUACAUGUUAAAGAUUAACUUGACAAGAUGUUACUCAAUGCCCUAAUAACCUAGGGUAUGCCAAUGAUAGGGACAAGUCCCAACAUACCCUAUCUAAAUGAACUUGUGAACAUAGUAGCUUAAUAAAAAGUCUCCAUAACUUUCAUAAAGAAUGGUAUAAGACUACCAAAUAACAUUGAACAAGACAAGGUGAGUAAUGAAAGAACUAAAAGAUUAUGAGUCAUGAAAUUGACCAAGAAUGGGGUAUUUAAGGAAGAGAUACAAGUCACACUUGCACCUAAGCAAUUAUGUUAAAGAUACUCACAUAAGAGGGUGUUAGAAAUUGUGAGAUAAGUCUCAUUCACACCAUAAAUAUAAUGUAAGAUUUAAGUUCACAUUCAUCAAGUAACAAGUCAUCCAUUGAGAUAAGAAUACCUCACACUAAAACAAGCUCCCAUAAUGUAUGAGACAAAUCCAAAAUGUGUAAAGUAUGAUAAAUUAAGAUAAUCACCGAUAGACUAGAAAUGAGCUCGUGCAAGCACACGUAAGCCUCAUGAGUUGAGACUACCAACAAGGUGGAUAAGGGUCUUUGAAAUCUCCUAGUCUUUGAACUAUGUUGCAAGCAUAGGUUACUAGCUAGUGGAUCAACCUAAGAAAGCUAGGUAGUAUUCGGUAUCACUUUGUUUGGCUAACCACCUCUUUUCAGUGUGGGGAAGACACUGGAUUUAAUGUUAGCUCACAUGAUCUAUGUCGAUCAUAUGCUCCAGAUUCGGUUUCACUUUAGCCGGUGAACCACGUCUUUUAAGUAUGGGGAAGAUACUGCAUUUCAUGUUAGCUCACAUGAUCUAUGUUCACAGGCUAAAGUAAGAAAAAAAAGUAUGUUCAAAGUGAACACGAGAUCAAAGAAGAAGAGAUGUAAGUACAAAGUGAACUUUGUAAGAAAAAGAGUAAGUAUAUAAAUCAUCAAUGUUUGAUAAGAAUAAAAUUUGAACAGUUAUUGGCUUAUGCCAAUAAAGAGAGUAAAAGAAAUAAUGGGCAUAGCCAAUAAUAUAUAUAUAAUGCAAUGAUCACAUAAUGGAAAUUUCCAAUAAUCUUUAUAUUAUGAAAAUGAUCAAUUGGUGGCAUAACUAACAAAGAUUGUUUUAUGAAUACUUCAUGCCCAAUUUAACAAGAAUGGAAAGAACAACUUGUGAGUAGGAUAGUCAAAUCAUUUCCUUAGUCUUUUGUAUAACUUACUUGAUUAAUUGUAGGAAUUGGAAUACAUGAAUCAUUGCACUCGUUAGUAUAACAUCGGAUGAAAGGAGAUCAUUGACUUACACAAGAACAAGAAGAAAAGACUGAAGAAUAAUCUAAUUCUUGAUUAAGGAGCUAUCGGCCUAAGAGGGAGCGAAAAUAUUAAUUUCUAUUCGAGUUGUUCUAAAAUUAUGUUCACGAUUCCAAGGUCUUAUGUUAAUAUAGAAAAUUAUUUUUGUUCUUUAAAUGCAUAAAAAUAUGUCAUAUUAAUAUCAUGAUUGAUAAAGAAUGAUUUAGGAAAGUAAAUUGACUUUACUUUCCGAAAAUGUAAUGUUGCUAUAGAAAGAGUUUUCCUUGAUCAUGCAUAGUCCUUAUCUGUUUGUGUGCAUAAACACAUACUUAGUACAAGUUUGUACUAAACCAUAUACUAUUACUAUUUUUGUAGGUGUAGGUCCUUGAAGAAGAUUGAAGAUCAUUCAAAGCUGUUUGGACUAGUACGUCCAAACUUUGGUAGGUCCUCUUGAGUUCGAGGAUGCCUACGCUUCAUAUUGAAGAUUUAGUAUAUUAGACAUAGCUAGUGGAUGUUAUACCUAGCAUUUCAUAUCAAACAUUGUUCAAGCUUUUGGAUUAAGGCCAGUUUGGUUAACUAUUAUUUAUAUUAUGAACUCUUCAUUUCAAUUGUUCAAUCUAAUACUAGAUUGUUGUUUAAUUUGAGCAUGUAAUUAUAUCACUCUUAUGAAGAAAUUAUAUAAAAGUCUACGUAUAAUUCAAUAAGUCUAAAAAGAUUUAAAUUUUCUGCAAAUUGAACUGAUUGUGAUAAAAGCUAAGAAGAGGCUUGUCUGCGACCUCUAAGAAGUUAACGUCGUCAGUCUCAUCUAGGGUUUAAGACUCGGGUGUGACAAAUUUGGUAUCGAGCAUGAGGUUAAAUUACCUAGGAACAAAGGGUCAAAACAAUAAAGUUGGGUUGUUUCUAGCUUAUCGGUGUGAAGUGUACCACAACCAUUACUUAUAGACUUAGUGAUAUUAAGAAUUUUACCUUCCUCUACUCUUUAUUGUAUUGUGUAAGGCUUUGACAUUUAGUGUAAUUCUAGCAUCUAACUUCCUUUUUUGUGUGGGAAAAAUGAACACAAGAUGAAACAUAGCCAUGAAAGAUGGAGAAGCAUCUGCUGGGGAAAACCAAGCUCCUCCUCAUGCCAUAGUUGCUGGAGUGCAAGUGCCUAUCAACCCAGCUACGUUGACGGAUGGAGAAGUGAGAGCAGCACUGGUUCAGAUGACCCAAGCCAUCACUGCUCAGGCACAGGCUACCACAGCCCAGGCCACUAAAGUAGGUACUCCCAUAGGAGACAACAUUAGAGCUGAAAGAGUAUAUAGAUAUUGCCCAAUAAUCGUUCUUGAUAGAGUUACCUAUACUGACGUAAUACAAUUAUCCAUACUUGACUUUGAUAUAAUUUUGGGUAUGGAUUGGCUCCAUAAAUUUUAUGCUACCAUAGACUGUCGAAACAAGAUAGUAACACUUAUUAAUAACAGUGAAUACCGACAUAAAAAUUACAGAUCUCAAAUGAUGUCGGUAAUUGUUGACCUCCGGAGGUCAAUAUUUUUAAAAUAAUAAAACUAGUUGGGUUUUAGGCAAAAUAAGGAGGAAAAAAAAUUGCGCCCUCAAAAUGUCGGUAUUUUUCACGGAAAAAGUUAAUUAUAUAAAAACCGACUUCUUGACGUCGGUAUUCAAUAAAAUAAAUGAAUAAACGUAUUUUAUUUUCGGUAUUUUUAUUUCAUCAAUAUCAAAAUACCGAUAUCAUGAGGUCCAUAUUUUUAUUUCAUCCAUAUACUGACAUCAUGAAGUUGGCAUUUCAUCCAAAUAUUGACAUCAUGAAGUCGGUAUUUUUAUUUCAUCCAAAUACCAAUUUCAUGAAGUCGGUAUUAUUUCUUCAUCCAAAUAUCGACCUUAUAAAAUUGGUAUUUUUACUUCAUCUAAGUACUGACCUCAUAAGAUCGAUAUUUAUCUUUCAUCUAAAUACUGAACUAAUAAGGUCAGUAUUUUUAUUUCAUCCAUAUCCAAAUACUGACAUAUGAGGUCGGUAUUUUUAUUUCAUCCAACUACUGACAUCAUGAAGUUGGUAUUUUUAUUUCAUCCAAAUACCGACCUCAUGAAGUCGGUAUCUUUUCUUCAUUCAAAUAUCGACCUCAUGAGGUUGGUGUUUUUACAUCAUCAGAGUACUGACCUCAUGAGAUCGGUAUUUAUCUUUUAUCUACAUAUUGACCUAAUGAGGUCAGUAUAAAUACCGACAUCAUGUGGUCGAUAUUUAUAUUUCAUCCAAAUACUGACAUCAUGAAGUCGGUAUUUUUAUUUCAUCCAAAUACCGACCUCGUGAAGCCAGUAUUUUUUCUUCAUCCAAAUAUUGACCUCAUGAGUUUGGUAUUUUUACUUCAUCUAACUACUUACUUCAUGAGAUUGGUAUUUAUCUUUCAUCUAAAUACCGACCUAAUGAGGUCAUUAUUUUUAUUUCACCCAUAUCAAAAAAUCAACAUCAUGAGGUCGGUAUUUUUAUUUCAUCCAAAUACUAAUUUGAUGAAGUCAGUAUUUUUAUUUUAUCCAAAUACCGACCUCAUGAAGUUGAUAUUUUUUCUUCAUUCAAAUAUGGACCUCAUGAAGUCGGUAUUUUUUCUUCAUCCAAAUAUCGACCUCAUGUGGUAAGUAUUUUUACUUUAUCUAAAUAUCGACUUCGUGAGAUCGAUUGUUAUCUUUCAUCUAAAUACCGACCUAAUGAGUUCGGUAUUUUUAUUUCAUCCAUAUCCAAAUAUCGACAUCAUGAGGUCAGUAUUUUUAUUUCAUCCAUAUACUGAUAUCAUGAAGUCGGAAUUUUUAUAUCAUCCAAAUAUCGACCUCAUAAAGUAAGUAUCUUUUCUUCUUAUAAAUAUCGACCUCAUGAGGUCUGUGAUAUUAUUUCAGUUAAAUACCGACUUCAUGAGGAGGAUUUUGUGUAAAUAAAUAAAAAUUAUAUUACCGACUUCCAAAAAUCGAUAAAAUUAAAUAUCAUGCAACUUAAUUAGUUUUGAUAUAAAUAUUUAAAUAGUUCAAUUAACAUUAAAUAAAUUAUACUCUCGAUGACGGUUUUAUAUAAUUUUAAAAAUAAACUAAUAUAAUUUACCGACCUCUCGCUGUUAGUAUUAUUUAUUCAAUAUGAUUCCUUGUCACGACCCAAAUCGGUCCGCGACUGGAACCCACACUUACCCUCCUAUGUGAGCGAACCAAUCAAUACCAAACCCAACAUUUCGUAUAUAAUAACAAAAUAUAAUGCGGAAGACUUAAACUCAUUAAUGAAAAUCAAUUAAAUAAAUUCUAAAAACUCGACAACUAUUAUUAUCCCCAAAAUCUACAAGUCAUCAUCACAAGAACAUCUAUCCUCAAAUUACUAAAGCUAAGAGUAUCUAGAAAGCUAGAAUAAAUAAAAAGCUAGUCCAUUCCGGAACUUCAAGGCAUCGAGACAUGAAGAAUAAGAUCCAGUCCAAGCUAGAAGCAUUAGCUCACCCUGAAAUCCGGUGUAAUGAAGACUGGCUAGAGUUGCGGUUGAGUUGAAGGCGACAACAGGUGUGCUGCACUCCACAAAUAACAAGGAAAGAAACAUACAAGUAGGGGUCAGUACAAAACACGAGUACUGAGUAGAUAUCAUCGGCCAACUCAAAAUAGAAAAUAAUAUAUAUCAGAUCAUAUCAUAAAUCAAGUACAAUACUCAAUCUGUAGAAAAAACAUGUACAAGAAUCUUUGAUAAAUAACGUCAAGUACACUCAUGAGGACUCAAGCCUCCAUAUCAUACUCAUUUGGGAAAUAGGUUCUUUUCAUUCGAAUUUAUUAACAUAAAUCCAAGAUUCAUUAUCUUUAUUCCUCUUGUGUCGGCACGUGACACUCCGCUCCCCUACUACUAUGCGUCGGAACGUGACACUCUGAUCCCUUAAUUCUACGUUUCGGUUCGUGACACCCGAUCCCCUAGUUCUACGUGUCGGUUUGUGACACCCUAUCCCCUAAUUCUAUGUGUCGGUUCGUGACACCCGAUCCCCUAAUUCUACGUGUCGGUUCAUGACACCCGCUCCACUAAUAUCAUUCUACUAAUUCAUCAAGCCUUCUCUUAUACCAAGGCAUCAUCAUCUCAUUACUUUAGUUCAUCAAGCCUUCCUUCAUAUCAAGGCAUAUUAAUCUCAUUACAUAAGUUCAUCAAGCCUUCUUUUAUAUCAAGGCAUCAUCAUUAACAAGGGGUUUUCAAGAUUUGGGAUUCAAUAGCUUAAUCGUGCUUAUUUCAUCAAAAUUAUAUAAUCAUAUUCAUGCAAGCAUACAAUUAAGCAUAUAUAAGACUUUACAACACAACCCAACACAUAUCAUUCGCUAUUAAGAGUUCACUACGAAUAGUAUAAAAACCAUAACCUACCUCCACCGAAGAAUUGUGAUCAAGCAAGCUAAUCCUCAAAAUCUUUGUUUUCUUCUCCGUUUCUCCUCUCUCUCUCGAUCAUUGUUUCCUCUCCUUCUGUUCUUUUCUUUUUCUUAUUCAAACCCUCUUUCUUUAACCUAAUUAGCAUAUAAUUAAGUAUAAAAGGUGGUGAAUUAACCCAUUAAUUAACUUAAAGUUACCUCUUUUAACCCCCAAGUAAUUGAGUUAUUAAUAUUAAACCACUAACUUUAUAAUUAUAAGCCAGAAUAGUCAAAAACGUCCCUUAAAACAUUUAAAGAAAUCCGACCCUGCCAGGGAUUACGCACCCUGUGACGGGCCGUCGUGCCUGCGACAGUCCUUCCUGUUGCUCCGUCACAGAGUUCAGAGACUCCAUUCCAUUAAAGGGUCUGUGACGGUCCGUCGUGCCCACGACGGUCCGUCCUGCCAUUCCGUUACGAAGUUCAGAGAGUCGAUUUGAGUACCCAAUUUUCAGAAUUCUAAGUAUUUUGGAACGAGACACCCUCGACGGUUCACCGUGCCCAUGACGGUCCGUCGUGAGUUCCUUCGUCUCUGCCAGUUUUUCCAGAAAUAAUAUCUGCUGCUCAAAACGACUAAACAGGUCGUUACAAUAGAUACCUAUUUACCCAUCGUUCAUCCCCGAACGAUUACAAGAAGAAAAACAAGGGCAAAAAGGAGUACCUGAAUCUGUAAACAUAUGUGGGUAUCUUUCUUGCAUGUCAGCCUCUUUCUUUCAAGUGGCUUCUUCAACGGGUCGAUUCUUCCAUUGAACAUUGAUAGAUGCAAUUCCCCUUGACCUCAAAUUGCGAACUUCUCUAUCUAAAAUAGCAACAGGCUCUUCCUCAUAAGACAAAUUCUCAUCAAGCAAGACUGAAUCCCAACGAAUAAUAUAGUUUCCAUCCCCAUGGUAUCUUUUCAACAUAGACACAUGAAAUAUCGGAUGCACUCCGGACAGCCCUGGAGGCAAGGCUAACUCAUAAGCCACCUCCCUUACUCGCUUAAGUACUUCAAAGGGACCAAUAUACCUUGGGCUUAGUUUACCUCUUUUACCAAACCGCAUCACCCCUUUCAUGGGCGAAACCUUCAGUAAGACUUAUUCACCCUCCAUAAACUCCAAGUCUCUAACCUUUCGAUUCGCAUUUUCCUUUUGCCUACUUUGUGCCGCUAAAAUAGAUUUCACUUUCUCUAAUAAAUCCCUCAAAAGGUAAGUACCCCAAGGUCUGACCUCAAAUGCAUCAAACCAACCAAUGGGAGACCUACAUCUCCUCCAAUACAAUGCUUCAAAUGGGGCCAUAUCAAUACUUGAGUGAUAGCUAUUGUUGUAGGAGAACUCUGCUAAGGGUAAGAAGCUAUCCCAAUGACCACCAAAUUAUAUCACACAUGCGCGAAGCAUAUCCUCCAACACUUGAAUCGUUCUCUCAGACUGGCCAUCGGUCUGAGGAUGGAACGCAGUACUAAGGUCCAACCUAGCACCCAAUUCCGCAUGCAAUGUUUUCCAAAACUUAUAAGUAAACUGCGUUCCUCUAUCUUAUAUAAUGGAGAGUGGAACUCAAUGCGAUCGAACGAUUUCUGAGAUAUAGAUUCUUGCUAACUUCUCUGCAUUCUAGGUCACCUUGACCGAAAUGAAGUGAGCAGACUUACUUAGCCUAUCAACAAUUACUCAAAUGAAGUCAUACUUACCCAUUGUCUAGGGAAGACCAACCACGAAGUCCAUUGCAAUUCUUUUACACUUCCAUUCAGGAAUGGGCAUUCUCUGAAGUGUGUCAGGCCUCUGGUGCUCAUACUUUACUUGCUGACAAUUUGGACAUAUGGAAACAAACUCCACAAUGUCACGCUUCAUUCUACUCCACCAAAAGUGUUGCUUUAGGUCACGGUACAUCUUGGUUGCAGCAGGAUGUAUGGAGUACCUUGAACUAUGGGUCUCUAUCAGAAUAGUGUUGAUUAAAUCAUCAACACGGCGUACACAUACUCUUCCCUUGAUUCUCAAAACACCUUCCUCAUCGAUUUGCUCUUUCUUAGCCUCUCCUCGCAAUACUUUAUCUUGGAUUCUGCUUAGUUUCUCAUCAUCAAACUGUUUUCCCUUAAUCUUGUCAAGAAAAGAAGAUCUUGCCUCCACACAAGCCAACAAUCCUCCCUUCUCAUUUACUUCUAACCUCAUCAAGUUGUUAGCCAGAGUCUGAACCUCUCUAGCCAAUGGACGUCUAGAAACUUGCAAGUGAGCUAGACAUCCCAUGCUCCCUGCCUUUCUACUUAAGGCGUCUGCCACAACAUUAGCAUUUCCCGGAUGAUACAAGAUAGUGAUAUUGUAGUCCUUCAGUAGUUCCAUCCAUCUCCUCUGUCUCAAGUUCAAUUCUUUCUGAGUAAAGACAUACUGUAGACUACGAUGAUCUGUAUAGACUUCACACUUGAUCCGAUAUAGAUAAUGUCUCCAUUGCUUUAAUUCAAACACAACUGCGGCCAAUUCUAAAUCGUGGGUCGGAUAGUUACGUUCAUGCACCUUUAAUUGCCUUGAAGCAUAAGCAAUUACGUUCUUCUCUUUCAUUAGCACUGCACCCAAACCCGAAUAGGAUGCAUCACAAUAGACAAUGAAAUUCUUUCCUUCCACUGGCAGGGUAAGGAUUGGUGCAGUAGUCAACAAGGUCUUAAGCUUCUGAAAGCUUUCUUCAAAUUCAUCCGACCAUACAAAUGGAACAUUCUUCUUAGUCAAAUUCGUCAAUUGGGAAGCAAUGGAAGAGAAUCCCUUGACAAAUCGGCGGUAAUAGCUAGCUAAACCAACAAAGCUCCUUAUUUUUGACACAUUAGUAGGUCUUACCCAAUUCUACACUGUCUCAAUCUUAGAAGAAUCCACCAUCACCCCAUCCUUUGAAACCACAUGCCUCAAGAAGGACACUGCAUCUAUCAAAAACUCACACUUGGAGAAUUUGGCAUAAAGCUUUUUCUCCCUCAACAUUUCCAAUACCAUUCUCAAGUGCUCCUCAUGUUCCUUCUUGCUCUUUGAGUAUACCAAUAUAUCAUCAAUAAAUACGAUCACAAAGAGAUCCAGAUAUGGCUUGAAAAUCCCAUUCAUCAAGCUCAUGAAAGCAGCAGGGGCAUUCAUAAGACCAAAAGACAUCACUACAAAUUCGUAAUGCCCAUACCUGGUCCGAAAAGCAGUCUUUGGCACAUCCGUUGCCCGUAUUUUCAAUUGAUGAUAACAGGAUCUCAAGUAAAUCUUAGAGAAGACACAAGCACCUUGUAACUGAUCGAACAAGUCAUCAAUGCGAGGAAUGGGAUACUUGUUCUUAAUAGUUACCUUGUUCAACUGCCAGUAGUCUAUGCACAUCCGAAAACUCCCAUCCUUCUUCUUCACAAAUAACAGCGGAGCACCCUAAGGAGAUGCACUUGGUCUAAUGAAGCCUUUGCUCAAAAACUCUUGAUGUUGGGCCUUUAACUCUCUCAACUCCGCGGGAGCCAUUCUAUAAGGGGGUAUAGAAAUGGGGCGUGUACCCGAUUCAAGAUCAAUGCAGAAGUCAAUAUCUCUAUCCGUUGGCAUACCCAGAAGGUCUGCACGAAACACAUCUAAAAACUCACGAACUAUCGAAACUGACUCAAUUGGAGGUACUUGGGUAGUAUCAUCCCUGAGAUGUGCCAAGAACGCUAAACAACCCUUACUAACCAUUUUCUUAACACGAAGAAAGGAGAUCAUACGAACCGGAUUGGAAGUGUAGUCACCCUCCAACACUAACGGAUCUGUCCCAGGCUUGGCUAACGUAAGAGUUUUAGCAUUACAAUCCAAGAUCGCAAAAUUUGGAGAAAGCCAAGUCAUACCCAGAAUUACAUUGAAGUCAACCAUUUCUAAUAUAACCAAGUCUACAUGAGUAUUGCUCCCCACAAAAGUCACAAGACAAGACCUAUACACCUUUUCAACUAUCACAGACUCACCCACCGGAGUAGAAACACGAAUAGGCAUGUCAAGCAAUUCACCAUGUAAAUUAAGACCAUUAGCCAAUGAGGAAGAUACAUAAGAAAUUGUGGAUCCAGGAUCAAACAAUACAGAAGCCAUGCAAUCACAAACCAAAAGAUUACCUGUGAUGACAGCAUCAGAUGUCUCCGCAUCAGAUCUCCCAAGGAAAGCAUAACAAUGGGCCCUAUAACCCGUCUGCCCAUUGCCCCUACCAUGUUGCACUGCAGUAGUUCCCAUUUGUCCGUCACCCCGACCGUUUUGAUGACCACCAUUACCUCCGCCACCACGUCCUCCAGAAUAAUGGCCUCUACCAUGACCAUCUCUACCUCUAGCUAUUGGGGGUCUAUAACUCUGUUUUUGAAAAUUCCUCCUAAUAUGUCCAGUCUCCCCACAUCUAUAACACUUCCUGGAGUCAAGCAUAGGUCUCUCGGAGAAGUGUUGACCGGUCUGAGGUGAACCCCCAACUACAGUUUGUAGUGAAGACUGAAUUAGUCGGACUGAUUAACCUCCUGAACCUUGUCCUCUAGAGUAAGAACCAUUAAACUCACCUCCCUUUCGAAACCUUUUUGAUAUCGUUGCCAUGGUGAAGUCAUCUGGCUUCACUCCCUCUACCUCUAUCACGAAGUCUACCACUUCUUGAAAAGAUUUCGCUUCAGCCGCUACCUGUAAGGCUGAAAUUCGCAACUCUUAUCUCAACCCCUUCACUAAACGGCGAAUCCGCUCUUGUGGACUGAAACAUUGUUGGGUGGCAUACCGGGAUAAUGCACGAAACUUAGCCUCAUAUGCAGUAACCGACAUCCUACCUUGUUCUAGGCUCAACAACUAAUCUCUUUUCCUAUCCCUCAAAGUGCGAGGUAUAUAUACUUUUCCAUAAACAAGCUAGAGAAUGAUGCCCAAGUCAUAGGUGGUGCCUCUGUUGGUUGCACUCAACAUCUAACCGCCACCACAUUUUGGCGUUCCCUUUAAACUGAUAAGUCACAAACUUAUCACAAAACCGUUCUACUAUACCCAUCCUGUGUAGUAGCUCAUGACAGUCAACUAGAAAAUCGUAGGAACCCUCAGAUUCAGCACCCUUGAAGACUGGAGGUUUCAAUUUUAAGAACUUACUGAAAAGUUCAUGCUGAUCAUUUGUCAUUAUAGGACCUGUAGUCAGACGAGGAAAUGU
rnacentral:lncRNA from 1 species